rnacentral:lncRNA from 1 species
UCCCAAGAUGUCCAUGCUCGCUAUGGGGGCGUUCAGCCUGCUAUUUACCAGAGGCAUUUUGCUUAUGGCAACUACUCCAAUGCUGGACUGCAGAGAGGCCAAGCCACUCAGGAUCUAUCAUUGAUCACCUCAAACGCCUCACCUGUGUUUGUGCAGGCUCCUCAAGAGAAGGGAUUUGCAGCUUUUGCCACUGACUUUCUCAUGGGUGGUGUUUCUGCUGCUGUAUCAAAGACCGCUGCUGCCCCUAUUGAGCGUGUGAAACUAUUGAUCCAAAAUCAAGAUGAGAUGCUCAAGGCUGGUAGGCUCUCAGAACCAUACAAGGGAAUUGGUGAUUGUUUCGGUAGGACAAUUAAGGAAGAAGGUUUUGGGUCUUUAUGGAGAGGAAACACUGCUAAUGUUAUCCGUUAUUUCCCCACUCAGGUUUACCAUUUGUCUUCAUUUUAAGUGAUGAAAUUUAUGCAUCAAAGAUACAUGCUCACUUAUUGUUCUGUUUGUUUAAGUCGAGCAUUGACUGACUGAUGCUCUGCUCCACAGGCCCUGAACUUUGCAUUCAAGGACUACUUCAAGAGACUCUUCAACUUCAAGAAGGACCGUGAUGGCUACUGGAAGUGGUUUGCUGGAAACCUUGCAUCAGGAGGUGCUGCUGGUGCUUCCUCUUUGUUCUUUGUCUACUCCUUGGACUAUGCUCGUACCCGUCUUGCUAAUGAUGCCAAGGCUUCAAAGAAGGGAGGUGAGAGGCAGUUCAAUGGUUUGGUUGAUGUCUACAGGAAGACACUCAAAUCUGAUGGAAUUGCUGGUCUAUACCGUGGAUUCAACAUUUCAUGUGUUGGUAUCAUUGUUUACCGUGGUUUGUACUUUGGAAUGUACGACUCCUUGAAGCCUGUCCUCUUGACAGGAAACCUGCAGGUUAGUGUUUUUAUAUGUUUGCUUUGCUCUGCUUUUUCAUGUCUUUAUACUUCUCUGGAUGUUAUCUCUGCUGUGUCUUACCAAAAUGUUGUUAGUCUUUACCAUUUUGUUGGCUGUAUAAAUGCAUCAAUGUUUUCGUGUUGGAGAAGACUGUUUAUAGCUUGCUGUGGGAGAGUGAUAAGAAUUCAGUAUUUGUCAUUAAAUAUUGUCAAUUUCUGCUAAUUUUUCAUCUUCCUUGAUUUGUUUGCUAGAAAAUAGAUAAUUGUAAUUGAUUUUCUCGUGGGAAGUUAAUAUGGAUAUGGGAUAAAUAAAUGUUUUAGUAUAAAAAAACUAUAGUGUCUGACCCUUGUUAUGGUGCUGUAUACAGGAUAGUUUCUUUGCUAGCUUUGCUCUUGGUUGGCUCAUCACCAAUGGUGCUGGUCUUGCUUCUUACCCCAUUGAUACAGUAAGAAGAAGAAUGAUGAUGACAUCUGGUGAGGCGGUGAAGUACAAGAGCUCGCUUGAUGCAUUCUCCCAGAUUGUUAAGAAUGAGGGUCCCAAAUCUCUGUUCAAGGGUGCUGGUGCUAACAUCCUCCGAGCUGUUGCUGGUGCUGGUGUGUUGGCUGGAUAUGACAAGCUUCAGGUUCUUGUUUUGGGAAAGAAAUACGGAUCUGGUGGUGCAUAAGUCAGCCUCGUAACAUCCUUUAGAAUUUAGAUGGUGAUGAAAAUCUUUUUGGUGUUACAUUUGAGUAUUCAGUUGGGGAGACAUUUAUCAUUUUUCCUUUUGACUUUUUUUUUGUAAUAAUUCGAAAAAUCUUAGAGUGGGUCAAAGCUUAAAAACCCCACACUCGUUUCCCUUGUUGAAGGGUUAUUACUGUUUUGUUUGGGCGGACCUUAUUUCAAUUGCAGAGCUUACAGAUUCUGAAUGAAAUCUUUUGAUAAAAUCAAAUGCGGAUCAGUUUGGGACUUGUGUUAUUUUAAGUGUGGUAUACAAUAUUUUGCACUAACCAUCUUGUUUUCAUACUUAUCUUGAGGGUAUACAAAUUUUAUAUGCUUGACCCCUCUGUCUAUACAUAAUUAUGCUACACAUGAUGACAAAAUCCUAACCUGCAGCCGUCAGUUGUAUCUCUGUUUUGAUUGGUUGAUAUGGCAGUGUGAUUUAAACAGUACGUAGACAUGACUCCACGAGUCAUUGAAGGUUGGAUCAAUGUGGUUACUUUUUAUCCCCUAUUUUCUUACUAUUUGCUGCAUCUAUUGUUGCACAACAGUUUUCUUAGGUAAUGGAUGUGAACCGUAGGAGUCAAGAUUCUUUCAAGGAGAAAUAUUAUCUAGUUACUCUCUUCAUCUCAAUGUAUGUGAUAUAGGUUGAGCUGACCUGGAGUUUAAGUUGUGUUUUCUAAUGAAAAGUCAUUCUUGGUUAUGGGUGAUUAACACAGAAAUUAUUUCUGAUUGAACAAGUGAAUUUUUUUCUUAUAAAUUAAAGAAAAUUAUUAUAGAUAAAUAAAGGAUAUGUGUAUAUAUUAGGAAUGUACAACUCUGUUGAUUCAACCUGUAUGAAUAGGAAAAUUAAAACAAGGAUUAUGGAGUAGUUCAAACAAAAGCAGAGGAAACUCUGCAGAAGAGUUAAGUGUGUUGACCAAAUGGAAUUUCCUUGUUGUCAAUGGGAAUCUAAACAGAGCUUCGGAAGACUCGUAUCAAUUCCCUUAUAGAAAGCAAAUGGUUGAUCUGCAGUGGAGACAUUGAGUUGCCAUACGGAAAAAAGUAAGUCAAGAAUGUCCAUGUGUAGUGUACUAUUUUGUUCUUUAUUAAUUUCCUUACCGAAAGACCCUAUCUAUCUAUAUAUAAUAGGAGAAGAAAAAAUGUCACAUAUAAUAACAGUAUUCAACCUCUUCUUCAAUUCUUGAAAAUUUUUUUCGCAAGCUUUAGACCAUUGAAACUUAACUGUUUUCUGAGUCAACUUGGUCAAAGGAGACGAGAUAGAUGAAAACCCCUCAACAAACUUUCUAUGGUAGUCAGUCAAAUCUAAAAAAUUCCUUAUAUCAGUUGGAGACGUAGGUCUAGGACAACUUUGAACUGCUUCUAUCAUUUGGGUAUCAACUCUAAUCCCAUUACCAAAAAACUAUGUGGCCCAAGAAUGCCACAAAUUUAAGCCAAAACUCACACUUGAAGAACUUGACAUAUAACUCUUUAUCUUUCAAAGUCUAAAAGACUAUUAUGAGUUUACUAGCAUGAUCUUCUUUAUUCCUUAAAUAAAUUAGUAUGUCAUCAAUAAAGACAACAACAAACAUAAAUAAAUAAGGUUUGGAGACUCUAUUUAUAAGAUCCAUGAUGUCCAUAAUUGAUUCUAAAAGAUGUCUUUGGAAUGUCACAUUUCCUAACUUUCAACUGAUGGUAGCCUGAUCUAAGAUCAAUUUUCGAAAAGCAGGAAACACCCUGAAGCUGAUCGAAAAGAUCACCUAUCCUUGGAAGAGAAUAUUUAUUCCUAAUGAUAACCUUAUUCAAUUGACGGUAAUCUAUGCACAUCCUAAGGGAACUAUCACUCUUUCUCAUAAACAAGACUGGAGAGCCUCAAGGUGAGACACUUGGUCGAAUGAAACCCUUAUCUAACAGAUCUUUCAACUCUUUCAAUUCUGCUGGAGCCAUUUUAUAUGAAGGAAUAGAGAUAGAACAAGUAUCUAGAAGAAGAUCCAUGUCAAAGUCUAUCUCUCUUAGGAGGCACUUCAAGAUGAUCAUCUGAAAAGACUUUUGGGAACUUUUUUACUACUGGAACUGACUGAAUAAGAGGUAUCUCAAUACUAGAAUUAUUAAUUCGGACUAAGUGAUAGACAUACUCCUUAUAAACUAAUUUCCUCGCCUUAAGGUACGAAAUAAAACGAUCCUUAGGCACUGCUGAAUUGGUUUUCCACACUAAGACUGACUCAUUUGAAAUAUGAAACAUGACUACACAAUCAAUUGAGGCAUAACAUACAUGACGCCAAUCCAUACCAAGAAUGGUUACAAGCAAAUGAAAAUAAGAGAGAUAAACGUAAUAUUAUAAAACAUAGGAGAGGUGAGUGUUAUUAAGCAAAACCUGAAGGGAGAUCUCUGAAAUUAUCCCUUAAUAUUAUUAAAAGUCAUAUGACCAAAGGAGUUCCUAAAAUAUGAUAAAGGCACAAUAGUCUGGUGGACCCUUGUACUUGUAUCAGAUUGUAUUAUGGACCUUUCUACUUAGCUUUUUGUCUUCUGGAUCUUUAUACUCAACAUAACACAAUAUAUUAAACCCCACUGACCAUUUAUCAUCCUUAUGUGACAUUAAUAUAGAUGAGUUGGCAAGAGAGUGUAGUCACACGCCUGCAAAGGCAAGUGAACAUGAUAUUUGAAAUUUCAACUUUUACUUUUAAGUUAUUAAAAUUGUUUUUUUUAAAAAAUAAAUUUAAAAAGAAAAAAAACUCCAUCUUCUUCCCUACACUACCUCCAUCUUCUUCUCCACACUACUUUUUUUCCAGCCACCCCAACCCCAACCUAUUUUUCUUUCUUAUCCACACCCUAUCGUUAUUUAUCUUCAUUUUUCUUUCAACUUCUUUUUGUUUUUCUUUUUUUUGUUACCCUAAAAAAAAAUAAAAUUGGGCAAAAAAAUUUGAACAUAAUAAGCAAAGAAAAAUAAAAAAAAUUAGUGGAGUAGUUGAUAUCUCUAAUGAAUAACUUGACCUCUUUUGGUGUAGAUAAUUCUAGAGAGAGAGAGAGACCAGAAUGUAGAUACUUUAUGGACUUGUGUAGUAAUUUUUAUUUACUAGAAAAUAGUAUAAUUAAUAGGUUGACUCUCAUUUGUAAUCACUCAACUUGUAAAGCAACCUUCCAAGCUUAAUACAAUUCCUUUUUGAAAACUUUUUUUUUUUUUUAAUUUUUCUUUACAUUCUCUUAGCGAUCUAACUUUAAAAGGCUUAUUUGAGUUUACAAUAACGUGAAAGAGUCGUGAGUAAGUUAUCAAAUGUUGCACUGAUCAAUAGUGAGACUCUAAAUCCGUGACACAAAAGUCUGUUUAUAUGCAAAAAUGUUAUUUGGAUUUGGAGAGACAUUUUUAAUUUGAAAAUUAAUACUUGUUAUAAAUAAUUGAGUCCUAUGGACAAGUGUAUGCGAUUUUAGUUGGUGUAUGUCCAUAUAACUUGUGUUCGUUAGUUUCCUUUUAAAAAAUAAAAAUUAAUGUAUGAAGAUAGAUAUGACAUUUUUUUGAGAUUUUUUAAAAUACUUUUUCAUGUAUAAUAACCGAUAAAAGUGCUUCAAUUUUUUUUCUUAAAAAUUCAAUGAAAUUAAAUAACACCAUGUAUUUUUGUUUUUUUCAUAUCAUUAGGGUUAUCUUGAUUUAGCACAAAUAUCCGCUAAUUAUAAUUUAACACAAUAUGGAAUGAUUAAAAAAAACAGUCAAUUUCAAUAUGAAAAAGAAUAGCUUGUUUAUUGCUAAUAUACACUAUUCGAAUGGGGCCUACAUGGUAUGACUUCGUAAUAAUUGGGCUUUACUAUGAGUACGAAACAGGGAGUAAGAAAAAAAAACUCUUUUAUAAAAUUCGGAAUCAAAAGAAAAAAACCCCACAAAUGGUGAAAAUAGAAAAAAGUACAAAAAUACAACAAUGAUUAAAUAUAUAUAUAUAUAUAAAAGAAAAUUCUAGACUCGCCUACGUGGCACCACCAUAAAUCAGAAUUUUCUUUAAAUUUAUUUUGUUUCUAAAACUAGCCUUCCCUUUUCAUUAAAAGUUUCAAAUUUUAUGAAAAGUUGCGACUUUUAUGAAGAAUUGCGACUUUUAUGAAAAUUUGUGAUUUUUAUGAAAAAUUGUGACUUUUAUGAAAUGUUGUGACCUUUUUGAAGGGUUAUACCUUUUCAAAAGAGUUGUGACCUUUCUAAUAAGACACAAUAAGCAUUUGUUCACACUACCUUUUGUUGUCUAUAAAUAGAGGAAUUUCCUCUAACUUAAAACAACGAAAAUUUUAAACUUCUUCUUCUUCUGGAAAUUGAAAUAAUUGUGUCAUUUGCUCCUAUUAAAUGACUCCCUCACUCCAUUAUUUUUGUAUCAAUACACUGGUGAAUAUAACUGAUCUAUCAUGAGAAAAUAGAUUCCUUAAAUCUCAGGUAGUAGGGAGGAUUAAUCUCCUUAAGGGGAUAAUGUGCAUUUAGUGGGCUAGAUUUAUUCCAUUCUGUUUCACUCUAUUGUUACAGAUCCCGAAUAUACAUUUUUUUUGUAGGUAUUAAUUUAUGCUUAUAUUAUUAAUUGUUACUUUUGAAUACAUGCUUUAGGUUUUUUUAAUGUUUCUGCAAAAUUAUUGUUAUAAGUAUUUGUUAGUACAAUUAAAUAACAAACGUUACUUGAGUAUUCAAGCAAAUUUUCUCUAUUAGAAUUGUUACAAGAAAAAAAAAGAGCUCUUACAAAUCUCUAAUUUCAUCAACGACAUCAUUUUUCACAUACAAGGAUAACAUUUUGUUUUCUUUAGAGGAAAAAGACAUAAGUACCCCCUAACCUAUUCCCAAAAUCUCAUAGACGCACAUAUACUAUACUAAGGUCCUAUUAUCCCAUGAACUUAUUUUAUAAAUAAUUUUCUACCCUUUUUAGCCUAUGUGGCAUUAUCUUUUGGACCUAACGCGUGUUGACAUAUUUUUUCAAGCUACUAUCACGUAGGCUGAAAAGGCGUAGAAAAUUAUUUAUAAAAUAAGUUCGGUGUAAUAGGACCUUAGUAUAUUAAAAGCGUGUCUUUUGAAUUUCGAGCAUAAUUUGGGGGUACUUGUGCAAUUUUCCUUCUUUAAAAAAAUCCUUUAAGAGUUAAUAACUUUGCAUGAACAUUUUAUUUUUAUUUUUAUGUUGUUGUUAUCUAUUUUUUCACUAAAUUUUAUCAGUGGAUAUUAUGAGUACUUUAAAAAUUGAAAGUUGAUUGAAGUGUUAGUCUAUUUUUGAGGUAUGUUAUUUCAAAACAAGAGAACUUUUUUGGUCAGAGUGAUUUGUUAUCAUCAUUGGAUAUCUCAUAGUUUAUUCCUUUUGAUGUACUUUUUCCGUUGUUUUGUUAUCUCGUUAAAAUUGUAUUGAUUAUUUUUCAUUUUGUAUGUAUAUGAUCUUGCUUGGACAAAGUUUUCGUCCGUUUAAUUUUUGUCUUUUUUUUCCCUUCUCAUUUAGUUCUUCUAAAUAUUUUUGGUGUGAGUUAUGACUAUUUUUAGCAAGUUUGAUUUGCAGAAUAUGAAACAAAACCUGCUCUAAAUACAAGUAAUAUUUUUAGCUAUAUAAGAUAUGUCUAUUAACAUAGAUUUGUUGUCCUUUAUAUCCCAAGUCAUUGAUGAGCAUCUGAGUUAUUUAGGUUAGACUCACUUUUAAUUUUUUAAUGUUCGAGAAUAUUUCUCUAACAUGAGCCUAGAAUCCUACAUUUUGAUCUACUCGUACUUUCAUAAUGCAAAAAUUAUACAUACAUAUUUCUAAAAAAAUCGUAAAGUUGCAUCAAUGAAGUAUCUUCUAGAAGGGCCUUCAAAGUAGCAAUUUAAUGAAGAAUAAAUUUCUAAAAGGGUUAACAAUAUUAUUGUGCUGUUGUUUCAAAUUUAUUUUUCUCCUUCUUUGAAUUUUGCUAGAGUAACAAAGUAGCAAUAACAAAAAGUGGUAAAUAUUUAACCUCGGACAAGUAGAUUGUCUCUAAAAAAAAAUCUAUUUAUGUUGUGUGGUGUACAUUUUUAACGGUCUUAAUCUAUUUAUAACUGAUAUUGAUUAUUGAAAUUUUUGCAUAUUUUUUUAAUCAGAAGGAGUUAAUCUAACUCUAAAAUUAUGAGAUUCCAUAUUUUUCAUGUACAAAAAAAUAGAAAAAGUAUUUUUAAUCGUUACAUAAAAACAUUACUCGAUUUUAACAAGACAAUUAUAUCAUCAAACAUAUAUUAAGAUGAAUUAUGUAAAAGAUAAAAAAUAAUUAGAUAACAAGAUAUUUUUAAUCAUUCAUUAUAUUUUUUCAAUUCUUGAGAUAUGUGAUAAUUCGUUAGAAUAUUCUUAAAGCCUACUAAAAUUUAUCUUUUUUUUCCUUAUAACAUUUGAUUAUUGGAAAGGUUGUUCAAAAGUUUAGAAAGAUUAUCUAUACCCGCACAAAGUGCGGAUAGAUUACCUAAUAAAUAAUAAAGAAGAAAACAUAAAAUUUCACGAACUUAGCAGCAAAAUUUACUGUCUUUUUGACAUUACGAGUAAUUAUUUACCCCACAAUCUUUUUUCAAGUGAAUUAAAAUACACUCAAUUCGCUGACAUUACAAGUCAAAAAAGUAACAAUGCGUUUAAACCAAAAAUUAAAGAGAAAAAAAUAAGUGGGUCCCAAUUAUUUUCUUUUCUUUAUCUUCUUCAUAACCUACCACCCCGGCCUUUAGUACCACCAACCCCAACCCCAACUCCCGCCGCUUCAUCUUCCUCACAUCCAAUCCACCCCACCCGUCCUCAACCACCACUUGCACCACCCCUUUCUUCUUCUUUGAACCCUCACUCCCACCUUCUUUUUUUCUAUUCAAAUCUUAGUGUCUCACACUUUUCUUCUUCUUCUUCUUUGUUGAUAUUUUCAUCUUUUUUUUUCCUUCUUCAAGACGCCCUUUCCAUUAGUAAAACUUAAAAAAGUGUGAUGAACACCUAUUUGUUCUUGCUUCAAAUAAAUUAAUAUUUAUGACAAGAAUUGAAUGUGCGCGGAUAAUUUUAUUAGUUAUAAAUAAUUUCAAAAUUAUUUUAAAUACAUUUUGACCAACCUUUUAGAUAGUAUUUUUUCAUUUAAAUAGUAAUAGUAGUUUUUUAUAUAGGUUUUGAAUUCUUAUGUUUUAAAUUUAAAAUAUUAUUUUAUUUUAAUUUGAUUUAAUUUCAAAUAUUAGUCAAAUAAACAUUAAAGAACUCAAAUAUAACGAGUAUUUGAAACGAAGGGAGUAGUGAAUUACCUCCAUUCUUUUGGGGCUUAAAAAAUUAUUUUGCCUUUAGCACUUAACAAUCAGUUGUUAGAGUCUGGUUCUCUUCUUUACUGCUUAUAUCUUUGAUGUCUCAGGGCCUUUUGUAUGUUUUUCUUCUAAAUUGUUACUAUUUUUUCUUCAAUUUCUCAGAUACGGCUACAAAUUUAUAUCAAUUUACAGAAAAAGGCAUCAAUUUGUUUAAUUAAAAGGGUACAAUUAUAUGUCAUAAAUUAGGAAGAUGAUAACAAGUUUCCGACAGAGGUUUGGAAUAAUGGAAAAGGUCAAGUCUUUACAAUAAUAAAUAACAGUAUUAAAAAAUGUAAUGACUUUAGUUUUUUCUGCCUUUUUGUAGUGCAAGUCUUGUUGUCUGUUUAAUAAUGAAAAAAUUAACAUUUUAUGGAAAAUGAUAAGAAGUUCCUCAUAAAUUUUAGGAAUAGUGAAAAUGGUAAAGUCUUGUUCUUUAAUAUUAAACUAGAAAUUUUGUCUUUGUCUUUUCAGUCUUUUUGACCAAAUUAUGCAUUCACAUAUUAAGCAGCAAAAGUGAUAUGUUUUCUCAUCAUAUACCUAAAGCUGAGAAGUUUCCUGUUAGUCCUUAACAAUAUUCUUCAACAAUGUCUCAUGCUUCUUCUUCCAAAAUUUGCUAGUAUGAUGUCUUUUUGAGUUUUAGAUUUGAAGAAGAUACACGUAGAAACUUUGUGAGUCAUCUCUAUAAUUCUUUCGAAUUAAGAGGAAUCCGCACUUUUAAAGAUGAAGAGCGACUAGAACCGGGAAAAUCAAUUUCUGAUGAACUUUUGAAAGCCAUACAAGAGUCUAAAUUUGCUAUAGUGAUAUUUUCCAAAAGCUAUGCAUCGUCAAGAUGGUGUUUAAAGGAGCUUGCACACAUCAUAAAGUGUAAAAAGGAAUUGGAGCAGAUUUUCAUUCCAGUUUUCUAUGAUGUGAGUGUGAGCCAUCAACAUCUCCCUUUUGCUGAUUCAUUUUUACAACAUAAGAAAAAAAUGCAAAGAUGAUAUGGAGCAGGUUCAAAGAUGGAGGGGUGCAUUUGCGGAGGCUGGGAAAAUAUCAGGGUAUCAUUUACGAAAUUUCAACUAAGCUUUCUUCUUCUUCUGUUCGGGUUUCUCUUUAUCAAGAGCAUAAAAGGACCAAACUUUUAGCUGUAAUUCCACAUGAUCAUCAUCUAUACUUUUACCCUAAAAAAAGGACCAAACUUUUAGCUAUAUGGUUAUUUGAUGAUGUAAUUAGAUUUUAACAUGUUAUAAUUCAUAAUAGUUGGUUUAAGCUACUUUAUGACAUCGACAAGUCUUUCCUUUUCUAUUAUUUACUCUGAGAGUAUUUUCACUGUAAUGUAGGGAUGAGGCUGAGUGCAUCAAUAAGUUAGUUGAUAACAUAUUUCCUAAGUCACUUCAAAUUAUUUCACCUUUCCCGGAAAGUUUAGUGGGUAUAAAUCUCAGGUUGAGAAAGUAACCUCAUUAUUAGAUUAUGGAAUCAAAUGAUGUUCGCUCUAUCGGAAUUUGGGUAUGGGCGGCAUUGGCAAGACAUAAAUUGCAAAUGUUCUACAUCAAAGAUACCGCCAUUAAUUUGAAGCUGAUUGUUUUCUUGGUGAUGUUGGAAAACUUCAUCAGAAAAAUGGACUAACAUGGCUACAAAAAGUAGUCAUUCACAAGCUCUUGGGUGAAAAAUCGACUCUAACUAGUGAGCAUGAAGGGGUGAAUAUUUUAAAUAAUAUACUUCACUGGAAGAAAGUUUUGUUCAUCAUCGAUGAUUUAAACCAUCAAGAACAGUUGGAAUUUUUGGUUGGAGGGACAGAGUGGUUUGUUAUGGGUAGCAAAAUUAUUUUAACAGCAAGAGACAAGCACCUGUUAAUCAGUCACGUUGGGGAUAACGUGUAACAACUAUUAUAGGAGGAUGAAACACUUGAAUUGUUAAGUAGGCAUGCUUUUAGAGAAAAAUCACCAAAAGAAGAUUUUAUGAAAUUUUCAAGACAAGUGGUGAACCAUGCUGGUGGGCUCCCUUUAGCUCUUAAAAUUUUGGGUUCUUCAUUUUAUGGACGAGACAUAAAGCACUCGAUAUACAUAAUUGAUCGGCUGAAGAGAAUCCCUCACAAGGAUAUUCUAGGAACGCUUGUGCUUAGUUUUGAUGGCCUGGACAAAGAUGAGAAGGAAUUAUUUCUAGAUAUUGUAUUUCUGGAUAUUGCAUGCUUGACUAGAUACGAUUUUCAUCUUUGUGUGGAACUAGUACUUAGAGACGUGGGUCAGGAUUUUCUAAUAGAUUACCUUAUUGAAAAAUCUCUGUUAUCCAUCAACAUAAGUAACAGUAUGGUGAUGCAUAAUAUGAUAAGAGAAAUGGGUGAAAAUGUCAUACGGGAAGAGUAUGAUAACAGCAGAAUAUGGCUUCCCGAGGAGGUUUGUGACCUUUUUAAAGAAAACUUGGUAAGCAAUAUUUAGCGUUCGUAAUAAUUUCAUAUGCUCUUAGUUCUGUUUUUUUUUUGGUUUCAUUUUUAUUUGUUAGCAAUUAAAUACAUAAGUUUCAUUCUUUACAAAUAACUGAAAAGGUGGAAAGCCUAUCUAUACCAAAUGAUUACUAUUUUGAAAAUGAUUUUCUCAAUUAUAGCAAUAUUUUCAAGAGGAUACAAAGCUUAAAAAUACUCAUAGUUGGUGGUGGAACUUUUAGCUCGAACUGAGCUAUCACUUAUCUUCCCUCGAGCUUGCGGCUUAUAAGUUGGCCGGGGUAUCCUUCAAUUUCAUUGCCAGAGAGCUUUGAACCAUCACAGCUCCUGGUGCUUUGUUUACAUAGAAGUUGGCUUGUUGAACUUUGGCCAACAUCAAAGGUAUACUCUCUAUCUCAAUAUCUAAUUUCUUUGAUGUAAAUAAUAAUUGCUUUGAUAUACAUAAUUAACAUAAACAUUUUUAAUUUAUUGUGCACUCACUUGAAAGUGAAAACUUAAAACUUGUAAAUCCAAUGUACAAAGACUUAAAUCAAACACAUCAUCUCUCCAGCAGCUCAUACUUUAAUCUUUCAUUUCCCGAUUAAAUCUUCAAAUUAAUUAGGUGGAAUGGAAAUCCAAUGUCCCUCCUUGUGUCCCAUCUUUAAAUACUGCUUGUUAUAAAAAUAGGCUCCUUUUGUUUAUUAUGUAAGACAAUUGAAAUUUUCCCUUUGGUAAGCCCAAUCUUGUAGUCCCUAUGCUUUUCAUGAUAAUGUAAUACAAAGUUAUGUAUCUUUGCUCAAUUUGCUUAGUACAUAUUAGUACUAGUUUGUGAUGUUGUGUUUCGUAGAAACAAUAGUUGAUGCAUGUUGUUACAACUUUUGAUAUAUGUUUUCAAUGUAUAGUGAAUAAUUUGCAGUUUUAUAAGUAUACUUCGAUAUGUUACAUUUGAAUGUGGUAUCACAAGUGAAAACUAAAAAUCAUGAUAAUCCUAGAAUAAAUGGAAUAAGUGUAUAUGAGGUACUAUGAGUGAACUCAUAAUCAUGACAAUCCAAUAGAGUAAUGUUCAAAUGAGUUACCAUGAGUAAUAACUAGAAACCAUGGAAAUUCUAGAAAGAACUUAUCCAACAAGAUAGUCAAGGGGUCUAAAACAUAAGCUUAAAAAAAAGGGAAUGUUUCUCUCUCGGUGCAAGUUAACUUAAAUUGCGCCAACCAUGGGUAGGAGGGUUUCGUAUUUCCACACAGAAGGCGAUCAUGGCAAAAGAGAUGCAGAGCAUGAAGGGAAACACGCAGAAAGGGAGGAUAUUGGCUCUAAUGGAAGCUACAAAUGUCGAUUUAGGGCAACAAUUAGCAGAAUCAAGUAUGGAAGUUGGGGGAACACAAUGCACUGUCAAUUCAAAGAAUAAGAGAGCUGAUUUAAGUCAGGAACUAGAGGCAUUCACUGUUGGAAUAGAAAUUGGGGAACCUACUGAUGCCACUACGAAAGGAACGACGCUAGGUAAAAAGAAAGCAUUAUGGAAGCAACAAUCUGAGGCACAAAUCAUUUGGAAGGAGUUACAAACUCCACCAAGUGCUCAUCAAAUGGGUACAUCCAACAGUACCAAGUAAUCAUGGGUAGAUGAGGUUGAAGAAGAGGCUCAUUCUAAAGCACAGAAGAGGUCAAUUUGGGAUGACUUUGACAUUGCUAAGAUUUCUAAUGCAAGAUAUAAGUUGGAAUAUGUGGCUCCAUUGAAAGUAAGGGAAAAAUUGGUGGUGGAGAUUGAGAUAGAGGAUAUCAAAACAGAAAUCGAUUUUCGGAGUAAGGUUGUGGUAUGUUAUGUUUGUUAGAAUGAUGAAAAUCUAAAUAAUUGAAUAUAUUAAUGUAAUUAGAUAGUGAUACAAAUUAGCAUGAUCACAUAGAUUUGUUGUAGAAUCAAAGGAAUAAAUAUUUGAUAGAAUAGCGGAUUUGGAGGGAUUGAAUAACAGAUUUGUAGAGAUAGAAUAGCUGAUAUUUAGGGAUAGCAAUGACAGAUCUUUAGGGAUUUGUAAUAUUUAUUCUCUUUAUAUAAUGGAAAGACUCAUACUUUGAGAGGCGGCAUUCAACAAAACUGACAUGGUAUCAGAGCCUUUUGCAGUGCUUUGAUUCUUAGUGUCUUUCAUCUGUUGUUCCUUCCAGAUUUUUUUGGAAGUUUUGGUUCUGCUUACUGUUAGUCAAAAGUUAGUCCUAAGUAUCUUGGAAGUUAAGGCAUCUUAGAAUCUUAGUCUUGGUCAUUCUGAUUAUUUUGCAUGAUUGCAUUUUUAUAUUCCUUAGCUUGUUAAAAACAUGUCAUCAUAUCAGUUCGAGUCCUUCCAUGUUUGUUUCACGGGAAAAAAUUACUCCGUCUGAGAAUCUUAAUUCUAACUGUUGAAUGCCUUGAAUCGGACCCGUUACAACAGAAAGAACGGGGGUCUCGCUGUUAGGGCCCAAGCCUGUUAGGGCGUAGCUUAGCACUAUAUAUAGACGCUAUGGCAAACCUUAUUCUGAAUUCUGUUCUUGCCUCUCCAUAAUAAAACUGCUCCCCCUCUUCCCGUCGUAGCCAAUUUAUUGGUGAACCACGUAAAUCUGUUGUCUUAUUUUUCGCGUUUAUAUUUUCUCGUAUUAUCUCGAAUUUCGCAUAACAUUAAUUAUUUGUCAUCGGAAAAGAAUUAUGGGGCCAUAUAGAUGGAAGCGAUCCUACUCCUACCGAUCCUAAAAAGCUUGGUCAAUGGAAGGUUAAAGAUGCUCAAGUGAUGACAUGGAUUUUAGGGUCAACUGACCCUCUUAUUGUUCUUAAUCUCAUACCACACAAGACAGCAAAGGCCAUGUGGAAUUAUUUACGAAAGGUUUACAACCAAUACCAUAGCGCAAGACGCUUUCAGUUGGAACAUGAAAUUGCUAUGUAUUCACUAGGAGGUCUCUCCAUUCAAGAUUAUUUCUCUGAAUUUCAGAACUUAUGGGCUGAAUUUACCGAUAUCCUUUAUGCUAAAAUAUCUUCUGAAUCUCUCUCCAUCAUUCAAGGAGUUCAUGAACAAAGCAAGCGAGAUCAAUUUUUGAUGAAAUUACGAUUUGACUUUGAAAGUGUUCACUCCAACUUGAUGAGUUGUGAUCUAUCUACCUCGUUGGAUAUCUGUUUUAGGGAAUUACUUUGUGAGGAGCAGCGUCUCAUCAUACAAAAUGUUUUUCAUCAAGGAAAUGUUGUCACUAUUGCAUUUGAAGCUCAAGGGAAAGGAAAUGACGUGGAUAUGACUAGAACUCAACGCUACAGUUGCAAGAAAUAUGUUCAUAUUGCUCGCAAUUGUGGUAAGAAGUUCUGUAAUUAUUGUAAACAACAAGGACACAUUAUCAAAGAGUGUUCCACACGUCCUCAAAAUCGUAGGACAAAGGAUUUCCAAGUUGGGAUAAAUGAUUCCACUACAGAUAGAUCAUCUUCGGUAGGAUAAGUUAUUACUCCUUAAAUGGUACAACAAAUGAUCUUGUCAGCAUUUUCAACUUUGGGACUUCAAGGUAAUGAGGUAAUAUCUAAAUUUUGGCUUGUUAAAUUUGGCGCUUCCAACCAUAUGACCAACUCAAUUGAUAUACUCAAAAACUUUCAUGAGUAUAAUGGUCCAACACAAAUUCAGGUUGGCAAUGGUAGUUAUUUACACAUUACCAAGGUUGGGGAUAUUACUAAAAAUUUCAAGAAGCUCUCCACUAGUCUUAUUUCGGUUGGCCAAUUUGUAGAUAACAAUUGUAAUGUGAAAUUUUCUCGUAAUGGUUGCAUUGUGCAGGAUCAGGUGUUAGGGACGAUAAUCGCGAAGGGGCUUAAAGUUGGAAGAUUGUUUCCUAUACACUUUGCUAUUCCCUGUUCUGGAUUUUGCUUCCACCACUACUAAGAAUAAGGUUUGGCAUAAACGUCUAGGACAUCCAAAUUCUAUUGUGUUGUCUCAUUUUUGCAAUUUUGGUUUAUUGGAAAAUAAAAAUCAUUUUCCAGUUGCUUCCUUUGAUUGUUCUACUUUUAAAUCAGGCAAAAGUAAAACUCUUCAUCUUCCAGAUUUUGGUAGUCGUGCUGCAAAGUGUUUUGAUGCCAUUCAUGAGGAUGUUUGGGAAAUUUCACCAGUAACUUCACAUGCUCAUUUCAAGUAUUUUGUGACAUUUAUAGAUGACCAUAGUCGAUUUACAUGGGUGUAUUUUCUUAGAUCUAAAUCUGAUGUGUUUUCCAUAUUCAAGAAGUUUUUGAAUUACGUUGAGACUCAAUUUUCCACAUGCAUCAAAAUAUUAAGAUCUGAUUCUGAUUCUAGAAGUUUUUGAAUAUAUGUCUCAUGAAUUCAAUAAUUUGUUGCUUAAGAAAGGAAUUGUAUCACAACGCUCUUGGUCAUACACGCCACAACAAAAUAGGGUUGCUGAGCGUAAAAACCGUCAUCUUUUGGAUGUCACUCGUACUUUAUUGAUUGAGUCCUCUGUUCCAUCUAAAUAUUAGGUUGAAGUUGUGUCUACUGCUGUCUAUUUGAUUAAUAGACUUCCAUCUAAAGUGUUAAACCUUGAGUCUUCAUAUUAUCAUCUUUUUCACAAGCAUCCUAGCUAUCAUAGUUUUCAUACAUUUGGUUGUGUUUGUUUUGUGCACCUGCCUCCUUCUCAACGCAAUAAACUCUCUGUUGAGUCUAUUAAAUGUGCUUAAAUGGGCUAUAGUACAUCCCAGAAAGGAUUUAUUUGUUACGAUUCAAGUUCUAACAAAUUUCGUGUUUCUAUGAAUGUUAUUUUCUUUGAGAAUCAGUAUUUCUUUCCUAAUCAUAUUCAGUCAUCUUCUUUUUCUCCUCUUCUUCCUAAUUUUUAGGAUUUGUCAUUGUCUUCUAAGCGGUUCAAACCAGAUUUACGUAUGAACGACGUCGGCCAACUUUACCCCAUCCUUAAAUAGAUUUGCAACCUGAGGUUGCUGCACAAUCAGAAUCUGAGAUUUUUUCAAGGCCUACUCCUCUUGAGCCUCAUCGGCGAUCUACUAGAGUGUCUCAAACUCCUAAAUGGUAUGGUUUUUCUUCUACUUUAUCCACCAUCUCUAUUCCAACAGGUUACUCACAAGCCUCCAAGAUUGAAUGUUGGUAAAAAGCAAUGGAGGAGGAACAUUUGACUCUUAAAGAAAAUGACACAUGGGACAUGCUUUCAUGUUCUUCAAAUAUCCGCCCUAUUGGAUGUAAAUGGAUUUAUUCAAUUAAACUUUAUUCUGAUGGAACUCUUGAUCGGUACAAAGCUCGAUUGGUUGUUCUUGGUAGCAGACAAGAGUAUGGGGUGGACUGUUUGCAUCGGUAGAAAAAAUGACUACGGUGCGAACUAUUAUUGCCAUUGCUGCUUCACAGAACUGGUCUCUUUAUCAAAUGGAUGUCAAAAUCUUUUCUAUAUAGUGAUCUCAAAGAAGAGAUUUAUAUGAAACCUCCACCUGGUUUGUUCUCAUCACCUACAUAAGAUGUAUGCAAGUUGAAGUGGUCUUUGUAUGGAUUAAAACAAGCUCCAAGAGCUUGGUUUGAUAAGUUUUGGUCUACUUUGCUACAAUUUUCUUUUGAGCAGAGCAAAUAUGACUUGUCUUUGUUUCUUCGGAAAACAUCUACAAGUUGUGUUCUUCUUUUGGUGUAUGUAGAUGACAUUAAAGAAUCUUUUCAUAUGAAAUAUCUUGGUACUCUUACAUAUUUUUUUGGGUUUGGAAGUUCAUAAUGUUGCUUCAGGUGUGUUUCUAAAUCAACACAAAUAUACUCAGGAUCUGAUUUCUUUGACUGGUCUUCAAGAUUCCUCCUCCGUAGAUACUCCAUUGGAAUUGAAUGUGAAGUAUCGUCAUGAGGAAGCCGAUCUUCUUCCUAAUCCAACUAUGCUUCGACAAUUCGUUGGGAGUCUAAAUUACCUUACUAUUACUCGGCAUGAUAUCUCUUUUGCAGUGCAACAAGUUAGUCAAUUUAUGCAAGCUCCCCGUCAUCUCCACUUGGUGGCUGUUCGUUUUAUGAUUCUGUAUCUUCUAGGAACAUCUACUCGUGGAUUGUUCUUUCCAAGUGGUUCUCCUAUUCGUCUUAAUGUUUUUAGUGAUUUUGAAUGGGCGGGAUGUCCUAAUACUCGUCGUUCAGUCACUGGUUGGUGCAUGUUUCUUGGAGAGUCAUUGAUAUCAUGGAAGAGUAAAAAGCAAAGAUCAUGUUUUAAAAUUUUCAACAGAGGCUGAAUACGAUCCAUGUCUACUGCUUGCUCCCAGGUAGUAUGGCUUCGUGGAUUACUUGCUAAGAUUGGAUUUCCUCAAUCUCAUCCUACUCCUCUCCAUGUUGAUAAUACAAGUACUUUCAGAUUGCUAUUAAUCCAGUUUUUCAUGAGAGGACCAAACACAUCGAAGUAGAUUGUCAUUAUAUACGAGAAACUGUAGAUAAAGAAGUCAUUACUCUUCCACAUAUGGAAAAAUAUUGUCGAAUAAUUUCAUUCAUAUCUUUCUAUGUCAUGUACAUGACUUUAUAUAUACAUAAAAGAUUGUGCAAUAGAAUCACCUAAAUUAAGAGAAAGAAUUACAGAUAUGAUAUUCUAGAUUACUGCAAUUAUCCUAAGAUCUUAAAGCAUCAUAUCUUGAUAUGAAAAAUAUCUUCUCGUCUUAGAGGAUCAAAUCUUUGAUGACAAUAAUAUCUUCUUGAAAUCCUUUAUCAGCCAACGCUCCCCCUCAAGCGGGUGAAUGGAUAUCUUUCAUUCCUAGCUUGCUUAUUUGAUUUUGAAAAACAUUUUGGCAAUCCUUUUGUUAAAACAUCAGCCACCUGAUCUUUAGUGCUAUCAUGUUGUACAUGAUUAUGAGCUAUACUUAUUGCUGAUUUAUUGUCACAUUAUAGCCUCAUAGGUCCUUCCCAUCUUAUCUUCAAAUCAUCAAGGAUUAUUUUUAGCCAUAACAACUCACAAACUCCCAUCGCCAUAGAUCUAAACUUAGAUCCUACACUUGAUCUAGCUACAACAUUUUGUUUUUACUCCUCCAAGUCACCAUAUUUCCUCCUAAGAAUGUGCAAUAUCUAGAACAUGACCUUCGAUCCACUAAUGAACCAGCAUAGUCUGCAUCUGUAUAAACCAUGUAUCCUCCUCUUUUGAAUAAUACUCCUUUUCUUGGACUUCCUUUUUAAGAUAUUGUACAAUAUGGUUGAUAUCUUGAAGAUGCAUUUCUCUUGGAUCGUACAUAAAUUGGCUAACAACACUACAAAAAAUGCAACGUCCGGCCUUGUAUGGGACAAGUAAAUAAAUUUCUCUACAAGCCUUUGAUACAGACCUUUAUAAACCACUGAAUCUUCUGGAGCAUUGUACAAUCUAUGAUUAUAUUCAAUUUGUGUAGCCACAGGUUUACACCCUAACUUUUCUGUUUCUUUCAGCAAAUUAAGCACAUAUUUUUGUUGCGAAAUAAAGAUUCCUUGUUUUAAUGUGCCACUUCGAUUCACAAAAAAUACUUCAAUUUCCCAAGCUCUUUGAUGUCAAAAUCCUUGAGUAAACACUUCUUCAAAUUUUGCAUCUCCUAUGAAUCAUCACCUGUUACUAUGAUGUCAUCCACAUAAACCAACAAUGUUGUCACCUUUCCUGUUUUUGAGUGUCGUAUGAACAAAGUGUGGUCUCGUUGACUUUGUCGAUACCCUAGCUUUAUCAUGACAUUUGUAAAUCUUCCAAACCAUGCAUGAGGUGAUUACUUUAAUCCAUAGAGUGACUUCUUCAGUAUACACACCAUUCCCUUCUUGCUUUUAAAACAAGGUGGCACCUCCAUAUAGAUUUCUUUAUCUAAGUCUCCAUGUAUAAAGGCAUUUUUAUACCAAAUUGUUGUAGGUUCCAACUAUAAACUCCAGCCAAUGAUAAUAAACUUCUCAGUGUAUUCAUUUUCGCCACUAGGGAAAAAGUCUCCGAAUAAUCAAUUCCAAAUGUUUGUGUAUAACCCUUUGCUACCAAACAUGCUUUAUAUCUCUGUAUGGACCCAUCUAACUUGUAUAUCACAGUGAACACCUAUCUUCACCCGACCAACUUUUUUCUUUUGGUAAUUCCAUAAUAUCCCAAGUUUUGUUCUUCUCCAAAGCUUCCAUUUCUACCUUCAUAGAAUUCUCCCAUUCUUUAUUUCCUAAUGCUUCAGACAAAUUUCUAGGGAUAGGAAUUGCGUGAAGGUUACUGAGAAAAGCUUUAUGACUUGAGGAUAGGUUUUGAUAUGUCAUUGAGAGGCUCAAAGGGUGUUGCGUGCAAAUUCUGGCUCCUUUUCUUAGUGCAAUGGGAAGGUCAAGGUCAUUAGGUUGAUUAUCUUCAUGAUCAAUUUGGUUUGGUGUUUUUGACGGUUCAACAAUUUCAGGAUGGGUAUCACGAGCAGUAAUCGGAGGAGAUGAUUGCAACUGAGUUGUUUGAUUGGUUAGUCUCUUUCUUAUGGAAUGUACUUGUAAUGGUAGAUUAUUCUCUAGAAUUCUAUUAUCUAUAUUUGGAUUAGGAGACUCAAUGGGUUCAUUUGGAUUUAGAGACUCAGGUGACUGAAGAAAUGAUGAUUCAGGCAAGGAUUUUGCAUGACUAGAAAUGGACAAAUCAAAUAGUAACAAGUCUAGAGGUUCCUCUCCCUUCAAUGACUCCCCCCUGAUGUUAAGGAUGAUUAAAAAAGGAUUCACUCUCAUCAAAUGUGACAUCGUUGAAACAAAGAAUUUCUUUGAUCAUGGUUGGUAACACUUGUAACCUUUUUGAGUAGGAUAAUAUCCUAUUGAAACAUACUUAAGAGCACAUGGGUCUAACUUGCCUCCAUUUUGAGAAUGAAUAUGAACAUAGGCAAUACUUCCGAAGAUUCUAGGAAUCGAUUUAUUAGAAAUUUCAAAAUUUGGAAAGAAAUUCCUAAGAGUAUCAAGCGGACUUUGAAAGUUUAGAAUUCUUGAUGGCAUUCUAUUACUAAGAUGUGCAGCAAUUAAGACAACUUCCCCCAAUACUAUUUUGGCACCUUUUUGUGAAACAAUAGUGAUCUAGUAAUGUCAAGUAACAAACCAUUUCUUCUCUAUGCUAUCCCAUUUUGUUGAGGAGUAUUGACACAUGAAGAUUCAUGAAUAAUUCCUUCUUUUUGGAAGAAUACAGAGAGGUUUUGAUUGAAGUAGUCUUUGGCAUUAUCGGAUCGGUAUCUUUUAAUUGACACGUCAUAUUGGGUUUUAAUCAUAUUUAAAAAGGUAGGAAGAAUUUGUCUGACAUCUAAUUUUUGCUUUAGAAAAUAGAUCCACGUAACUCGUGUACAAUCAUCAAUGAAUGACACAAACCAUCUACCACCAGAAAUAUUAGGAAUAGGAGAGGGUCCCCAAAUAUCACUAUGAAUAAGAGAGAAUGGAGUUUGAAAUGACUAAUUCGAAAGGAAAUAUGUUUGUUUUUUGCAAUUUCACAAUCAUCACAAUGAAAAGACUCAACAUUCAAAUCUUUGAAAAAAGAUGGAAACAUCAUUUUGAUUGCAUAAAAGGAUAGGUGACCUAACCGACGAUGAUAAAGAAAUACUUUCUCUUUAUUGGACAUGGUAGAUUCAGACAAGAAAUAACUAGACAAGGAAUUCUGAGAUAUAUAUUCACCAUUGUGUAAAUCAAAACAAUAAAGACCACCUUUCUCACUAGCACGCCUAAUCAACUCCUUCGUGUUAUGAACCUGAAAUAAGCAAUAUGAAGGGAAGAAAGUUACUUGGCAUUUGGAAUCUUUUGCAAGUUUUUUGGAUAGAAAUGAGAUUUGCAUAUAACUUUGGGAUGUGAAAGACAUCUUUCAGUAUCAAGGAUUUUCCAAGUGGUAUAUCUUUUUGCCCAGCUACAAUAAUAACUGAACCAUCAGCUAUAGUUAUUUUUUUAUAGCUAGGACAAGGGGAAUAUGAUAUGAAGAGAUGAGAGAGACUGGUCAUGUGAUCAGUUGCCCCGAAAUCAACCACCCACAUUGGAGGAAGUGUGUCUGAGACAUUAGUAAUAAAAGAGUAAGAAGUACCUGUGAAGGCCAAUGAACUAUUACCUGUUGAAGUUAAAUGUUGCAAAUCUCCAAUUGAAACGUUAGAGUUAUUCUCUAUAGUUGCAGAAACAUUUGUAGAGAAUGGAAUAUUUGUGGCAUUAUCAUUUUCAGACAUGGUUUGGGUAGACAAAGAUAGCAAAAUGGGAUUUUUCAAGAUAGGAUGAAUAAAAUUGGUCAGGAAUAAGCCUAAAGCUCUGAUACCAUGUGGAAAAAGAUUGUCGAAUAAUUUUAUUCAUAUCUUUGUAUGUCAUGAACAUGGAUUUAUAUAUACAUAAAAGAUUGUGCAAUAGAAUCACCUAAAUUAAGAGAAAGAAUCACAUAUAUGAUAUUCUAGAUUACUACAAUUAUCCAAGAUCUUAAAGGAUCAUAUCUUGAUAUGAAAAAUAUCUUCUCAUCUUAGAGGAUCACAUAUUUUAUAACAAGAAUAUCUUCUUGAAAUCCUCUAUCAGCCAACACCACAUGUGUCCAGUGAUCUUCAAAUAGGUGAUGCGUUUACAAAAUCUAUGGUAUGACAACACCAUCAGUUUCUAAUAGGAAACUUGAUGCUUCUUAAUCCACUGGCAUCAAUUUGAGGUGGGAUGUUAGCAUGAUGGAAAUCUAAAUAAUUGUAUUUAUUAAUGUAAUUAGAUAGUGAUAUAAAUUAGUAUAAUCAUAUCGAUUUGUUGUAUAAUCAAAGGACUAAAUAUUGUGAUAAAAUAGCGGACUUGGAGGGAUUGAAUAGCAGAUUUGUAGAGAUAGAAUGGCUGGUCUUUAGGCAUAGGAAUGACGGAUCUUUAGGGAUUUGUAAUAUUUAUUCUCUCUAUAUAAUGGAAACUCACUUUAAGAGGCGUUCAACAAAACUGACAAUGUUUUGGGAGCUCAUCCCCCAUUUCAAGUUAUACAAGGAUAUAUUCACAAAAUUUGGGGUAAACAAGGUAUAGACAAAGUGGUCAUGCUUCAGAAUAGGGUGAUAGUAGUGAGGUACAAAACUGAGGCGGGAAAGCAUGAAGUAUCACGGGGGGGGGGGAUCUACCACUUUUAUAAUAAGCCAUUUAUUGUCAAAGAGUGAACACCAGAGAUUGAAUUCACAAAGGAGGAGCUAUCAACAGUGCCAAUAUGGAUCAAAUUUCUGGGGUUGGACUUCAAAUAUUGGAGUAUGAAAGGACUAAGUAAAAUAGGAAGACUAGUAGGUAGGCCUCUCAUGGUAAAUCGUAACACUGAGGAGAGGAGUGGGUUGAAUUUUGCAAGAAUACUGGUGGAGGUUGAGUUGGGGGCACAAUUACCAGAAGUAGUACAUAUCAAAAAUGAAAAAGGACAGCUUAUCGAACAAACAGUUCAAUAUGAUUGGAAAUCCAUACUGUGUAAAUACUGCAAGAAAUAUGGACAUAGUGAGGAAGUCUGCAGAUUGAAGAAGAAGAUUCCAAGAGAUGGGCAAAUGAAGCAAGGGACGCAACGAAUGGAAAGGGUGCCGCAACAGACUGUAGAAACUACCAUGAGACAUCAAAGCAGUAGUGAGGUCACACCAAGAAACCACAAUGAUGUUGGGAAGGAAAAAGGAAAACAAAGUGAAAAAGGAAGUACUAGUAAUGAAGGGUGGCAGGUUCCAGUGAGAACUGGAAGAACACCACAGUUGACAUCUCCAAGACACAAUCAGCAGGCUAAUGUUAAUUCAUUCCAGAUUUUACAUAGGAAGGAGGUGAAUUCGGAGAUUAGAGGCAAUGUGAGUGGACUGGCUAAUCUUGCUUUAGGGAAUGGUUAACAUCCUAAGUUGGAAAGUGAGGGGUCUUAAUGGUCCCAAUAAGCAAAGGGAAGUCCAAAUCCUUUGCAACAAUCAAAAGAUGAAUUUGAUAGGUUUAUUGGAAACAAAAAUUAAGAGGGACAAUAUAGAUGAAAUAGCUAGUAAGAUGUUUGUUGGCUGGAAAUUUGACACCAAUUUAGAUAAUCACUAUAAUGGUAGAAUUUGGGUUACAUGGAGGCCUAAUUAUUAUAGAGUUAACACUCUAAUGAAAAUUACUCAAUUGAUUACUUGUGAAGCUAUGUGUUUACCACUACAAAUCUCAUUUGAAAUCUCCUAUGUGUAUGAUUUUAACACUAUGGAGGAAAGGAAGGAGUUGUGGAAAUUUUGGUGCAACAAAGCAAAAUGUGUCGGAAACUGUGGAUGGUGCUAGGUGACUUUAAUUCUGUUUUAAAGGCGGAAGAUAGGGUAGGCGGGAAUGUUGUAGUAUGGUUGGAGGUGGAAGAUUUCCAUAAUUGUGUUAUAGCAAGUGGAUUGCUAGAAUUUCCAACGCAGGGACCUCGAUAUACAUGGAGUGAUAAACAUGCAAAUCAGAGAAUUUUUUUCAAAAAUUGAUUGGAUUUUUAUUAAUGAAGACUAGUUGAACAUUAUGUCAUCUUGUAAAUCCAUCUUCCUUCCUGAGGGCAUAAGUGAUCAUUGCCCUGCAAAAAUCACUCUAUCAGAAAUUCUUACGGCUAAGAGAUCUUUCCAAUUUUGUAAUGUGUGGGCACAACAUCCUCAGUUUUUGAAAAUUAUGAAGGAAGGAUGGGUUGUACAUAUUGAGGGUUGUAUGAUGUAUAAGGUGGUGAGGAGACUUAAACAUUUAAAGCGAAGUCUAAUGGGUUACAUUCAGAAGUUUUUCAAAAUAUUGUUGUUGGAAGGCAAUACAAAUAGGGAUACUUUACAGAAAGCCCAGGAAGGUUUACAUUCUUGUCCUACAUAUGAGGCACGUCAAUAGUUAGAAUACAAGGCUUAUCACAAGUUUUGAAAUUCUUCAUAUUUGGCUGAAAUGUUCUUGCAACAACGUAGUAAAGCUACAUGGAUUAGAUUGGGAGAUGAUAACACAAGGUAUUUCCACUCUAUCAUAAAGCACAAGAAGUUACGGAGGUGCACAGAAAGGAGCUGAUCCUACCAUUUGAUCCACAUGAUAUGAAGAAGAUAGUAUUCAAGAUUAACAGAAUUUGGAGCCCAGGUCCAGAUGGUUUUGGAAGUUGUUUUUACAUUGCUGCAUGGGGCAUUGUAGGGCAAGAUGUAACUAGCGCAGUGUUAGAUUUUUUCCAAUCCAGCAAGAUUCUAAGUCAACUCAAUUCUACUAGUAUUGCUCUUGUUCCAAAGAUAGAAAGUCUUGAGUUUGCCAACCAGUUUCGACAAAUUUCAUGUUGUUAUGUCAUACAUAAGAUCAUAUUGGAAAUGAUUUGUAGUAGACUAAGGAAAGCAAUCAGUCAUAUAGUAGCAACAAAUCAAUCAGCAUUUGUCGAAGGCAGAUCUAUGAUGCAUAAUGUGCUUCUUUUCCAUGACCUAUUGAGACACAAUAAUAGGAAAAAUGCUACUCCAAGAUGCCUAAUGAAAAUAGAUUUGAGGAAAUCUUACGACAUGGUUAGUUGGGAGUUCCUAAAGGAGAUGUUGCUUGGGUUUGGGUUUCCUGGGGAGUUUGUCAAAUGGAUUAUGCUUUGUGUAACAACUCUAGAAUUUUCAGUCAAAGUGAAUGGUGAAAACCAUGGCUUAGUUAAGGGGACCCUGUAUCACCAUUACUAUUUGUGCUAGUGAUGGAAUAUUUGUCUAGAAUUCUUAACAGUAUGGAGGAUUUACCAAAAUUUAGAUUUCACCCUAUGUGUAAGAAAUUGAAGCUUACUAAUAUUAUUUUUGCGGAUGAUUUGAUGUUUUUUCUGCAAAGGUAAUAUGGAGUCUGUGAAUAGAGUUAUGGAGGCCUUAGCACACUUUACAAAGGUGUCUGGGCUGGAAGCUAAUAUGGAGAAGUCAAGCUUGUUUUUAGCUGGAGUAGACGAUGGCAUUAGAGACCAACUGUUAAUAAGGACUGGGUUCACUGUCGGAGAAUUUCCUAUUAAAUAUUUGGGUCUACCUCUUUCUCCUAAAAAAUGGAAGUUGAUGGAUUGUCAUGCACUCAUUGCUGAAAUCACUCAAAGGAUCACUGUGACUUAUUCUAAGCAUUUGCCGUAUGCAGGUAGGCUACAAGUGAUAAAUAUUUUCUAUACAGAGUUUUUGGGGGGCAAUUUUUAUCCUUCGACAGAGUGUAUUGGAAGAAGUGGACAAAAUUUGUAGAACCUAUAUAUGUGGAGGGUCUGAGGAUAAAUGAAAGUUUACACUAGUAUCACGAGAACAAGUAUGCUUUCCAAAGAGGCAAGGAGGAUUAAGCAUUAAAGGUUGUAGUAAUUGGAAUGCUGCCUCUGUCGGACAACUUAUUUGGCAACUAAUAGUUAACAAUGAGUCAUUAUGGGUAAAAUGGGUAUUGGAAUAAACUAACUUCUCUCAAGGCACAAAUGCAUGAACGGUAUAUUCAAGACACAUAUCAACUUACAAAGGAUGGGAAGUAUUCUAUUACAAUUAGCUACUUGGCAAUCAUAGGUCAGAGACCAAAAUUGAAGAAUGCAGAAUUAAUAUGGAACUCUAUGGCCUUUCCUAGGAAAAGAUUUUUGGUAUGGUUGGUUGUACACGGUAGGCUUCUAACAUAAGAGAAGAAAAUAAGGCUCCAAAUUCAAGAUGAUGAGACUGAUUGUUGCCUAUGUGAUGAACAAGUGAUAGAGACUAAUUCUCACUUGUUUGAGCAUUGUAAAUGGAUUAAAAAAGUAUGGCUUGAGAUACAGAAAUUGACAGGGGUAAGGGUUUCUACUGGAGGUAUACAUCAAAUCUUGGAAAACAUCAAGAAGAAGCAUUGGAGGAAAUUUUAGAAGGAGGUUAUAACAGCUUGCUAUGGAGCUGCGCUUUAUCAUACUUGGCGUGCUAGAAACUGGAAGAAAUUUAGAAAUAAGUAUGUAUAUAUUAUAGAGGUUGUCGCGCAGAUAAAAAAAGGAGAUAGGGGAGAGAAUACGUUUACUUUGUAAAACUAAGAGAGCACUGACUUGUAGAUUUUUUAUUAGAGAACUAGAGAUGUAAUUAGUUGUUUGUUUUGUUGGAGGCCUCAUUUCUGCUAAUAGAAAUAAGGUGAUCCUUAGUUGUAAUUGGUUUUUAUGGUUAUGGUAAUCUUUUACAGUUGUUACCAAAAAAAAAAGAUAGUCAAGUAGAAUAUAGUGUGAAAUUCUAUCAAUUUUUCAUGUCACAAUUGUCUCUCGCUUUACCAUCUUUGCCGCUCAACUAAGGGAUUUUAGUCCGAAACAUUUCACUACAACUACUUCUGAAAUGUUGUCAAAAUAAGAAACAAUGGUGCGAAAAUAGCUUUUUUGUACAAGUUAUAUAUGGUCCCAACCUUAAAAAUUGUUGCGUUUGAGUUUGAUAAAUUGUGAAUCGAAGAAGGAUCAAGAAACAUAGUUUGCUGGAGAAAAUAUUUCUAUUAGGAGUACUACUUAAGCUCACCAUUUUUUUGUUGUUUUGGAAACAAAAAUUGAGCAACUUGAAGCAUUUGGAUCUCAUGAUUAGCUGUGAAUUAAGAAAAAACCCUAAUUUUGGUGAUAUGCCAAACUUGGAGACACUAAAUUUACACGGGUGUGUGAAUUUGAAAGAUGUCCAUCCCUCUUUUGGACAUUGCAGACUGCUUACUUAUUUGAGUUUGGAAGGUUGUCACAAAGUUAAGAAGCUUCCAAAAUUUGUCUGCAUGAAAUUUCUUGAGACUCUCAAUUAACUUGAAUGCAAAGCUUAGAAGAAUUUCCAGAAAUCUGUGGAGAUAUGCCGUGCUUAUCGGUAUUCUAUGUAAAAUCCACGUGGAUAAGAAACUUACCUCCAUAUUUCAGUAGCCUUAGCAAUUUGCAAUUGAUUGAGUGUGAAGUUCUUGAAAAUUUUCCAGACGCUAGUCAAAAUCUUAGAUAUCUCCGUAUUUCAGGUUGUAAUAAACCAAUGUUCUGGAUUGGUAAAUCUCCCCAUAUCUCUUGGAGUUCAAAAGAAGCUCCAAUUUUUAGAAAUAGAUAGAUGUGAGAACUUAAAGAAGCUUCCAAGCUCGAUUCAGAUGAAAUCCCUUCAAAAGCUCAAGAUAUCUAAUUCCCCAAAAUUAGAUACAUUUCCAGAAAUUGACGGAGAUAUGCAUUACUUGACACUGCUGACUCUGAUUUUUACUAGGAUAAGAGAAGUGCCUUCAUCCAUUGGGCAUCUAAGAGGACUCGAAUAUCUCUAUCUGUCAGGUUGUAAGAUCUUCUAAGUCUACCAGAUUGCCUCUGCAAUUUGAUGAAACUUCGAAGUCUUUAUCUCGAUGGGUGCAGAAAGCUAGAGAAACUUCCAGAAAACAUUGGUGAUUUGCAAGAUUUACAUAUGCUUGAUGCGAGCGAAGCUGCAAUCUCCCAACCACCUCCCUCCAUCACUAAGCUUGGAAAACUGUGGACGUUACGAUUCUCACAUGAACAACAAUUUUAACAUUCCUCAAGUUUUGUCUUGAAUCAAGUAUCAGGUCUAUCAUCCUUGACAUCACUUGAUAUUAAUAAUCACAACAUCUUGAGUGGACUUCAUGAGGAUUUAGGAUCUUUACACUCUUUGGAAAAUUUGAACGUAAGUGGAAGCAAUAUUUCUUGUUUACCAAAAAACGUCAAAGGACUCUUACACCUUCAGCAUCUGAACGUACAAUUCUGUCAGAAUCUUAUUGAACUGCCAAGAGAGCUACCCCAAAAUUUAAGGGAGCUAUUUGCAGAUUAUCAUCUAGCCUUGAAUAGUAGCAAAAAUCUCGUAAUUUGUUAUCUUAAGAUGUGUAGGCUCGUAAUAUCCGACCAUGGAACUUUCUCGAGUGAACAUAUUAAUGUGUUCCUAUAAAAUUUUCUCAGGAAAUACAUCCAGGUUUUGAUCUAUCCCACACAUAUAUGAAUGUUGAAUAUAUAUUCUCAUUAAAUUGAUUUCUAGCAGUAAUAAUAAUUUUCUAUUGCAUGCAGUGUGACUUCCACCAAAGGGCUUGUUUUAUAAUUUCUUUUCCCGGAGUCAAAAUUCCAGAGUUGUUCAAUUAUGACCGGUUUAUAAAUCAAAAUGUAAUCUCAAUUGAGUUGAACCCAUCUUGGUAUAGUGAUAAAUUCAUGGAUUUUUGGAUAAGUUACGGUCCUACUAGACUGGACGCAGGAUUAGAAGCUACAUUGGUCUGCAAGUGUGACCCUGAAAGAAAUUAUUCCUUGGAGUAUAGCUACAUCUUGAAUAUUCUAUGUUUGAGGAUCGUUUCAUUUGUUGUACCUACAUACCAUUUGAAACAUUGUGGCAUGCUUCUGAAAAUAAAGAAGAGAAGAACCCAAAUGAUUAUUACAUGUUGGAGAGAUCUGGGGAAGAAGUAUGUUGGGGAAUUCGCCUGGAGUAUGAAAAGGAAGCAAUGAUUGAUGCAAAGGUCUGUUUAUGACUUGUUUUACAUCACAAAUUUCAAAUAUUUUUCUGUCUUUCUUAAAUUUGUAUCAUAAAAAAAUGGUAUGGAAAGUGUAUGUUCUACAUUGUUGGUACCCUUCUCAAAUGGUAUGGAAUUUGUAUCGAUGAUAGAUGGAUGAAAUUUUUAUUUAUAAUGUUGAUGUUUGAGUGCGAAACAAUUUUUCUACCUUUACUAGGUAAGAGUAAAGUUGCAUACGCACCAUCUUCCUAAGAUCCUCUGGAGAGGCAUUUUUAGUGCCCUUUAACUUGGCUUUAAAUUAUAUUUUUGUAUUUCAACUUUGGAUGUGCACAAAUAGACACUUAAACUUGUAUAAAGUUAAACAAAUAGACACACAUAUUCCACAUGUCAUCCUACAUGUCAUUUUUUGUCCUACGUAGUGUCCUACGUGUAUUGUGACAUGUAGGACUCAUGUGUUUAUUUAUUUAAAAGUUGAAUAGUGAAAGUGUCUGUUUGUGCAUUAUGGAAGUUGAAGGUCAAAGUUAAAAUUUGAAGUCAAGUUUAGGGUCUAAUAUAUAUAUUAUGCCUAAUAACAAUUGAGUCAUAGAAUUUUUGUAUAUAUAAUGUAAAUGGAUGUUCCAUUAUGAGUUGAGAAAAUUUGUGUAGCUCAAUAUAUUCUUUUUAAAUUUACAUAAACACUUCAAAACUAUUCUGAAUCCAAACAGGCUCUAAUUAUAUACCUCAAUAGUUAGCUUUUGGGUGUGGUUCUCCCAGGUCAGUCUUUCUUUUCUGUUUUUUCUUCUAAAUUAUUACGAAAUUUUUCUUUAAUUUCUGGACAAUUCCUUAGGCAGGGCAAUAAAUUUAUAUCGAUUUGGUGUUCAUGUGUUUAAUUAAAAGGGAUAAUUAUAUGUCAUGAAUAGGAAGAUGAUAACAAGUUUACUACGAGUUUAAGGGUUAAUUUAGCAAAGUGAUAAGUAGAAGGGUUCAACUGACAAAUGGAGCCAAGUACAGGGAAAUUCUUCCCCACGGGUGCAAAUGGAUCAAGAAGAUCAAGAGGUUAAACAAGCUCUGCGUUGUACCCAACGUGGAAAUUGUCAAAACGAAGCCAAAAAAAUGUACUAGUAUUUUAUUUUUAUUAAAUUUAUAUCACACUAAUUGCUUUUUCUAUCCGAUAAUAAUUAUCCGCGGUACUAUUUUAAAAUGUCCAAUCAUAUUUAUCUACGUUAUGAAAUCAAUAAGUAAUUUUUUACUUACACAAUUAUAGCCACUUUGAAAAUUGCGAAAGGGAAAAAGAAAGUCAAAGAAAUUUCCAUGUGUUGUACUAUUAGGGAUAAUGCACAAGUACUACCUCAACUUAUGUUCAAAAUCUCAGAGACACUUAUACUAUACUAAGGUGGUAUUAUUACUCCCUGAACUUAUUUUAUUAAUAAUUUUUUACCUCUUUUCAGCCUAUGUGGCACUGUUUUAUGGGCCCAACGCUGGUUGAUUUUUUUUUAAGUUAGUGCCACAUAGGCCGAAAAGGGGUAGAAAAUUACUUAUAAAAUAAGUUCAAGGGUAAUAAGACCUUAGUGUAGUAUAAGUGUGUCUUUGAGAUUUCGAGCAUAGAUUGAGGGGGUACUUGUGCAUUUUCCGAGGGAAUUGCAGUUUGAAUAAGUGGAAACUCUGGAGAGGAGUAGCUUCAGACGUUGGGGUUAUAUUCUGGCAAGCAUCUUGAGAAAAGGGGGACCAAAUGAAAUUUCCUUGUUGUCAAUUGGAAUCAAAGUAUCUAAACAGAGCUUUGAGCCUCUUAUCAAUUCCCUUAUAGAAAGCAAAUGGUUGAUCCGCGGUGGACAGGAAAGUAGAUCCAUUGACCUUGAUGGGUGCCCAGAAUUGAAACAGACAAAUAUUUGAAGUCCACAUUUUCUCCAUAGCAAAUAGGAUCCUCCAAUUCUCAUUUGGAAAGAUGGAAACAACAUAAUAAGCUGGAGUUAUAAAAAGGGUUAGAGAGUGCUAAACUAAACAAAAUUAAAAUUGGAAAAUAUUCACAAAAGACUCUCAAGAAAAAGAGUUAAUGGGAAGAUUGCUGGUACUCCAACUUGUCAUUGUGUUUUCUGCUCCAAAAUGCCCAGCCAUUGCCAUUAUCACUGAGUUCCAGUUGAGACCAGUCCAGUUUACAAGGCAUUACCUCACAUACCUCUGAAGGUUCAUCAACAACAAGAUGCUCCAUACUAUACUAUACAAAUACAAUUUCACUAUCGCUUUGCUGCUUAUAUACAAGGAAGGAUUGUGGAUCAACUAUUCAAAAGUCAUCCAGAAACUACUAUUAUUUUCAUCCACAAUUCUCCAUUUAUAUUAUCACACUAAUUAAAUAAUUUAUCCGUUCCAUUUUAUAUAUAACAUUUUUAUUUUGUACUUGCGUUAUAAACUAAUACUUUCUUCGUUUCAAAAAGGAUGACCUAGUUUGAUUUGGAACAAAGUUUAAGAAAAUAAAUAAGAUUUUUUAAUCUUGUGGUUCUAAAUUAAAGUUAUGCCAAAUGUACCAAAUGUCCUUUAAUCUUGUGGUCUUAAACAUGUCACGUGGAAAGUUAAAUUAAAGUGUUGCAAAAAAAGGAAAGGGAUUAUUCAUUUUGAAACAGACUAAAAAGAAAAUAGGGUCAUUCUUUUUAAAACUGAGGGAAUAUAACUUUAUCCUUCUUUUCUUAUUUAGUGUUUUCUUAAAUCAGCAAAAUAUAAUAAUUUAUACUUCCUCCGUUUCAAAAAGGAUGGCCUAAUUUGACUUGGACGGAGUUUAAGAAAAGAAAGAUAACUUUUUUAGUCUUGUGGUUCUAAAUUAAAGUUAUGUCAAAUGUACCAAAAUGCCCUUUAAUCUUGUGGUCUUAAGCAUGUCAUGUGAAAAAUUAAAGUUAAAGUAUUGUCAAAAAAGAAAAGGGGUCAUUUUUUUAAAACAAACUAGAAAGGAAAUAGGGUAAAACGGCGGGAGUACAUAAAGUUUAUAAAAUGAUAAAUAUUGUGGUCCAACUAUUUAUAAAAAGAGACGACAUAUUAUUUCUUCCGUUUCAAAAACAAUGACAUAGUUUAAUUUAACACAAAAUAUAUCAAAAAAUUAAAAGACUUUUAUUCUUUUUGGUCCUAAAUUAAGGUCAUAUCAAAUACAUUUAAGAUAAUUCUUUUGUAAGCAUACUAAAAAAAUAAUUCCUUUAUUUAGAGGGAAACGAUGCAAAUGGAUCAAGAAGCUCAAGUGGUUCUACAAGCUCCGAAUUGUCAAAACGAAGGCAAAAUAUCGUACUACUAUUUGUUUUUUAUUUAAUUUACAGGAAAGGGUUAUAUUGUGAAAUUAAUAGAAAUAUAUUUUGUUUAUAAUAUAGUUUUAAAAUAUUUUUAUCAUCAAUAUUUUGAUUUUAAAAUUUCCUUAGUAUUAUCUCUAAAGAACCUUAUUCUUACUUUCUUUCUUUUUACAGUUAGGGGUUAUGAAAUGAUUUUUAGGAGCUUUUGCAAAUAGUCAUCAAAAUAAAUUUAAUAAUAUUUAAUAGUUAUAGUUUGCAUAUUUAUGGGUAGUAACUACAGUUUAAGCAAUCUCUUUGUAUAAUUUACAGGUUUGUAUAAUUUGCGGGUACAUUUGUAUAAUUCAGUUAUUUUUAUAAAAGUCAAAAAAACGAAUUUAUACAAUUACAAACAUCACAAGUGUAAACAAUUAUAUAAAUUAUAUUAUACAAAUUUUGAAUAUCACGCAGAUCUGGUGACAAAGAAUUUAGAAUCCAAGUUGUGACCAUAUCAUCACACCUUUCCCAUUGCUGAAAGCUAAGAUUAGUAGGAUCGGGUCUCACAACCUUCCCAUUCAUGAGCAUUUCGAUUUUCUACUAUUCCUAGUCCUUAAAGAAGGUACUUGUGCCCUUAGGGGAUGGUUUGAAUUCAUCCUUAUCAUGAUCUAAAAAUCUAGUGACACCUGCCUUAUCCCACCAAUACAUGUUAACUUAAACAAUCCUUGACAAGGGCAAUAACAAAAGUAAGAAAGAAAUCAAGAACAAAACAUAACAUAAUAAUGCAAAACUCUUAAUAUAACACAGUUUUCCCUCAAAAUCUAGUGUCACGUGUACAAGCCUCUAAAUAAUACAACAGAUUUAAAAGAAGUACAAGUCUACAAUAAUUAGAUAGUAGAAAGACAUAAUCAAGAGUAUGUGAUAACUGUUGAGAUGGUCACGAACAUCUCCAAAGGUAAGUCUUAAUAAAGAUGUGAGAGGACGAUCAAGAUGAUCCAGACUCGUAACCUACACAAGUAUGGAGAGAAAGGGAGUAAAUACCAAAUAAUAACGUUACUCAGCAAGCAUUCCUAGAUAACACUAAGUAAAGUGAUAUCAAACACAAGCACUCCGUCACACUUUCUAAACCUCUUCAAACUAAAAUUACUAUAGUAUUUAGAACCAACUCAUCCUAACAGUUUUACAAGUAACGGAGCAACACGUUACAUGUAAUACACAGUUAUAUCACAUAUCAGAGUCUCUAUAGUAUCACCGUAACCUGUCACAUCUAGAUAGCCAUAAAAUAACAACUCACUCAUAAAAGACAAGAAUGACAAUGAGGAGUGAAUACAAUGCAAUGCAAUGUCAUAUAAAAUGAAGCAUGUCUGUUCAGUUGAUACACAUUGGCUAACUAGUAUCUGUGACACAUACAGAACCUGUAUGUUCAUGCAUUCACUACAAAAGUGCUAAUUAGGAGCUCAGGACCUACAAAGGACAUAUUAGUACAUACAUCCGUUAAAUGCAUUUUUUACCAGUAUAAACAUCAAUCACCAAAACAAUUUUCCAUCGAUAUUACAUUAUUCGCCGAAAUCAUUUUUCAUAAGCAUAAAAAUCAAUUGCCAAAAUUAUUUUUCAUCAACAUAUUACGAAUUCAAAUUCCACGAUAGUGUUUUAGAUUCAAUACAAAUAAGCAUGUUCACAUGUAUAAUAAGAAGAUGAUAACUUUCACAUCAAUAAUCAAUCCACACACACAAUUAUGACACAUCAUCAAAAGUGAGUCAAGAUAAUCAUUCAAGCUACUCGUGGCACAUCACACAAUAUUAUAUGUACCAUUCAUUUUUCCCCAAGUAAUCAUAACAAAUAUUCAGACAAUUUAAUAACAAGCACUCCUUUGUCUUAAUUUAUAUGACUUUCUUUCCUUUUUAUUUAGUCCAAAAGAGAAUGACACAUUUCUAUAUUAAAUAACAAUUUAACUCUAAAAUGUAUAUUUUACGCUUAAUGAAAUGAUUUACAACCACACAAAUUUCUAUCAUUCAUUUUGAACCAUAAGUUUUAAAAAUCUUUAUUUCUUUCUUUAACUUCGUAUCCAGUCAAACUACCUCACGUAAAAUAGGAUAUAUUAGUACAUGCAUCCGUUGAAUGCAUUUUUUACCAGUAUAAACAUCAAUCACCAAAAUCAUUUUCCAUCGAUAUAAACAUUAUUCGCCGAAAUCAUUUUUCAUAAGCAUAAACAUCAAUUGCCGAAAUUAUUUUUCAUCAACAUAUCACGAAUUCAAAUCCCACGAUAGUGUUUCAGAUUCAAUACAAAUAAGCAUGUUCACAUGUAUAAUAAGAAGAUGAUAAAUUUCACAUCAAUAACCAAUCCACACACACAAUUAUGACACAUCAUCAAAAGUGAGUCAAGAUAAUCAUUCAAGCUACUCGUGGCACAUCACACAAUAUUAUAUCUACCAUUCAUUUUUCCCCAGGUGAUCAUAACAAAUAUUCAGACAAUUUAAUAACAAGCACUCCUUUGUCUUAAUUUAUAUGACUUUCUUUCCUUUUUAGUCAGUCCAAAAGAGAAUGACACAUUUCUAUAUUAAAUAACAAUUUAACUCUAAGAUGUAUAUUUAAUGCUUAAUGAAAUGAUUUACAACCACACAAAUUUCUAUCAUUCAUUUUGAACCAUAAAUUUUGAAAGUCUUUAUUUCUUUCUUAAACUUCUUAUCCAGUCAAACUACCUCACGUAAAAUGGGAUAUAUUAGUACAUGCAUCCGUUGAAUGCAUUUUUUACCGGUAUAAACAUCAAUCACCAAAACCAUUUUCCAUCGAUAUAAACAUUAUUAGCCUAAAUCAUUUUUCAUAAGCAUAAACAUCAAUUGCCGAAAUUAUUUUUCAUCAACAUAUCACGAAUUCAAAUCCCACGAUAGUGUUUCAGAUUCAAUACAAAUAAGCAUGUUCACAUGUAUAAUAAGAAGAUGAUAAAUUUCACAUCAAUAACCAAUCCACACACACAAUUAUGACACAUCAUCAAAAGUGAGUCAAGAUAAUCAUUCAAGCUACUCGUGGCACAUCACACAAUAUUAUAUCUACCAUUCAUUUUUCCCCAGGUGAUCAUAACAAAUAUUCAGACAAUUUAAUAACAAGCACUCCUUUGUCUUAAUUUAUAUGACUUUCUUUCCUUUUUAGUCAGUCCAAAAGAGAAUGACACAUUUCUAUAUUAAAUAACAAUUUAACUCUAAGAUGUAUAUUUAAUGCUUAAUGAAAUGAUUUACAACCACACAAAUUUCUAUCAUUCAUUUUGAACCAUAAAUUUUGAAAGUCUUUAUUUCUUUCUUAAACUUCUUAUCCAGUCAAACUACCUCACGUAAAAUGGGAUAUAUUAGUACAUGCAUCCGUUGAAUGCAUUUUUUACCGGUAUAAACAUCAAUCACCAAAACCAUUUUCCAUCGAUAUAAACAUUAUUAGCCUAAAUCAUUUUUCAUAAGCAUAAACAUCAAUUGCCGAAAUUAUUUUUCAUCAACAUAUCACGAAUUCAAAUCCCACGAUAGUGUUUCAGAUUCAAUACAAAUAAGCAUGUUCACAUGUAUAAUAAGAAGAUGAUAAAUUUCACAUCAAUAACCAAUCCACACACACAAUUAUGACACAUCAUCAAAAGUGAGUCAAGAUAAUCAUUCAAGCUAAUCGUGGCACACCACACAAUAUUAUAUCUACCAUUCAUUUUUUCCCACGUGAUCAUAACAAAUAUUCAGACAAUUUAAUAACAAGCACUCCUUUGUCUUAAUUUAUGACUUUCUUUCCUUUUUAGUUAGUCCAAAAGAGAAAGACACAUUUCUAUAUUAAAUAAUAAUUUAACUUUAAGAUGUAUAUUUUACGCUUAAUGAAAUGAUUUACAACCACACAAAUUUCUAUCAUUCAUUUUGAACCAUAAAUUUUAAAAGUCUUUAUUUGUUUCUUAAACUUCGUAUCCAGUCAAACUACCUCACAUCAAAUGGAAUAGAGAGAGUAUAAUAUAAGAAGACCUUCACCAUUCCCCAUUACUCCAAAGUACACAACGAAACAUAGAAGGUUCAAUAUACUUUCAAAGGGUUAAAAAGGUUCACUUACCUUAAAAAGGAAAGAAAUCAACUUGGUACUAUUCAUGUCAAUUUUUUUAAUUUUCAAACGUCUAUCUCUUCAUAUCAAUUUAUUUUAAUGUGUUCAAAUUUAAAUUAAUGUGAGCUAUUUUUAAAUUUAGAUGACCCGUUUAUUUUCCACCUCUAAAUAUAGUCAAAAGUUUAGUUUGUGGACAAGUGUAAAUGGAUCAAAAGCUCAAAAGUUACAAACACACUUAGCUUUUUUUUUUUUUGGUUGUUGUUGGAAAUUGUACAUUUUCCCAUGUUGUAGUCCUCUGGAAAUUGUCAAAGGUAAAACGGAAGGCAAUAAAUUGGGAAGUUAGUACCGUUUUUUCUUAUUGAAUUUAAAUAAUAUCAUCCAUAAUACUACAGUCUACAAGGUUAGCAUUUUUUACUAGUUUUACAUUACAAUGUCUAUUUACACGUAGUGGCCUUGAAGCCGGGGGGACACAAAAUAUGGCUACCAUUAAUUGGUGGUUCCAUAUUACAAAAGGUGGAAGUAAAAUAUAUUAAUAUUAAGGGAAAAUGCACAAGUAUUUCCUCUAUUUAUGUCCGAAAUUCUAGAGACAUAUUUAUAUUAUGCUAAUGUCCUAUUGUCACACUUCUUUUUUUUCUCUCAAAUAUUUUUUUUUUUAUUUUUCGUAAGAAAAGAGUUUUUCCAAUUAAAGUGACAUUUUGAAAAGUGAUAAUUAUUAUACAGAGUCGCCACUUAGAAUUGAGUUUUGGUGUUCCAAGUCACCUUAUUUAAAUCCCUAAUCAAAAGGAAAUUUGACUCUAUUUUUUAUUGGUCUGCAAACUAGAAAUUCGGGUAAGGAUUUCUGUUGACCGAGGGGAAGGUGUUAGGCACCCCUCGAAUCCCGUGGUUCUAGCACGGUCGCUUUAUUAACUUUGAUAUGACUUGACUUAAUUUUGUAUAUUAUAUUUUUUAAACUUAUUGAUAAAUUUUUAUUUACCCAAAUUUAUUGGUUAACUUAUUUGAAACUGACUAAUUUAUUUGAAAUGAUCUUCUUUUUUCAGGGUAUGUCCAUUUAUUUUUAAAUACCUAAUAUUUUGAAAGUAAAAUUUAUGUAGGAAAGAGAUUUUAGUGUUUGAGUAAUUUUAGUAUUAUUUCUUUUUUAGUUACAUUUUUGAAGAAGAGGUAAAAUUUUAAGAGAUUUACUAUUAUUUUUACAAGAAAAAAUUUGAUUUUUUUUUAAUGCUGCAUGUUCUUUUUUUUAAUUAUUAUCUUUGAUAUUUUUUUUUUGUAUUUUUUAUAAUAAAGUAAUAAUUUUUAAUUUUGGUUGACAUUCUUUUAAACUCACUCUUUAUCUUUCUUUCUUUUUUACUUUAUUGUUAUAAAAAAAACUUACGUGUUUGUUAACUUUUUCAUUAUUAUUUAUUUCUAUUUUCCUUUCAUUCUUUUUUUUUUAACUUUCUGCUUUAUUAACUUUUUUAUUGUAUUGUUAUUUUAUAAAAUUUGUCUUCUUCUCCUUUUUUUUUUGUAUAAUUUUUGUUACUCUUUUUCACGUUCUUUUUUUUAUUCUUUUUUUUUAUUUCUCCUUCUUUUCUUUUCUUUUCUUUUCGUUUUUUUUUUCUUUCUUUUACACGUUUUUUUUUAAAUUUUUUUUCACGUUUUGAUUUUAUCAAUAUUCUGUUUUAUAUUUUUUCAUUUUUUAUUUUUCUUCUAAUUAUUUAUUUUAUUUUAUUUUAUUUUAAUACGUUUUUUAUGUUCUUCUAUCUUUCUUUUUUUUUUCUUUAACUUUCUGUUUUAUUAAUUUUAUAUUUUUAGUUUAUAAUUUACUUAUUCUUCUUAUCUUAUCUUUUCUUCUUCUUUUUUUUUAUACGUUUUCCUAUUAUUUUUUUUCUCUGAUUCUUUCUUCUUCUUUUUUAUUUUCUUUAUUUUUACAAUCUCUUUCUUCUAAUUUUUGGUUAUGUUUUUUUCAUUCUACUUCUCUUUUCUUUUUAUUUUUUGAUUUUUUCAUUUUUCACAUAUUUUUCUUUUUAUUUUAUUUUUUAAAAAAAGAUUCUGUUAUUUUUUUUAUUUUUUUUUCGCUGUUUUUUUUUUUGUUUUCUUGUUUGUUUGUUUUUUGUUUUUUUUAUUUAUUCUUUUGUUAUCUUUAUACAAUUUUUCAAAAUUUUACUUUUGUUAUUGUUAAAAUUAUAUUUAUUAAUAUUAAUUAUCACUAUUUCAUCAUGAAUCUCUAGAUGAAAUUUAUUUCUCUUUUUAAUUAACAAUUCUAUUUAGAUAAUUUUUGUUUUUGAAAAAUCAUUUAUUAAUUAUUUUUAUAUUUUAAUCUAACAAGUUAACAAUAAAUUUAACAAAAUUCUAAAGUGAAAAACUAAACGGAAAAAUAUAUGAAUCUAAUCAAAUUUAUCAAUUCAAUAUCAUGAAGAGAUAUAAAUUACAAAGUGUAUCUAAAAAGCAUAAUAAUAACAAUAAUAAUAAUGUAACAAUAAUAAAUAUGAUACAUGCGAUUUGAAGAAUUUCAUACUAUUGAAAUCUAAUUUUCAUACAAGUAAUAUUAUUUAAAUCACGCGAGAAUUUAUAAUUACCUCGCUGCGAAAUUUCAUACCACAAAAACAAGCUUUCUACGAAUUUGGAACCAAGAGGAAAACCUCUAACUCUAACCUAAUUCUCAAAAGAAUAACUCACUUUUCUUCUCUUUGCUUUUUUUUCUCUCUGUAUUUCAAUCUGUCUUUGUGUGUUUUUAACAUCUCUCUGUAUCUGUAUAUUUUUAUAAUUCUUUUGACUAAGAGUUUGGUGCUAAAUAAAAGAAACGUAAUAGAGUUGAAUUAGGAUUUAAUUUGAAAUAUUGUUGAGGAAAUUGGGGUUGAUGAUAAGGAUAUAAAAUAAAUAAAUAAAUAAAUAAUAAUAGAAAUUAACAAAAAAAAAAUAAAAAAAAUGUUUAAACUAAACGUGCAAAGAGAGAGACAGAGAAAAAAUGAAAAAAUAAAUAAAUGAAUAAAUAAAUGGGAUGAGAUUUUUUAGUAAAAUAAGUUAGGAAGUUGGGAAUAAUUAGGAUAAAGGGGAGGUAAUUUGAAUAUUUAGGACUCCCUUUUUCUUUUCUUCUACCAUUAUUUUUAAAGUAAUUAAAAGUUGAAGAUUUAAAACAAAUACCAUAAAUUCAUAAUUUUUUAUUAUUAUUAAAGUAAUUUACACAAUUUAUUUAUUUUUAUUUAUUUUAAAUAUAACCUUUUUUAAAAAAAAUUGGUGUUAAAUCUUUAUAUUUUGGUAAAAAAUUAGGUAUUCACAGUAUGCCCCUCUUUGCUUGAAAACAUGAAGAGUUUUCAUGCAAAGACAUGAACAACGUGACUAAUUUUUUACUGAAAUAUUUAUGUGAAAAAUUUAUAGUAGAGAAGAGGUUUGACUGUGUCCUAACUUUUAAAAAUAUCCUAUGUUGAGAUGAUAAGGAGUCAGGCGUAGUUCCAAUGAGUUAGGUAGUCGAGUGAGGUUUUGUCGAGAUUCCGGUUCGUAGCUCCAGCUAUUACAAAAAAAAACAAAAUGCAAAAGAAAAGAUAUGAAAUCCUAUCUACUCCGAUAGUGCUAAGUCUUCAUUUUGGAUUCUCAGAUAUCGCUUCACCCUCUUAGGUAGGUUCAUCGAUUCCCGCCCUUUGCUCUAGACAUCUGAGUUUAAGACAUGAAAUUUCAUGACUUGACUUCAGCUACUGACAUUCUUCCGCAUGAUAUUCUUGAAAACUUAUUUUGCUUGAAAUGAUGAAUUCUUUUAUUUUUGAACUGCAAAUUUGUGUACUAUGUAGAAACCUGCACACAAAAGGAAAUUUAAUACCCAAAUUGCAAUCCAGGGGUUAUUGUGCCCUGUGAAGACAUGAAAAAAAAUUAUAGGGGUUAUUGUGCCCUAUAUGCAACCAGGGGUUAUUGUGCCCUGUGAAGACAUGAAAAAAAAAAUGAUAGGGGUUAUUGUGCCCUAUAUGCAACAAGGCGUUAUUGUGCCCUGUGAAGACAUGAAAAAAAAUUAUAGGGGUUAUUGUGCCCUAUAUGCAACCAGGGGUUAUUGUGCCCUGUGAAGACAUGAUUAAAAAAUUAUAGGGGUUAUUGUGUCCUAUAUGCAACCAGGCGUUAUUGUGCCCUGUGAAGACAUGAAAAAUAAAAUGAUAGGGGUUAUUGGGCCCUAUAUGCAAUCCAGGGGUUAUUAUGCCCUGUGAAGACAUGACAAUAGGAUAGGGGUUAUUGUUCCCUAUAUGCAACCAGGGGUAUUGUGCCCUGUGAAGACAUGAAAAAUAAAAUGAUAGGGGUUAUUGUGCCUUAUAUGCAAUCCAGGGGUUAUUGUGCCCUGUGAAGACAUGAAAAUAGGAUAGGGGUUAUUGUGCCCUAUAUGCAAUCAGGGGUUAUUGUGCCCUGUGAAGACAUGAAAAAAAAAUGAUAGGGGUUAUUGUGCCCUAUAUGCAAUCCAAGGGUUAUUGUGCCCCGUGAAGACAUGAAAAUAUAGGAUAGGGGUUAUUGUGCCCUAUACGCAACCAGGGGUUAUUGUGCCCUGUGAAGACAUGAAAACUAAAAUAGGGGUUAUUGUGCCCUAUAUGCAACCAGGGGUUAUUGUGCCCUGUAAAGAGAUAAAAAAUGAUAUGGGUUAUUAUGACCUAUAUGCAAUUCAGGGGUUAUUGUAACCUCUGAAGACAUGAAAAAUAAAAUAGGGGUUAUUUUUUUUACUUAUAUUAUUAUUUAAUAUUACUUUAUUUUUAUUAGUACAUUGACCAAUUUAAAAAUAAAAUAAAAUACCCCAGAUUUUAUUAAGAAAAAAAAUAUUUUUUUUAAUUUUGUAUAUUAUAUGAGAGACAAGGAUUCAAAAACUUACCAUCGCGGCGUUUGUCUCUAGCGAAUUACUUGCAUUAUUUGUCUUUAUAGCUCUUUCAGCCUAUAACUUUAUUUCUAUCUUUAUUGUGCUCAUGCCAAGACGGAAUGUCAUCAUUUGAUAAAUGGUGUUAUUCGUGAUUUUUUACCAAGUAGACAUUCUUAUUUUUUUUACUGUCGUCUUAUGUUUCUCUCGAGAAUUUUCACUCAUUAGACCCUCUUAUUUUUUAAAUUUUUUAUUUUUUAUUUUUUUCUAUAACAUACCAUAGGCUACAAUGUCAUGUUUCAACCUUUGUAGAUUUUAAAUAGCAUGAUCAUUUUUUUAUUGAGUGAUUAGACCGAACCUCAAUGAAGGGCUGCCUACAUAUCCUCUUAGAAAUCAGGUCGAACGUAGUUUAAUAAAAAAAAUAUUUUUUUUUAUUUAUGUUUAGAAAUAUAAUGGAAAAAUUGGAAAAAUAAUUAGUUCAUGUUUGAUAAUGCUUUGACUUUAGUUGGUACCAACAAUUAGUAUUAUGCAUAUGAACUACAUUCAACGACUUUCAAAUAAGUUUGAGGUCAACUUUGAGUAAUUUAUAUUGUUUCAAAUUGUAUCUCAAAUAUAUUUAAGUAAUUACAAGAUCAAUUUAUCUUGUCAAAAUUAAGGGAUAGAAUUAUUCGUAUCCUCAUGUUUCAAAUGCACUCUCAAUAUAUGAAAGUCCUACUUCACACAAUAUAAUAAUUUAGAUCGUUGGACAUUUUUGAAAGUCACUCCCACUCAGAAAGAUAUUCAAUGCAUGAAAUUAAGAUACCAUAUGAGUGGCUCUCAUGUAAGCAUCCACUAAUAUGAGAACAUAAAAAAUGAGAUCAAAUAGGACUUGUCAUUGGUUUGUAAUGUAGUCUUAGGGAAAGGUAGAAUAUUCAUUUGAGAUAAAAUGACUAUUUCCUCCUUAGAAUUCGCACGAUGCUUUUGAUAUUUUUUUUCGUUUUUGCAUUUGACCUUUGUUUCUUGUAAGGUCUUUUACAUUUUUUUUCUCUCUUCAUUUUUUUGAUCUUCUCUCCUUUUUGUUGGAAUCUUUUUUUUCAUUUUUCAUUCUAUCUUUUUUUUUUGGACAUAUUUGAUUUUUUUUACUUUGUUACCCAACUUAGGUCUUUGAUGUUAUAUAGAUAUUUCAUAGUGCGCUCAAGGAGGUGAGAUAAAGGGAUUAGUGCAUUUUUACACUCAAAAGGUAUAUAUGCUAAGAUGUGGUUAUUCAAAUAAAAAGCUUUCAGGGUCGAAAUGGGAGUUCUGUUGAUAAAUGUCAUUCGGUAGGCUUGAAAGGCACAAUCGAUUCAAAGAAAGCCUAUAAUUCUUUCUCAAGUUAAAUGUUGCUCAAAAUUUCAUCUCAACCAACAUUCGGGCCAAGUUCUAGAUCAGCAAAAUCAUGACUUUGAAUUUUACGUCGUAAAGCUCACCACGCAAUGCAUUUGAAACAAUGAGGUAAAAUUUAUUUUAUCAAUAACUUUAAACAAGAUAAUUUCUCAAGUAUGACAUAAAUGUAUUGAGAGAUGUCAAUAGAAGUCUAUAGUUCACAACAAAGUUGAUAUGUCUUACCAAAUAGUUUAACACUUUAUUUUUUUUUCUUAUGCAUAAUCCUAAGCAUGUUGUUACCAACCAAAUCAAAGAAAAAAAAAUCUAUUUUUUUGCCCCAGUUUACGUGACUAGAAUUUUUAGGAUUUUUUUUCCUCGGUUGGACUGAACCUUACAAUAAGGUUGCCUACGUAUCUUGUUAAACAAGAAUCAGGUCUAACGUAGUUCCAAAAUAUAAGUAAAAAUAUGUUUUCUUAAAGACAAAUUUCCUUUUUAAUAUAUACACAAAUUAUUUCAUUUUUUAAUUUUUAAAUAAUAAUUAAGAUAAUUUUUUAAUUUUUUAACUUUUAAAUAAGGAUCACCGAACCCAAGGAAGGUUGCCUACGUAUCUCAUCAAGGUGAGAAUCAGGUGUGCGUAGUUCGUUCAGAUUGAACGUUUAAAUAAUUUUUGUUUGAAAUUUGUUGACAAAUGCAACUCUUUUCUUCGUUUAAAGUGAUAUAAGAAAACUUUUAAAAUUUCUUAUAUGUACAAUUUAAAAGACAUAUAUACAUAUAUUAUUAAUAUUAUUAUAUUUAUUAUUUAUGUAUUAUUUUAAUAAAAGUGAAAAAUAAAAUUGAGGAUUAGGAGGUGUGUAUGUAUAUAUAUGUGUACUAAUUUAUUUAUUUUGAAUCAUUGGUUGAAAAUGGGUAGAAAAUAGAUAUUUAUUUCUUUAGUCGAUUAUCCUAAAGCUGAUCAACAUUUUGUUAUAGUCUUCACAUGAUGCAACAAGUAGCAUAAAAAUUCACAUGAUGAUCUCAUGAAUAGAUAUCUGUCCUAGUCAAAUUGGGCCCUAAAUUCCGCUAAGUUACAUGCACACAAUGCAAAUAAAUCGGAACCUAGUAAGAAUAUCAUGUCUGAAAGUUUCAAUUCUACUAAGGUAAGAUAUCUACACUGGCUGUAAAACAAGCGGACAACUCGAUCAGGGAGUAGCAACGUACCGGUAGCAGCACUUUCCGGUUUUGUGCAUGGGUGCUCCCUAUCCUAAAAUGGUGUGACUACAUAUCCUUCACCAUGGACCGAAGAUCCACCGGCUAUCUUGACAGAAGUGGGGUGCAUAGUUGCAAUUCCCAUCAUAUUUUUAUUGAAGACUCAUAAUGGUUCGGGAGACAAGCAAUUCAAAUAUUAUUAAAACAUUAAAUAAAUAAACAAUUAGCAUAUUAAGUUAAAAUAAAUACAAUAUCCAAAAAGCGUAAAUAUACAAGUCAUAGUCAUACAUAAAUUAAUAUUUAAAGCUCGAAUUCUAGUUAAUCCCCAGCGGAGUCGCCAUCUGUCACACCUCUUUUUUUUCUCUCAAAUAUUUUUUUUGAUUUUUAUUUUUCGAAAGAAAAGAGUUUUUCCAAUUAAAGUGACAUUUUGAAAAGGGAUAAUUAUUAUUCAGAGUCGCCACUUGGAAUUGAGUUUUGGUGUUCCAAGUCACCUUAUUUAAAUCCCUAAUCAAAAGGAAAUUUGACUCUAUUUUUUAUUGGUCUGCAAACUAGAAAUUCGGGUAAGGAAUUCUGUUGACCGAGGGGAAGGUGUUAGGCACCCCUCGAAUCUCGUGGUUCUAGUACGGUCGCUUUAUUAACUUUGAUAUGACUUGACUUAAUUUUGGAUAUUAUAUUUUUUAAACUUAAUAAUAAAUUUUUAUUCACCCAAAUUUAUUGUUUAACUUAUUUGAAACUGACUAAUUUAUUUGAAAUGAUCUUAUUUUUUUUUCAGGGUAUGUCCAUUUAUUUUUAAAUACCUAAUAUUUUGAAAGUAGAAUUUAUAUAGGAAAGAGAUUUUAGUGUUUGAGUAAUUUUAGGAUUAUUUCUUUUUUAGUUACAUUUUUAAAUAAGAGGUAAAAUUUUAAGAGAUUUACUAUUAUUUUUACAGGGAAAAAAUUUAAUUUUUUUUUAAUGCUGCAUAUUCUUUUUUUUAAUUAUUAUCUUUGGUAUUUUUUUUUUGUAUUUUUUUUAAUUUUUUAUAAUAAAGUAAUAAUUUUUAAUUUUGGUUGACAUUCUUUUAAACUCAUUCUUUAUCUUUCUUUUUUUUUACUUUAUUGUUAUAAAAAAAAACUUACGUGUUUGUUAACUUUUUUAUUAUUAUUUAUUUCUAUUUAAAAUUUAUUUCUCUUUUUAAUUAACAAUUCUAUUUAGAUAAUCUUGUUUUUGAAAAAUUAUUUAUUAAUUAUUUUUAUAUUUUAAUCUAACAAGUUAACAAUAAAUUUAACAAAAUUCUAAAAUGAAAAAUUAAACGGAAAAAUAUAUGAAUCUAAUCAAAUUUAUCAAUACAAUAUCAUGAAGAGAUAUAAAUUACAAAGUGUAUCUAAAAAGCAUAAUAAUAACAAUAAUAAUAAUGUAACAAUAAUAAAUAUGAUACAUGCGAUUUGAAGAAUUUCAUACUAUUGAAAUCUAAUUUUCAUACAAGUAAUAUUAUUUAAAUCACGCGAGAAUUUAUAAUUACCUCGCUGCGAAAUUUCAUACCACAAAAACAAGCUGUCCACGAAUUUGGAACCGAGAGGAAAACCUCUAACUCUAACUUAAUUCUCAAAAGAAUAACUCACUUUUCUUCUCUUUGCUUUUUUUUCUCUUUGUAUUUCAAUCUGCCUUUGUGUGUUUUUAACAUCUCUCUGUAUCUGUAUAUUUUUAUAAUUCUUUUGACUAAGAGUUUGGUGCUAAAUAAAAGGAACGUAAUAGAGUUGGAUUAAGAUUUAAUUUGAAAUAUUGUUGAGGAAAUUGAGGUUGAUGAUAAGGAUAUAAAAUAAAUAAAUAAUAAUAAUAAUAGAAAUUAACAAAAAAAAUAAAAAAAAAUGUGUAAACUAAACCUGCAAAGAGAGAGAGAGAGAGAGAGAGAGAAAAUGAAUAAAUAAAUAAAUAAAUAAAUGGGAUGAGAUUUUUUAGUAAAAUAAGUUUGGAAGUUGGGAAUAAUUAGGAUAAGGGGGAGGUAAUUUUUAGGACUCCCUUUUUCUUUUCUUCUACCAUUAUUUUUAAAGUAAUUAAAAGUUGAAGAUUUAAAACAAAUACCAUAAAUUCAUAAAAAAAAGAUUAUUAUUAAAGUAAUUUACACAAUUUAUUUAUUUUUAUUUAUUUAAAUAUAACCUUUUUUAAAAAAAUUGGUGUUAAAUCUUCAUAUUUUGGUAAAAAAUUAGGUGUUCACACCUAUUAUUCUCUAAACUUAUUUUAAAAGUAAUUUUCUAUCCUUUUCGACAUACGUGGUACUAGUUUGAAAAAAAGCCAAUCAGCGUUGGGCCCACAAGAUAGUAUCACGUAGGCCAAAAAGAGGUAGAAAAUUGUUAGUAAAUAAGUUCAGGGGGUAAUAGGACCGUAGUAUAAUAUAAGAGUGUCUAUGAGAUUUCGGUCAUACGUUAAGGGAGUGCUUGUGCAUUGUCCCUAAUAUUAAUUAGUAUAGGUAUUCGUGUGUUGUGCAGAUAUUUUAAAGGUAUAAUGCAUAAAUAUGUCCUUUAACUUGACUUCGAAUCACAUAUAUGCCCUUCAACUUUGGGUUUGCACAAAUAGACACUUAAACUUGUAUAAAGUUGAACAAAUAGACACACACGUCCUACAUGUCAUUUUUUAUCUUAUGUGGUGUCCUACAUGUAUUUUGCUAUGUAGGACUCAUGUGUUUGUUUAUUUAAAAGUUGGAUAGUUAAAGUGUUUGUUUGUGCAUUAUGAAAGUUGGAGAUCAAAGUUAAAAUUUGAAACCAAGUUUAGGAUCCAAUAUAUGUAUUAUGCCUAUUUUAAAAUAUAAUAAUUUAAAUUUAUGACUUUAAAAACGGAAAAGGGCCUAAAAUACCUUUGACCUAUCAGAAAUGGUAUAAAAGUACCCUCCAUUCACCUAUUGGUCCAAAAUACCCUCCUCAUCCACUUAUUGGCUCCAAAAUAUCCCUGUCAUCCACCUUGGGUUUAAAAUUGACCAAUUUUUUAACGAUUUAAAUUUAAACUAUUUAAAUAUUUUUUAAUAUAUUGGCUCUCAACUAUUUGUUAUAGUUUAACUUAUUAAUAUAAUUUAUAAAACAAUAUACUACCCACCAUUACUAAUUAAACUACACCCAAUUAAUAAACCCGCUCCAUUACUAAAGCAACAACAGAAAAGCUACUACCAAUGAGUAUUUUUUAAAAAUUUGAGGCAAAAUUGUAUAUAUUAUACAUUCAAGUCCUCAAUCAAAACAUAUUAUAAUUCAAGUGUCUAAUUAAAAUUUACUGAUAACUUAAAAAUAUGACUAUGUUCAUCUUAAUUAUUCAUUCGUCUCAAUUAUGUGGUGUUACUUAAUAGAUAAAUUUUAUAAAAAAGAAUACAUUAAAGUUUUAAUAUUUAAAACUAAUAAUAAAUAUUUAUAAAAUUAUAUUUUAAAAAGUGCAUGAAUUAAUUCGGGAUGUACUACUUCUUCAUCUUUAAUCAUAAAAUACGAAUUCAAAUUUAAAAGAGAAUCCUAUUGAAAGCGGUCUCCUAAAUAAGCGGCUCAACCUAAAUUUAAUGAGAUUUCAAUUCGGACUCGAAUAAUUUUGAUUGUCAUUUUAAGGAAUAUGUAAUUUUGUUGUGUUUCAGUAGUGUUUAGGGCGAUUAUGAUAUUAAAAUUGAUUUAUUAAUUGAGUGGGGUUCAAUUAGUAUAUAAAUGAUAUUAUAAUUAAAUUAUAUCAAAUAGUUGAGUAACAAGUAUUUUUAAAAAAAUAUUUAAAUGGUUUAAAUUUGAAAAAGGAUAUUUUGCAGCCAAUAGGUAGGUGAAAAGGACAUUUUCGAGCGAAUAGGUGGAUUGAGGGUAGUUUUGUACCAUUUUCAAUAUUUCUAGGGUAUUUUAGGCCCUUUUCUGCUCUAAAAAAGAAUGAUAUAGUUUGAUUUAACAUAAAAUUUAAGAAAAUAAAAAACUUUUAAUUCUUUUUAUCCUAAAUUAAAAUUAUGUCAAAUUUAUUAAAAAAAUAUCAUUCUUUUUUAAACAAACUAAAAAAGAAAUAAAAAAUUAUUCCUUUAUUUAUAAGGUACAAGGGCAAAUGGAUCAAGAAAGUCAAGAGGUUCAACAAGGUCCAUGUUGUACCGAAUGUGGAAAUUGUCAAAAACCAAGGCAAAAUAUCCUACUACUAUUUGUUUUUUAUUCAAUUUAAAGAAAAGGAAAAAAUAUAAUGUGAAAUUAAUAAAAAUGUAUUUUGUUUGUAAUGUAUUUUUAAAUGUUUUUAUCAUCAAUAUUUGAAUUUUAAAAUGUCCUUAGUAUUAUUAUCUCUAAAGAACUGCAAUAUUCUAUAUUUAAAAAAGGGCAUAUAUGUCUUUUAAUUCUCAUAAAAAAAGAUCAGAAAUUAAAGAAAAAAUAAAAAACCCCUAACAGAACAGCACAACACUGGAAAUCAGCGAUUUUAAAAAAGAAACAGAGAGCUCUUGUUCUACAGCAAACGAACGAAAGAGAAAAAUAAAUUGAAAAUUGAAAGUUUUAGUUCUCAAACUAAAUAGAGAGAUGGAAGAAGAAGGAGACGAAGGUAAGUUUCUAACUUAGUUUAAAGGUUGAAUUUGUAUCUUCCAUGACUAUAAGAUUGAGAAUUGAGAAGUUGAGAAACAUGGGUUUAGAAGAAAUAGAGGAAAUUUAUUUCAUUCUUAUGAACCAAGAUAACAUAGUCAAUGAUUUGAACGAUAAACUUUGGUAUUGUUCUUAUAUGCAAUGAAAGUUAUUAGGCAAUAAUGUUAGAUUGAUCUUUUUACAGUGAGAAUUGACCAAGAAGAGACUAUUUUAUGUGAUUAAAGUACUAAUUAAGUGAUUUGGAUAGAUUUCGAAUUAAUCAUGAAAUCUCUAGGGAUGAGUUUUUGUUAAUGUAGUAUGAAUUACCUAAACGAAGGAGUUAACAUGAAAUUAUUAUGAAUGUGUUUAUAGUUUGACCAAAGGAAUUCACAUAGACUAUUCAAGUGAAGAGCUUGGUGUUUCAACACAAGUACAAUGAGUAGCAAUCUUACCACAAUUGAUGUUUUAUAAGUUGCAUGAUUUUCACGUGGUGUAUAAAGUAAUGUGUUAUUGAAUGUUUUGAACUUGCAUGUGGGACAAGUAUUUUACUAGAUAUGAUACCGGAAGAUUUUUUGAGAUAAUCUCAUUUUUACAAGAUAUGAUUACUGGUAUUGAAAAAGUUUUACACUUAUUUGAGAAAUAGUAUUUUGACAGUUGAUUGUUAAACUUUAAAAUGAUAUGAUUUAAUAAGAUUUUAAGUGCUCUGUUCAUUUUUAAAAUGUUUUUACUGAUUACAAGAAAAAUAUAAAUGAGAAUAGACUUUGAUGAAUCCCGUUAGACCUGGUGCACCUUGUAUUUACUGAUUUCUUAUAAAGUCCUUGCUAGUGGGAGUGGAAUUAGUAUACUAUUACUGAUAUCCCUCGAGGAGGGAUCUACUGGUAUGAAUAUUUAACUCCUUUAUGAGGAGUUCACUGUUAUUGAUUACUUCUUAUAAAGAAGGUCACUAUGAUUACAUGAUUCAUCUUUGAAAACCUCCCAGAUAUAAGCUUUGAUAUAAAAGUGUUUUUCUGAGUUUACAGCUAUAAGAUUUGAUAUGAAAUUGUUAUUUUACUGAGUUUGCUAUUAUGUAUUUACACUGAAUAUGCUCAUAUGAGGCAUACAAGAUUGAAUAUGGUUAUUUUUUUAAGAGCAUUAUUUCAUCAUUAUGACUAUUAUAUUAGCAUGUUUUCUAAUUUGUCCCUCAUUAAAAUGGUUGUGGAUAAGUAUUAUUACUAACUGAGCUAGUGUCUCACUUCUCGCUAAUUGAUUUUUUACAGAGAAUUCAGGUGGUGUUGAGGAGGAUUUAUUGUUAUUCUUAUAGUAACCUGUAUUUAUAAGGUUAAUAAACAGAAACAGAAAUAAGAUGAAGCAGAAAAACAUAAAAUAUAAGAAGUAAUCCGAAUCCAUAGAAACUACUGUGUCCUUAAGAAAUUUAAUCCCCUCACUGUACCCAAGGUUAUGGAUUAAUUUAUCCCAAGAUAAAACGGAUUAAACCUGUUAAAGAAAUAGUGGUACCUCAAAUUUCUUUAACUUCAGCGAACUUGAGAACAGCAACAAGUCACACAGACUCAGUCGAUCGACACUUUUGAUUUUAUUUGAGAGAAAAAUAAAUGCAGAGAAGGAAAAUUUUCAGUGUUUAAAAAAUCGAAAAUUGACUUUCUUUUAUAGCCAUUUUCAGCAAGAAACGUGUCUGUUCAGAGAAAUCUGUUCAGACCCGUUUAUUCCAAAAAGUUGUGUCUUUUGAAAAAAAUAACAACUUUUCGGAAAAAUGUGUCUGUUAGGAAAAUAACGACUUUUUUUUAGAAAAUAACGACUUUUCGGAAAGAGCAACAACUUUUCAGAAUGUUACCGUUACCCGCAAAUUUAUAAGAGAUGAUAUUAACAGAAUUUAUUUGAUUUAGCAAAAAUUGAUUAAAUAAAUUUUGUCCAAAAAAUUUAUCAAUCAAUCACAUCAUUUGCCAAAUCCAAAUCCCAAGCCCAAGCCCAAGCCCAAGCCGAGGUCGAGCGAGCGACGACGACGCGAGGGGACAUCUUAUUCUUAGCUCUUUAAGAAGUAAUGGAAGUGUUUCCUUAUAUAAGGACAACAAUUUUCCUUUGUUUUGUCGAUAUGGGAUAAAUGACUUUACAUUUGCACUUUGCAAAUGACUAUUCAUUUUCCCUCCAAAGCAUUUCCCUCACUUUUCAUAUUCUCUUUUUUCUUUUCCCAUUCACACUUGCUAAACCCCAACAAUCCCCUACAUGAAUGGGGAAGACUAUUAUUAAAACAUAUGCAUGAAAAAAAAAAACUUGUGUGUCUUGUAGGUAAAGGUUAAUUGCAUCUAGAUAAGUAGGUUUCCUUUUAAACUUUCCGUAGUGAACAUAUAUCGGAUAUACUCUGUCAAUCGUUAGAUUUGAUAUCUUUGAACCGUCGAGCUUUGGUGUAAAUCUAGACAACAUAUGUCACACAAUCAACCCUUGAACUGUUCUUAGUUCUCAUUGUUUUGUUCGUUUCAGCCAUGAACACAUCUUGGAUAGUAAGUGCUUAAAGAAUUGGCCUUACCGGAUUCUCCUUGAAGCGGCUUACACUUCACACUUACAUAGGUGAUUUCUAAAUAUGUUAUCCCAUAGAUACACCAUUUGAUAUUCCCUGUAUUCAAACUUAGAAACCAUUAAAAAGUCCUUAUGUCUUUAUCUUGGUUACUAAACAUUGUCUCAUCAUGAGAAUGGACCAUAAAAUAAUAUUAAUUUUUUUUUCUUUUGAUAAUGUUGAACCGUCAUCAAUGACUUUGUUUUAUCUCCUUGAACCUAGAUCUUGGGAUAUCCAGCCUUCUAGGUAGAGUUACCACCACGAUGACUUGUUCUCGGCCAUAGUCCCAUUCCCGUCAAUGAUUUCUCAAUUCCCUCUCUAUUUAGGCCUUUUGUAAGUGGAUCCGACACAUUAUCUUUUGACUUCACAUAGUCAAUUGUGAUAAUUCCACUAGAGAGUAGUUGUCUCACAGAAUUAUGUCUUUGUCUUAUGUGACGAGACUUGCCGUUAUACAUAAUGCUUCCAGCCCUUCCUAUUGCAGCUUGACUAUCACAAUGUAUGCAUAUAUGGGCCAUUGGUUUGGGCUAAAAUGGAAUAUCUUCUAAGAAGUUCCGGAGCCAUUCAACUUCUUCAUUUGCCUUGUCUAAUGCAAUGAAUUCAGAUUCCAUUGUAGAGCGAGCUAUACAUGUUUGUUUGGAUGAUUUCCAAGAUAUUGCUCCUCCACCAAUAGUAAAAACGUAUCCACUUGUGGAUUUUGUUUCAGUUGACCCAGUAAUCCAAUUUGCAUCACUAUAUCCUUCAAGAACGGCUGAAUAUUUGUUGUAAUGUAAAGCAUAGUUUUGAGUGUCAUCUAAGUAUCUCAAAACUCUCUUCAUUGUCAACCAAUGAUUUUUAUUAGGAUUACUUGUGUAUCGACUCAGUUUACUGAUAGCGCAAGCUAUGUCUGGUCGUGUACAAUUCAUGACAUACAUUAAGCUUCCCAAUACGCUAGCAUAGUCCAAUUGAGACUGACUUUCACCUUUAUUCUUUGCAAGAUGAAGGUUUACAUCAAUUGGAGUCUUUGCCCUUUUAAAAUUCAAAAAAAUUGAAUUUUUCAAGUAUCUUUUGAAUAUAAUGAGUUUGAGACAAUUCUAGACCAUUAGGAGUUUUAAGAAUUUUAAUUCCUAAUAUCACAUCAGCAACUCCUAAAUCUUUCAUAUCAAACUUACUAGCGAGCAUACGCUUUGUAGCUUUUAUAUUAGCAAUGUCUUUGCUCAUUAUAAGCAUAUCAUCUACAUAUAGUCAUAAAAUAACUUUCUGAUUUGGAGUAUCUUUAAUGUAAACACAUUUAUCACAUUCAUUGAUCUUAAAUCCAUUUGACAACAUGGUUUGAUCAAACUUUGCAUGCCAUUGUUUUGGUGCUUGUUUUAGUCCAUAAAGUGACUUAAUAAGUUUGCACACUUUCUUUUCUUUACCAGGAACUACAAAACCCUCAGACUGUUCUAUGUAAAUUUCCUCUUCAAGCUCUCCAUUUAAGAAGGUUGUUUUCACAUCCAUUUGAUGAAUUUCAAGACCGUAUGCUACAGCUGGUGCAAUUAACAUCCGAAUUGAUGUAAUCAUAGUCACUGGCGAGUAUGUGUCAAAAUAAUCAAGACCUUCUUUUUGUCUAAAACAUUUGACAUUAAGUCUUGCUUUAUAUUUGUCAAUAGUUCCAUCGUCUUUCAUCUUCCUUUUAAAGAUCCAUUUUGAACCCAAAGGUUUGUUCCCUGGAGGAAGAUCAACCAACUCCCAAGUAUGAUUGCUUAAGAUUGAUUCUAUUUCACUAUUAACAGCCUCCUUCCAAGAGGUUGAGUCGCUAGACAACAUUGCUUCCUUGAAUGUUUGAGGCUCACUUUCAAGAAGAAAUGUUAUAAGAACUGAUCCAAAUGAAGUAGAUGUCUUUUGACAUUUAUUGCGUCUUGGACUUUCUUCAUUUUGUUCAUUCUCUUUUGGUUCUUCUCUGGGUUGUUUAAAUCCCCCACUAGAUGACUCAAGUCUAGUUUUAUACGGAUAGAUAUGUUCAAAAAAUUCAGCACUAUCUGAUUCCGUUACCGUAUUAUCAUGAAUAUCCGGAUGUUCCGACUUAUGAGCCAAAAAUCGACAUGCCUUACUGUUUGUGGCAUAUCCAAUGAAUACACAAUCCACAGUCUUAGGUCCUAUUUUGACCCUCUUAGGUAUAGGAACUUGGACUUUUGGCUAGACACCCCCACGCUUUGAAAUAUUUCAAAUUGGUUUUUCUACCUUUCCAUUUCUCAUAUAGAAUUACAUUUGUCUUUGAGUGAGGCACUCUGUUAAGUAUUUGAUUUGCUGUAAGGAUAGCUUCCCCCCACAAAUUCUGUGAUAAACCUGAACUUAUAAGUAAUGCAUUCAUCAUUUCUUUUAAAGUUUGGUUUUUCCUUUCUACAAUUCCAUUAGACUGAGGAGUGUAGGGAGCAGUAGUUUGAUGGAUUAUUCCAUUUCUAAACAUAUUUCUGCAAAUGCAGAUUCAUAUUCUCCACCUUUAUAACUUCUGAUCAUUUUGAUAUUUUUAUCUACUAAUUUUCAACUUCAGUUUUAUAUUGCCUAAAUGCAUCUAUUGCUUCAUCCUUACCAUUUAGCAAAUAUACAUAACAAUAUCUCGUGUAAUCGUCAAUAAAAGUUAUGAAAUACUUUUUCCCACCACGUGAUGGUGUUGAAUUCAUGUCACAAAUAUAAGUGUGAAUCAAUUCUAAAAGAUUUGAAUUCCUUUCAACAGAUUUAUAAGAAUGCUUAGCAUACUUAGAUUCAACACAAAUUUGACAUUUUGAUUUAUUGCACUCAAAUUUUGGCAAAAUAUUUAAGUUAAUCAGUUUUCGCAAGGUGUUGUUAUUAACGUGUCCCAAACGUUCUUGCCAUAAACAUUUAGACUCAAGCAAGUAAGAAGAAGCAAAAUCUUUAUUCAUAUUAACUGCAAUUACAUUGAGUUUGAAAAGGCCAUCACUAAGGUAGCCUUUACCUACAUACAUAUCAUUUUUGCUUACUACUACUUUAUUAGAAACAAAUACACAUUUGAAUUCAUUCUUGGUCAGAACUGGAAUUGAAACUAAAUUCUUUCUCAAUUCUGGAACAUAUGAGACCCUAUUUAAAGUCACCACCUCGCCUGAUGUCAUCUUUAAUAAGACUUUGCCAGUUCCUUCCACCUUUGCAACAACGGUGUUUGCCAUAAACAAUUUUUCAUCUGUAAGUGCUGGAGUAUAUGUGAAAAUAAUUCUUUGUUGGCACAAACAUGGCAUGAGGCACCAGAAUAUAUCCACCAUUCUCUUGGAUUUUCAACCAAGUUACAUUCUGAAAGCAUUGCACAGAGAUCGUCCAUUUCUCCUUUGGAUUCAGCCAAAUUUGCUUGAUCCUUCUUUUUCUUGUCCUUCUUUGGACCCCGACAUUCAUCAGCCCUAUGACCAUGUUUACCACAAUUAAAGCAGUUUCCAUUGAAUUUCUUCUUAGGAGGAUUGCUUUGGACCAGAUGCUUUCUUUCUUUUCUUUAAUUUUGUGUGAUCUUCUUCAACAAAAUUUACUCCAGAUAUUGCUGAAUCACCACAUGACCUCUUUUCUGCAGCCUUAUUAUCCUCUUCGAUUCUCAACCUUACUAUGAGAUCUUCAACAGUCAUCUCCUUGCGUUUGUGUUUCAAGUAAUUUUUGAAGUCCUUCUAUUAUGGAUGUAACUUUUCAAUAAUUGCAGCCACUUGAAAAGCAUCAUUUACAAUCAAUCCUACAUUAAGGAUUGUCACACCCCUUUUUUUUCCUCUCAAUAUUUUUUUAUUUUUAAUUUUUUAUUGUUUCGAAAGAAAAAGAGUUUUUCCAAUUAAAAUGACAUUUUGAAAAGGGAUAAUUAUUAUUCAGAGUCGCCACUUGGAAUUGAUUUUUGGUGUUCCAAGUCACCUUAUUUAAAUCCCUAAUUAAAAGGAAAAUUGACUCUAUUUUUUAUUGGUCUGCGAACUAAAAAUCCGAGUAAGGAUUCUGUUGACCGAGGGGAAGGUGUUAGGCAUCCCUCGAGUCCCGUGGUUCUAGCACGGUCGCUUCAUUGACUUUUAAUAUGACUAAACUUAAUUUUUGGACACUGUAUUAUUUAACUUAAUAAUAAAAUUGUAUUUUAUUUUCAGAUUUAUUCUAAACUUAUUUUAAACAGACUAAAUUUGCUUUUACAUUUUUUUAUAUAUUUUUAUGUUAUUAUGGGGAUGAAUUUAUAGGUAUUUUAUAGUUAGAAAAUAUUUAGAGUUCACGUUAAUUUAGAAUUUCUAUUUUUUUUAAAAAAAAUAAUAGAAAGAUGAAAUUUUAUGAGAUUUGAAUUAGUUUUAAAAUCACAAAAAUUCUAAAUAGAUUAGGACUAUAUUUAUUUUUUAAGAAAGGUUAAAUUUUAUUUUUUUUAAUCUUUUAAUGCAUGUAACAAUUUUUAACAUUUUGUCUUCUUUUUUUAAAAAAAAAAUAAUUAUUAUUUUUAGAUUAAUUCUUUUUGUUUACGUUUGUUAUCUUUUUUGUGCUACAUUCUCUUUUUUUUUCACUUUUUCUUUCUUUUUAUGUUUUUAACUUUUUUUUUUCUUUUUACGUUUUUUAUUCUGAUUCUCUUUUUUUUUCACGUUUUCUUUUUACUUUUUUUUUAAAAAAAAAAUUCUGUUUCUGUUUUUUUUUUUGGAAAAAUCUGUUUUUUUUUUAAUUUUAUUUAUUUAUUUUAUUUUAGAUUUUAUAUAUAUAUAUAUAUAUAUAUAUAUAUAUAUAUAUAUAUAUAUUCCUUCUGUAAGUCUGCUUCUCUCUUCUUCUUUUUUUUUGUUUUAUCAUUAUUUUUAUUAUAUUAUUAUUUUAUAAUUUUUGUCUUCUUCUUUCUUUCUUUUUUUUUUUCAAAUUAUUUCAUACUAAUUUUGUUACUCUUUUUUUUAUUAUGUUAUUUUUUUUUUUAAAACGUUCUAUUUUAUAAAUUUUAAAUUUGUAUUUUUUAUUUUUUUAUUUCUUACUUCUCCCCCUUUUUUUUUUACGUUUUAAUACAUAUUUUUUUUGAAUUUACGUUCUUUUUUUUUUUUGUUUCUGUUAAAAAAUUUUGUUAUGUUUUUUCUUCUUAUUAUUAUAUUUUCAUGCCCUUUUUUUUCUUUUUAUUUUUUAAAUCUCUUUUCUAAUUUCUCAAUUUUUACUUCAGUUAUUAUUAUUAUUAUUAUUAUUGUUAUUAUUAUUAUUAUUAGUAAAUAAUAUUAAUCUCUAAAUGAAAUUUAUUUACCUUUUAAUUACAAUUCUACUUAGAUUAGUUUUUCUUUUUGAAAAAAUCAUUUAUUAGUUAUUAUUUUUAUAUCCUAAUCUAAUCAGUCUACAAUUUAUUCAACAAAAAUCUCUAAAGUGAAAAUAGACGAAAAGAUAUAUUAAUCUAUUUAAAUUCAACAACUCAAUAUCAUGAAGUAACAUAAAUUGCAAAAUCUAUCUAAAAACAUAAUAGUAGUAAUAACGUAACAAUAAUAUAAUACAUGUGAUUUGAAGUAUUUCAUGCUAUUAAAAUCAACUUUUCAUAGAAGUAGUAUUAUUUAAAUUACGCGAGAAUUUAUAGUUACCUCGCUGCGAAAAUUGAUACCACAAAAGCGAGCUGUAUCCACAAAUUCGGAAUCACGAUCAAAUCUCUAACUCUAACCUAAUUCUCAAAAGAAAUAACUCGUUUUUUUUUCUAUAUUUCUCUCUGUAUUUUUCUCUAUAUCUCUCUUUUCCUCUCUGUAUUUCUUUGUAUCUGUGUAUCUGUGUAUAUUUACAUCUCUCUGUAUUUUUUUCUUCUCAACUGAACGUGUUUUUAUAAUAAUUUUGGCUGAGAGUUUAGUGCUAAUUAAAAGGAUAGUAAUAGAGUUGGAUUAUGAUUUAAUUUGAAAUAUUGUUGAGGGGAUUGGGGUUGAGAUAAGGAUGGAUAUAAAAUAAAUAAAUAAUAAUAAUAGAAAAUUAAAAAAAAAGUGAAAUGAACGUCCAAAGAGAGAGAGAAGAAAAAAAAUAAAAAAUAAAUGGGAUGAGAUUUUUUAGUAAAAUAAGUUAGGAAGUUGGGAAUAAUUAGGAUAAGGGGAAGGUAAUUUGAAUAUUUAGGACUCCCCUUUUUUUCUUUUUCUACCAUUAUUUUUAAACUAAUUAAAAGUUGAAGAUUUAAAACAAAUACCAUAAAUUCAUAAUUUUUAUCAUUAAAGUAAUUUAUACAAUUUAUUUAUUUUUUAUUUAUUUUAAAUAUAACCUUUUUUUAAAAAUUGGUGUUUGACUCUUUAUAUUUUGGUAAAAAAUUAGGUGUUCACAGUAUGCCCCUCUUUGCUUGAAAACAUGAAAAGUUUUCAUGCAAAGACGUGAACAAUGUGACUAAUUUUUUACUGAAAUAUUUAUGCGAAAAAUUUAUAGUAGAGAAGAGGUUUGACUGUGUCCUAACUUUUUAAAACUACCUAUCCUAUGUUGAGAUGAUAAGGAGUCAAGCGUAGUUCCAAUGAGUUAGGUAGCCGAGUGAGGUUUUGUCGAGAUUCCGGUUCGUAGCUCCAGCUAUUACAAAAAAAAACAACAUGCAAAAGAAAAGAUAUGAAAUCCUAUCUACUCCAUAGUGUCAAGUCUUCAUUUUGGAUUCUUGAUAUCGCUUCACCCUCUUUGGUAGGUUCAUCGAUUCCGAACUUCGCUUUGAACAUCUGAGUUUAAGACUUGAAACUUCAUGACUUGACUUCAGCUACUGACGUUCUCCCGCAUGAUAUUCUUGAAAUCUUAUUUUCUUGAAAGGAUGAAUUCUUUUAUUUUUGAACUGCAAAUUUGUGUACUAUGUAGAAACCUGCACACAAAAACAAAAUUUUCUACCUAGUUUGUACUAGGAAUUUUGUGAGUUAUUGAUUAAAGCUAUAAAAAUCUAUACUAAUAAUAAAAUAAUAUUUUUGUAGCCUAUUACAAAAUGUAAAACAAAAAAUAAGACGAAAGUGAGUUUUGUACCCAAAUUGCAAUCAGGGGUUAUUAUGCCCUGUGGAGACAUAAAAAAUAAAAUAGGGGUUAUUGUGCCCUAUAUGCAACCCAGAGGUUAUUAUGCCCUGUGAGACAUGAAAAAUAAAAUAGGGGUUAUUGUGCCCUAUAUGCAACCAGGGGUUAUUGUGCCCUGUGAAAACAUGAAAAAUAAAUUAGGGAUUAUUGUGCCCUAUAUGCAACCAGGGGUUAUUGUGUCCUGUGAAAACAUAAAAAAAAUGAUAGGGGUUAUUGUGCCCUAUAUGCAAUCCAGGGAUUAUUGUGCCCUGUGAAGAAAUGAAAAAUAGGAUAGGGGUUAUUGUGCCCUAUAUGCAACCAGAGGUUAUUGUGCCCUGUGAAGACAUAAAAAAUGAUAGGGGUUAUUGUGCCCUAUAUGCAAUCUAGGGGUUAUUGUGCCCUAUGAAGAAAAAAAUGAUAGGGGUAAAUGUGCCCUAUAUGCAACCAAGGGUUAUUGUGCCCUGUAAAGACAAAAAAAAUGAUAGGGGUUAUUGUGCCCUAUAUGCAAUCCAGGGGUUAUUGUGCUCUGUGAAGACAUGAAAAAUAAAAUAGGGAUUGUUGUGCCCUAUAUGCAACCAGGGGUUAUUGUGCCCUGUGAAGACAUAAAAAAAAUUAUAGGGGUUAUUGUGCUCUAUAUGCAAUCUAGCGGUUAUUGUGCCCUGUGAAGACAUGAAAAAAAAUGAUAGGGGUUGUUGUGCCCUAUAUGCAAUCCAGGGGUUAUUGUGCCCUGUGAAUACAUGAAAAAAAAUGAUAGGGGUUAUUGUGCCCUAUAUGCAAUCCAGGGGUUAUUGUGCCCUGUGAAGACAUGAAAAAAAAUGAUAGGGUUAUUGUGCCCUAUAUGCAAUCUAGGGGUUAUUGUGCCCUGUGAAGACAUGAAAAAAAUGAUAGGGGUUAUUGUGCCCUAUAUGCAACCAGGGGUUAUUGUGCCCUGUGAAGACAUAAAAAUGAUGAUAGGGGUUAUUGUGCCCUAUAUGCAAUCCAGGGGUUAUUGUGCCCUGUGAAAAAAAAUGAUAGAGGUUAUUGUGCCCUAUAUGCAAUCCAGGGGUUAUUGUGUCCUGUGAAGAAAAAUGAUAGGGGUUAUUGUGCCCUAUAUGUAAUCCAGGGGUUAUUGUGCCCUGUGAAGACAUGAAAAAUAUGAUAGGUUUUUUUUUUUACUUAUGUUAUUAUUAUUUAUUAUUAUUUUAUUUUAUUUUAUUUUUAUUAGUACAUUGACCAAUUUAAAAAUAAAAUAAAAUGCCCCAGAUUUUAUUAAGAAAAAAAAUAAUUUUUUUUUUUGCAUAUUAUAUGAGAGACAAGGAUAAAAAAACUUACCAUCGCGGCGUUUGUCUCUAGCGAAUUACUUGCAUUAUUUGUCUUUAUAGCUCUUUCAGCCUAUAACUUUAGUUCUAUCUUUAUUGUUCUCAUGCCAAGACGGAAUGUCAUCAUUUGAUAAAUGGUAUCAUUCGUGAUUUUUUACCAAGUAGACAUUCUUAUAUUUUUUACUGUCGUCUUAUGUUUCUCUCGAGAGUUUUCACUCAUAAGACCCUCUUAUUUUUUUUUAUUUUUUAUUUUCUAUUUUUUCUGUAACAUACCAUAGGCUACAAUGUCAUGUUUCAACCUUGUAGAUUUUAAAUAGCAUGAUCAUUAUUUUAUUGAGUGAUUAGACCGAACCUCAAUGAAGGGGUGCCUACGUAUCCUCUUAGGAAUCAGGUCGAACGUAGUUCAACAAAAAAUAUUUUUCUUUUUUUUUUAAUUUAUUUUAAAAAUAUAAUGGAAAAAUUGGGAAAAAAAUUAGUUCAUGUUUGAUAGUGCUUUGACGUUAGUUGGUACCAACAAUUAGUAUUAUGCAUAUGAACUACAUUCAACGACUUUCAAAUAAAUUUGAGGUCAACUUUGAAUAAUUUAUAUAAUUUCAAAUUGUAUCUCAAAUAUAUUUAAGUAAUUACAAGAUCAAUUUAUCUUGUCAAAAUUAAGGGAUAGAAUUAUUCGUAUCCUCAUGUUUCAAAUGCACUCUCAAUAUAUGAAAGUCCUACUUCACACAAUAUAAUAAUUUAGAUCGUAGGACAUUUUUGAAAGUCACUCCCACUCAGAAAGAUAUUCAAUGCAUGAAAUUAAGAUACCAUAUGCUUGGCCCUCAUGUAAGCAUCCACUAAUAUGAGAACAUAAAAAUGAGAUCAAAUAGGACUUGUCAUUGGCUUGUAAUGUAGUCUUAGGGAAAGGUAGGAUAUUCAUUUGAGAUGAAGUGACUAUUUCCUCCUUAAAAUUCGCACGAUGCUUUUGAUAUUUUUUUUUUCGUUUUUGCAUUUGACCUUUGUUUUCUUGUAAGGUCUUUUCCAUUUAUUUUUUGUCUCUUCAUUUUUUGAUCUUCUCUCCUUUUUGUUGGAGUUUUUUUUUUCAUUUUUCAUUCUAUCUUUUUUUUUGGACAUAUUUGGUCUUUUUCACUUUGUUAUCCAACUUAGAUCUUUGAUGUUAUAUAGAUAUUUCCUAGUGCGCUCAAGGAGGUGAGAUAAAUGGAUUAGUGCAUUUAUACACUCAAAAGGCAUAUGCUAAGAUAUGGUUAUUCUAAUAAAAAACUUCCAGGGUCGAAAUGGGAUGUAGAUAAAUGUUAUUCGGUAGGCUUGAAAGGCACAAUCGAUUCAAAGAAAGCCUAUAAUCCUUUCUCAAGUUAAAUGUUGCUCAAAAUUUCGUCUCAACCAACAUUCGGGCCAAGUUCUAGAUCAGCAAAAUCAUGACUUUGAAUUUUACGUCUAAAGCUCACCACACAAUGCAUUUGAAACAAUGAGGUCAAAUUUAUUUUAUCCAUAACUUUAAACAAGAUAAUUUCUCAAGUAUGACAUAAAUGUAUUGAGAGAUGUCAAUAGAAGUCUAUAGGUCACAACAAAGUUGAUCUGUCUUACCAAAUAGUUUAACACUUUAUUUUUUCUUUCUUAUGCAUAAUCCUAAGCAUGUUGUUACCAACCAAGUCAAAGAAAAAAAAAUCUAUUUUUUUUGCCCCAGUUUAUGUGACUAGAAUUUUUAGGUUUUUUUUUCUCGGUUGGACCGAACCUCACAAUAAGGUUGCCUACGUAUCUCGUUAAAACAAGAAUCAGGUCUAACGUAGUUCCAAAAUAUAAGUAAAAAUAUGUUUUCUUAAGGAAAAAUUUCCUUUUUAAUAUAUACACAUAUUAUUUCAUUUUUUAAUUUUUAAAUAAUAAUUAAGAUAUUUUUUUAAAUUUUUUAAUUUUUAAAUAAGGAUCACCGAACCCAAGGAAGGUUGCCUACGUAUCUCAUCAAGGUGAGAAUCAGGUGUGCGUAGUUCGUUCAGAUUGAACACUUAAAUAUUUUUUGUUAGAAAUUUAUUGACAAAUGCAACUUUUUUCUUCGUUUAAAGUGAUAUAAGAAAACUUUUAAAAUUUCUUUUUGUGAACUUUACAUUGUAAAAGAAAAAAAAACUUUUUCUAUUAUUCUGAUUUUAAUUUAAAAUGGUAAAUUAAGUUAUUUAUCUAGAUAGAUCCGAUCAUAUGUAGAGUCUUUCAUUAAAUCAUAUGUAAAUGAUUCAAAUAAUGUAGUCUAUUAGGAACUAUUACAUUUGGUUUCAGUUAUCAUGUUUAAACUCGUGGAGAAAAGUAUCUAGACUGGCUGUAAAACGAGCUGACAACUCGAGUUAGGGAGUAGCAACGUACCGGUAGCAGCGCUUUCCGGCUUUGUGCAUGGGUGCUCCCUAUCCUAAAUAUGUGUGAUUAAAAAUCCUUCACCAUGGACCGAAGAUCCACUGGCUAUCUUGACAGAAAUGGGGUGCAUAGUUGCAAUUCCCAUCAUAUUAUUAUUGAAGACUUAGUAAAAUUCGCGAGAGAUCACAAUUUAUAUGCAGAUCAAAUAAUAUCAUACAUUAAAUAAGUAGACAAUUUACACAUUAAGACAAAUAAAUACAAUAUCCCAAAAUGUAAAUAAUAAAUCAUAGUCAUACAUAAAUCAAUAUUGAAAGCUCGAAUUCUAGUUAAUCCCCAGCGGAGUCGCCAUCUGUCACACCCCUUUUUUUUUCUCUCAAUAUUUUUUUAUUUUUAAUUUUUUAUUGUUUCGAAAGAAAAAGAGUUUUUUCAAUUAAAAUGACAUUUUGAAAAGGGAUAAUUAUUAUUCAGAGUCGCCACUUGGAAUUGAUUUUUGGUGUUCCAAGUCACCUUAUUUAAAUCCCUAAUCAAAAGAAAAAUUGACUCUAUUUUUUAUUGGUCUGCGAACUAAAAAUCCGAAGUAAGGAAUUCUGUUGACCAAGGGGAAGAUGCUAGGCAUCCCUCAAGUCCCGUGGUUCUAGCACGGUCGCUUCAUUGACUUUUAAUAUGACUAAACUUAAUUUUUGGACACUGUAUUAUUUAACUUAAUAAUAAAAUUGUAUUUUAUUUUCAGAUUUAUUCUAAACUUAUUUUAAACUGACUAAUUUUGCUUUUACAUUUUUUUUAUAUAUUUUUAUGUUAUUAUAGGGAUGAAUUAUAUAGGUAUUUUAUAGUUAGAAAAUAUUUAGAGUUCACGUUAAUUUAGAAUUUCUAUUUUUUUUAAAAAAAAAUAAUAGAAAGAUGAAAUUUUAUGAGAUUUGGAUUAGUUUUAAAAUCACAAAAAUUCUAAAUAGAUUAGGACUAUAUUUAUUUUUUAAGAAAGGUUAAAUUUUAAUUUUUUUAAUCUUUUAAUGCAUGUAACAAUUUUUAACAUUCUGUCUUCUUCUUUUUUUUAAAAAAAAAUAAUUAUUAUUUUUAGAUUAAUUCUUUUUGUUUACGUUUGUUAUCUUUUUUGAUAUAACUAAUUUUUAUUUUUAUUUUUUUUUACGUUCCUUACUAAAAAAUAAUUUUGUGCUACAUCCUCUUUUUUUUUACUUUUUCUUUCUUUUUAUGUUUUUAACUUUUUUUUUCUUUUUACGUUUUUUAUUCUGAUUCUCUUUUUUUCACGUUUUUUUUUACUUUUUUUUUAAAUUCUGUUUCUGUUUUUUUUGAAAAAAUCUGCUUUUUUCUUAUUUUAUUUAUUUAUUUUAUUUUAGAUUAUAUAUAUAUAUAUAUAUAUAAGUCUGCUUCUCUCUUCUUUCUUUUUUUUUUUGUUUUAUCAUUAUUUUUAUUAUAUUAUUAUUUUAUAAUUUUUGUCUUCUUCUUUCUUUCUUUUUUUUUUCAAAUUAUUUCAUACUAAUUUUGUUACUCUUUUUUUUUAUUAUGUUAUUGUUUUUUUUUAAAACGUUCUAUUUUAUUAAUUUUAAAUUUGUAUUUUUUAUUUUUUAUUUCUUACUUCUCCUUUUUUUUUUACGUUUUUAUACAUAUUUUUUUUGAAUUUACGUUCUUUUUUUUUGUUUCUGUUAAAAAAUUUUGUUAUGUUUUUUUUUUCUUAUUAUUAUAUUUUCAUGCCCUUUUUUUUCUUUUUAUUUUUUAAAUCUCUUUUCUCUUUAUGUAAUUUCUCAAUUUUUACUUCUGUUAUUAUUAUUAUUAUUGUUAUUAUUAUUAUUGUUAUUAUUAUUAGUAGUAGUAGUAAAUAAUAUUAAUCUCUAAAUGAAAUCUAUUUACCUUUUAAUUACAAUUCUACUUAGAUUAGUUUUUCUUUUUGAAAAAAUCAUUUAUUAGUUAUUAUUUUUAUAUCCUAAUCUAACCAGUCUACAAUUUAUUCAACAAAAAUCUCUAAAGUGAAAAUAGACGAAAAGAUAUAUUAAUCUAUUUAAAUUCAACAACUCAAUAUCAUGAAGCAACAUAAAUUGCAAAAUCUAUCUAAAAACAUAAUAAUAGUAAUAACGUAACAAUAAUAUAAUACAUGUGAUUUGAAGUAUUUCAUGCUAUUAAAAUCAACUUUUCAUAGAAGUAGUAUUAUUUAAAUUACGCGAGAAUUUAUAGUUACCUCGCUGCGAAAAUUGAUACCACAAAAGCGAGCUGUAUCCACAAAUUCGGAAUCACGAUCAAAUCUCUAACUCUAACCUAAUUCUCAAAAGAAAUAACUCGUUUUUUUCUAUAUUUCUCUCUGUAUUUUUCUCUAUAUCUCUCUUUUCCUCUCUGUAUUUCUUUGUAUCUGUGUAUCUGUGUAUAUUUACAUCUCUCUGUAUUUUUUUCUUCUCAACUGAACGUGUUUUUAUAAUAAUUUUGGCUGAGAGUUUAGUGCUAAUUAAAAGGAUAGUAAUAGAGUUGGAUUAUGAUUUAAUUUGAAAUAUUGUUGAGGGGAUUGGGGUUGAGAUAAUGAUGGAUAUAAAAUAAAUAAAUAAUAAUAAUAGAAAAUUAAAAAAAAAAUAAAAAAAAAAGUGAAAUGAACGUCCAAAGAGAGAGAGAAGAAAAAAAAUAAAAAAUAAAUGGGAUGAGAUUUUUUAGUAAAAUAAGUUAGGAAGUUGGGAAUAAUUAGGAUAAGGGGAAGGUAAUUUGAAUAUUUAGGACUCCCCUUUUUUUCUUCUUCUACCAUUAUUUUUAAACUAAUUAAAAGUUGAAGAUUUAAAACAAAUACCAUAAAUUCAUAAUUUUUAUCAUUAAAGUAAUUUACACAAUUUAUUUAUUUUUUAUUUAUUUUAAAUAUAACCUUUUUUUAAAAAUUGGUGUUUGACUCUUUAUAUUUUGGUAAAAAAUUAGGUGUUCACAAGGAUUAUGUGAGUAUUAAGGGAAAACUUAAUAUUUCUAACAUAGACAUUAAAUAAAUUUAUACCUUCAGCAAUGAGAUCAUGGAUUAUGACCUGCAAUUCUUCAACUUGGGUGACGACAGUUUUACUGUCUAUCAUCUUAUAGUCCAGAAAUUUUGCCACAAUGAAUUUCUUCAUUCCGGCAUCUUCUGUUUUAUAUUUCUUUUCUAAAGCAUCCCAGAGUUGUUUUGAGGUUUUGGCAUUGCUGUACACAUUGUACAGAUCAUCUUACAGACCACUCAAAAUAUAAUUUUUACACAAAAAAAAUUUGAGUGUGUCCAUGCUUCUGUUACCAAGAAUCGUUCAUCAGCCGGAGUUUCAUCUGACAUAACAGGAACAUUCUCAUUAAUGAACUUCUGCAGACUCAACAUAGUGAGAUAGAAGAACAUCUUUUGUUUUCAUCUCUUAAAGUUGACUCCAGAAAACUUUGUAGGUUUCUCAGUCGGCUCUAAGGCAGUAUUUGAACGAUUAUGUGCAACCGAUGUUGUAGCAGCACUUACUGUUCCAAUAUUUAUUUGACUUGAAUCAGUCAUUUUUUUUCUGUCACAAAUGACAGAUAAGUUAAGUAUUUGAAAUACUAAAAGUAAAUAACAAAUCUUUACACAAACUGUUUAUGAUUAAACGAUAAAGUUAUUAUGUUCUUUUAAUCGUUAAUCGAAUGAAUUUUAAAAAUUCAAGCAGAGUAGAAAAUCAUAAAGGUUUUAAUCUCCAGAAACCUCAAAUACAGAAACUUUUAAAUUUCUUAAGAUUGUUAUUCUUAUAGUAACCUGUAUUUAUAAGGUUAAUAAACAGAAACAGAAAUAAGAUGAAGCAGAAAAACAUAAAAUACAAGAAGUAAUCCGAGUCCACAGAAACUACUGUGUAUCCUUAAGAAAUUUAAUCCCCUCACUGUAUCCAAGGUUAUGGAUUAAUUUCUCCCAAGAUAAAACAGAUUAAACAUGUUAAAGAAAUAGCGGUACCUCAAAUUUCUUUAACUUCAGCGAACUUGAGAACAACAACAAGUCACACAGACUCAGUCAAUCGACAGUUUGAUUUUAUUUGAGAGAAAAAUAAAUGCAGAGAAGGAAAAUUUUCAGUGUUUAAAAAAUCGAAAAUUGACUUCCUUUUAUAGCAAUUUCAGCAAGAAACGUGUCUGUUCAGACCCGUUUAUUCCAAAAAGUUGUGUCUUUUGGAAAAAAUAACAACUUUUCAGAAAAAUGUGUCUGUUAGGAAAAUAACGACUUUUUGGAAAGUAACGACUUUUCGGAAAGAGUAACAACUUUUCAGAAUGUUACGUUACCCGCAAAUUUAUAAGAGAUGAUAUUAACAGAAUUUAUUUGAUUUAACAAAAAUUGAUUAAAUAAAUUUUAUCCAAAAAAUUUAUCAAUCAAUCACAUCAAAAUCUGAAAAGCCGAAGCUGAGCGACGACGACGGCGCGAGGGGUAUCUUCUUCUUAGCUCUUUAAGAAGUAAUGGAAGUGUUUCCUUAUAUAAGGACAACAAUUUCCCUUUGUUUUGCCGAUAUGGGAGAAAUGACUUUUCAUUUGCACUUUGCAAAUGAGUUUUCAUUUUUCCUCUAAAGUAGUUCCCUCACUUUUCAUAUUAUCUCUUUUCUUUUCCCAUUCACACUUGCUAAACCCCAACAUUUAUUUAACUAGAGAAUAAGAUUUGGUUGCAUCUGGUGAGUCUCGCAUUGCUUCAUGUGGAAAGAGACCAUUUGAUUUGCUAUGUUUAUUUAGUUUCCUUAAACUCUUAGAGUCACUCCAUUUGUCAGUUCUUAUUUAGAGUCAUGAUAUUCUUUCAAAUUGUAGUCAAGUGACUAGUUUGAACCUCUUUUUUUAUAGUUGGAGAUAAAUUAGUUUUAUUGCGUGACAAUUAAAUUGAUGGAUAUUAUUUUGUGGUCUACAGUUGUUAUUAGUUGGGUUGUGAAUUUGUAAGACAUGAAAAGUUCAGGAUAGACAUAAAAACAAAGGAAACUCUGCCCAAUUUUCUAUAAAAUCCUGAUAAGGCUUGCUUUGGGGUUCUCCCCCUUAGCGUCGGUCAUGAUCCUUGAUUGGGUCGUGACAAAGAACCUUAUUCUUAUUUUUUUUCUUUUGUAGUUAUGGAUUAUGAACGAAAUUUUUAGGAGCUUUUGCAAAUUUGUUAUUAUAAUAAACUUAAUUAUGUUUAAUAGUUAUAGUUUGCAUAUUUAUGGAUUGUAACUACAGUUUAAGUAGCCUCUUUGAAUAAUUUGCGGGUAUAUUUAUAUAAUUAAGUUAUUUUUAUAAAAUUAAAUUUAUACAAUUACAAACAUCAUAAGUGUAAACAGUUAUAUAUAAAAAUUAUAUUAUACAAAUUCUGAAUGAAACCUGGAGCAAUUGUCAAAUCUAUAUUAAUUUAUAUUUAUUUUAAAUAGGUUUAAAGAAUGGUUACAAGUAAAUGAAAACAAGGGAGGUAGACGUAAUAUAGUAAACCAAAAGGGAGUUGAGUGUUAUAGAGCGAAACAUAGAGGUCUCUGAAAUUAUCCCUAUAAAUAUUAUAAAAAUAAUUUUAUUUUGAUUUGAAUAACAAGUAUUAACAUUAACAACAUUAUAUAUUGUUUUAUCGAUAUUUAUGAUGAUAUUUUAAAUUAUAAUUUAAAAUUUAAUUUAAUAAUUAUAAAAAAUAUAAUUUUUUUUAAAAAGUGGGUUGACCCUUCAAGCCUGUGGCCACAUACUUGUGGGUUGAACCCACCAUUUUUUAACCCAUGCCAAAAAUAAACUAACCCAUUCUAACCCGUAAAAUAUCAAAAUCCAUAUGAAUUAACACAAAUAGAGUGCGCUAGCCCAUAUUUACGUCUCUACUCUUAAACCUUUGUAAGAUUUGGAAAAUUGGACGAGUGGCUGAAUACAAAUUGUUGGGCGCCCGCGAAGUAGGGAUUAAAAGUCAAAUUCCUACAAAAAUAUUCGCUAAAAUAAGUCCCAAUAAAACCAAUAUAUAUAGCAGUAUUGCGUUCGCCGUUUCAACUUCAUUCACCCCUCUUUCUCAUCAUCAUCUCCUCGUUCUUCUCCUCUACACGAGGCGAGUCGAACGAAGGUACAAUUUCUCUCUUUCUCUAAUGUCUAAAUAUAGAUCGUUUACUUUUAUUCAUUUUUUCAGAUUUUUUAUCUCCGUUUUGCUUAUGUAUAUGUAUUCAUUUUACUGUUUUUAGCUGUUUUCUGAUUAGAUCUGUAAUAUAUAGUGAUUGUUCUGUUUCGUAGCUUUAGUGCGGUUCAUUCUGAGUAGUUUUUAAGGUGUUACGGAGAUCUGCUUUUGUUUUUGCUAGAAAUGUGAUUUAGUUUAAUGGAUCCAAUCGUAUUUGUGUUUUUCGAUGUUUUUAUUAGUUGUGGAUGAGUAUUUUGACUGUUGAGUGGGCAGAUCUGGUCAAUGAGUUAUAGUAUUGCUAUGUUCAUUCAUUAUGCUGCUCCAUGGGCAAACUUGUAGUAAUUUUAACUAGUUUUUUUUUAACUAAACGUAGUAUAGAAUUGCUGGUUGUAGUACUUUAUAUAGUCCCUCAGUUUAUGUGAUUGUAGUUGACUAGGGUUGACUAGUCACUGAGUCCAAGAAAGAAUAAUUUUUGAAACAUCUGAUCUAAAACAAGCUAUGUAUAUGUUUUUGUGGCUAUAACUAAUCUAAUUGGUAAUAUGAGAAUUAAAUUGUUUUUUAUCAUGAGAAAUUUGACAGACAAGAAAGGAGGUACUAUCAACUUAAAUUUGGGGCAGAGAGAGUAAUUUUAUUAAUGAAUUGUGAGUUGAUUCAUAUGCGAAUUUAGCAUUGAAGUUGAAUCAGGGGAAUCUGUCUAUCUGUAUAUAUUAGAUUUGUCUUAUGUCCUAUAAUUAUAAGACUCAAUCACUGCCAGCAUGCUAUGCAUACUGUUAGUACUUUGUGGACAAGAUAUAAAAAAAAAGAAGUUAUUAUUGUUGGCUGAAUAUCAGCCAUAUGUAUAAAGUAUUAUAUGUAUUGUUGUGUUGGCUAAAUAUCAGCCAUAUGUAUAAAGUAAGAGUCUUUUUAUUUUUGUCGUCUUGCGUCGGCUGAAAAAAGCCAAAUGUACAAAAGUCGUAAAGUAAAUAGUUUGUCGGCCAAUCAUGUAAAAAGUUUGUCGGUCAAUUAUGUAAAGUAAAUAGUAUGACGGUGUAAUUUAUGUGUAUAAAUAGAGGAGCUUUCCUCAUAAAUAAAACACACCUUCAUCCUUACAUCUCUCAUCUUUCUGAAUACCCUCUCUUUACGCUUCCACCCCAAAAUUGGUAUGGUCUGUUUGUUAAUCUAAAUUAGCCAAUGAAAUUGGAAUUGAUGCAAUGCAAAAAAUGUAAAUCUAAUUCUUUUUUAUUUUUUGAGCUCUUGCUAAUUGUGAAAGUUAUGCUUUUGGUGUGAAGUUGGUUGGUUGAGCUCCUAAAAUAUUUUGAGAUCUUACUUGAACAAGAUUUAUCUUGAGACUUUAAACCUAAAAUUUUGAGUUAAAGUUUUGCCCAAUUUAAUUGCUAUGUAGAGAUCAUAAAAGUGUUUAGCUGUUGACAUUUCUAAUGCAGUAACAGAAUUGCCAUUUCAAAUGGCGGUUGAAUGUGAGAAUACCAUGUUUAACUGGUUUAGUAAUGUUUUUAAGUUUGUUGUUGGGGUAUGUAUAUAUUGUGAGUAGAUAGAUGGUCUUAAUUGUUUAGUGUGCAGAUCAGUAGAUGAAUGGUGAGAACUCCUAGUGCUUAUGGCAGCAAUUUUUUUGUUCUUUGCUGGAUUUAUGGACUUAUUUUGUCAAUGUUGGGCUUAAGUAUAGAGAUCUGAUUCAUGCUCAAUCUGUGCAGGACUUUUUUAAACGUUGCAAUGACAGAUAUGAAUCAGCAUCCAACUGUUUUCCAGAAGGCAGCUAACCAGCUGCACUUGCGCUCUAGUCUAUCCCAAGAUGUCCAUGCUCGCUAUGGGGGCGUUCAGCCUGCUAUCUACCAGAGGCAUUUUGCUUAUGGCAACUACUCCAAUGCUGCUCUGCAGAGAGGCCAAGCCACUCAGGAUCUAUCAUUGAUCACCUCAAAUGCCUCACCUGUGUUUGUGCAGGCUCCUCAAGAGAAAGGAUUUGCAGCUUUUGCCACUGACUUUCUCAUGGGUGGAGUUUCUGCUGCUGUAUCAAAGACCGCUGCUGCCCCUAUUGAGCGUGUGAAACUAUUGAUCCAAAAUCAAGACGAGAUGCUCAAGGCUGGUAGGCUGUCAGAACCAUACAAGGGAAUUGGCGAUUGUUUCGGGAGGACAAUUAAGGAAGAAGGUUUUGGGUCUUUAUGGAGAGGAAACACUGCUAAUGUUAUCCGUUAUUUCCCCACUCAGGUUUACCAUUUGUCUUCAUUUUGAGGGAUGAAAUUUAUACAUCAAAGAUAUAUGCACAUUUAUUGUUCUGUUGUUUGUUUAAGUUGAGCAUUGACUGACUGAUGCUCUGCUCCACAGGCCCUGAACUUUGCAUUCAAGGACUACUUCAAGAGACUCUUCAACUUCAAGAAGGACCGUGAUGGCUACUGGAAGUGGUUUGCUGGAAACCUUGCAUCAGGAGGUGCUGCUGGUGCUUCCUCUUUGUUCUUUGUCUACUCCUUGGACUAUGCUCGUACCCGUCUUGCUAAUGAUGCCAAGGCUUCAAAGAAGGGAGGCGAGAGGCAGUUCAAUGGUUUGGUUGAUGUCUACAGGAAGACACUCAAAUCUGAUGGAAUUGCUGGUCUAUACCGUGGAUUCAACAUUUCAUGUGUUGGUAUCAUUGUUUACCGUGGUUUGUACUUUGGAAUGUACGACUCCUUGAAGCCUGUCCUCUUGACAGGAAACCUGCAGGUUAGUGUUUUUAUAUGUUUGCUUUGCUCUGCUUUUUCAUGUCUUUAUACUUCUCUGGAUGUUAUCUCUGCUGUGUCUUACCAAAAUGUUGUUAGUCUUUACCAUUUUGUUGGCUGUAUAAAUGCAUCAAUGUUUUCGUGUUGGAGAAGACUGUUUAUAGCUUGCUGUGGGAGAGUGAUAAGAAUUCAGUAUUUGUCAUUAAAUAUUGUCAAUUUCUGCUAAUUUUUCAUCUUCCUUGAUUUGUUUGCUAGAAAAUAGAUAAUUGUAAUUGAUUUUCUCGUGGGAAGUUAAUAUGGAUAUGGGAUAAAUAAAUGUUUUAGUAUAAAAAAACUAUAGUGUCUGACCCUUGUUAUGGUGCUGUAUACAGGAUAGUUUCUUUGCUAGCUUUGCUCUUGGUUGGCUCAUCACCAAUGGUGCUGGUCUUGCUUCUUACCCCAUUGAUACAGUAAGAAGAAGAAUGAUGAUGACAUCUGGUGAGGCGGUGAAGUACAAGAGCUCGCUUGAUGCAUUCUCCCAGAUUGUUAAGAAUGAGGGUCCCAAAUCUCUGUUCAAGGGUGCUGGUGCUAACAUCCUCCGAGCUGUUGCUGGUGCUGGUGUGUUGGCUGGAUAUGACAAGCUUCAGGUUCUUGUUUUGGGAAAGAAAUACGGAUCUGGUGGUGCAUAAGUCAGCCUCGUAACAUCCUUUAGAAUUUAGAUGGUGAUGAAAAUCUUUUUGGUGUUACAUUUGAGUAUUCAGUUGGGGAGACAUUUAUCAUUUUUCCUUUUGACUUUUUUUUUGUAAUAAUUCGAAAAAUCUUAGAGUGGGUCAAAGCUUAAAAACCCCACACUCGUUUCCCUUGUUGAAGGGUUAUUACUGUUUUGUUUGGGCGGACCUUAUUUCAAUUGCAGAGCUUACAGAUUCUGAAUGAAUCUUUUGAUAAAAUCAAAUGCGGAUGAGUUUGGUACUUGUGUUAUUUUAAGUGUGGUAUACAAUAUUAAGCAUGCGUACAUUUUCUUUUUUUAUUCAACUUGACACAUUUUAUUUUGUUGUGGCAUAAGUUUCUUAAAAAAUUAAAUAGAAGGAUGAAACUUGCAAUAUUUUGGAUAGCGUAAGCGUUUUUUUUUCCACUUAUAUAAUAAAGGAUGUUCUUUAGGUUUAAGUCAUACUUCAGAUAUGAUUUUAGUCAAAAACUCCACAACCCAUAUAUGAUUAUUUUCUAAGAAAAUAAUUUAGAAUUUUUUCACUUAUAUAAUAAAGGAUGUACUUUAGGUUUAAGUCAUAUUUCAGAUAUGAUCUUAGCUAAAAACUCCACAACCCAUAUACAAUUUUUUUCAAAGAAAAAAAAUAUAGAAACAACAUAAACAUCGUCUAAUUCACAGUUUCUAAAUAGGAAUAACCAUAAAACACAAAAAAAAUCUGAAUUUUGUUCACUACAGUAAAGUAGCAUUUUCUAAUGAAAAGUCACUCUUGGUAGUAUUUCUUAUUGAACUAGUGAAGAUGUCAUGAAUAUUUUUCUGAUAAAUAUAAAGAAAAUUAUUAUAGAUAAAUAAAGCGAAUGUGCAUAAAUUAGUGCCUACAUAUGGUUUAAAACAUUUGUUUCUGUCAAAAGGUAAUGAGAUUUUACAAUCCAAGUAGUAAGCAUGAAAGGAGAGUUUAAAAAUAGGAAAAGAGUAAAAUAUGCUCCUUAACUAUUCAAAAAAGUCUAGAUAUACCCUUCGUUUGAAGUUUGGUUCACUGAUGCCUUCGCCAUCCAACUUUUGGUCCAAAUAUGCUCUUAUGGACGUUAGUUGUCAUGUUGGACAUAUCCAACUCAUUUUUUAUUUCUUUAAAUGCCACAUAGAAUUGUCAUGUCAUUUUGGCCUUAUCACAUAAUAUUUAUAUGAAAAUGAAAAGAUAUUCGGACUCAUAAGCUUAAUCCGACCCAUAAAUCAACCCCUUUUAAAUAAAUUAUUCGACCAAUUUUCAAUAAUUUUGUUUUAUUUUUUUCGAUAAAUUCCGAAAAUGAGUAAUUGAUUAAUAAAAAAUAGAAAAAUAUGAAAAAAGUAUAAAAUCAACGCCAAAAAUUCAUAAAUAAUUAUAGUAACCUUAAAUUCAGUAUAAACAUUUUUUUUUGAAUUCUUUUAUUUUUUCAAUAAAUUCCGAAAUGAGUAAUUGAUUAAUAAAAAGUAUGAAAAAAAUAUAAAAUUAACGCCAAAAAUUAAAAAAUAAAUACAGUAACCUUAAAUUCAACAAUUUCAACAUUUUUUUAAUUUUUCAUUUUUUCGACAAAUCCCAAAAAUGAGUUUAUUAACAAAAAAUAUGAAAAAAUAUAAAAAUUACGCAAAAAAUUUAGAAAUAAAAAAUAGGAAAAUAUGAAAAAAAUAUAAAAUAAAAAAAAUUGUUGAAAUUAUUGAAUUUAAGUUUACUUUAUUUAUUUGUGAAUUUUGAUGUAUAUUUUUUUAUUUUGUUUUCAUAUUUUUCCCUUUUUAUUAAAAAAUUAAUCAUUUUCGGGAUUUGCCGAAAAAUAUAAAAUUUUUAUUAAAAUUGUAGAUUGAAAUGUUACUAUAUUUAUUUGUGAACUUUUGGUGUUAAUUUAUAUUUUUUUUUCAUACUUCUCAUAUUUUUUAUUAAUCAAUUACUAAUUUUCGAGAUUUAUCGAAAAAUAAAAAAUCUAAAAAAAAUUGAAAUGUUAGAUUUAAGGUUACUAUAUUUAUUUGUGAAUUUUUGGCGUUAAUUUUAUAUUUUUUUCAUAUUUUUUCUAUUUUUAUUAAUCAAUUACACAUUUUUGGGAUUUACUGCAAUAAUAAAAAUUAAACAAAAUUGUUAAAAAUGGGUCGGAUAGUGAAUUUAAAAGGAGCUGAUUUAUGGGUCGGAUUGGAUGUUUAUGAAUCCGAAUAUCUUUCCAUUUCAUAUAAAUGUUAUGUGGUAAGGUCAAAAUGAAAUGACAAUUCCAUGUGGCAUUUAAAGAAAUGAAAAAUGAGUUGGAUAUGUUCAACAUGACAACUAACGCCCAUAAGGGCAUGUUUGGACCAAAAGGUGGACGGCGAGGGCAUGAGUGAACCAAACUUUAAACGGAGAGUAUAUCUAAACCUUUUCGAAUAGUUUAGGGGCAUAUUUGACCCUUUUUCCUUUAAAAAUGAAUAAUGUAACAAAUUAAGCUUUGUUAUUGAUCAACAAAGCAACUAAUUACAAAUAGAUUGUUCAUGUAAUCAAACAACAAACAGCAAAAUACAAAAUAGCUAAUGAAAAGAAAAUGACAUAACUCUUAGCAUAAGCCCUAUGAUUGUUUUCCCCAUUUGUCACUGAGCACAAAGACAUGCCACAACACAGCAGUGAAGAGACAAACAACAUGUCACCAAAACAUAACAUCACUUGCGUUCUGCAGUGAAGAUGAGCCAUAACAAAACUUAACGAUCCUCAAAUCUGAGUCAGUAGUUAUCAAAAUCCAUUCGAUUCCAUACUCUAUUGAUAAAGGUAACCUCCUUACGUUUGCAGAUGAUACAAUUCUGGUGAUCUUCUUUCUAUUGCUAUGAUGAUUAAGAAGUUGGAUACCUAUGAGCAAGUUUCUGGUCAAAUGGUUACUAACAAAAAAUCCACUUUUUUGAUCUCUGCUAAUAUUCCUGCCCCCACUCCUUCUUCCCUAUUAAUUAUCUGGAAUGCCCUAUUUAUUGGGGAAGAAAGAAAAUUAUCUACUUUAGUAGUAUGGUCUCCAAAAUCGUCAAUGUUACUCAAGGAUGGUUGGGUAAUUUGCUCUCUAUGGGUGGCGAAGUUCUUCUUAUUAGAUCAGUGUUGCACUCGAUGCCCUUACAUAUCAUCUCUUUGGCUCACUUAUUGAAAAAUCUCUUGCUAACUUCUUUUGGGGGUCCUCGGAAGGAAUGAUUGUGAACAAAAAUAUUCUUUGAGAAGUGGCAAUGGAAAUCUUUCUUUUUGUUGGGAUAAUUGGACUAACAGAGGGGCUCUUGCUACGUUGGUGGACUAAAGUACUCAUUCGAAGAAUUCUAAAGUCUCUGACUUUAUUAAUUCUAAUCACUGGAACAAAUAAGCUUCAUGAAAUUGUACCUUCUGAUUAGUUGUCCACAUUUUAACUAUCAAAGAUUUUUGCAGGUAAUCAAGACCAUGCUGUCUGGUCACCUGAACACACAAGCUCUUUCUCCUCAAAAUCUGCCUCGAAUGCUCUUAGACAAUCUAAUGGCUCCUCCCCGACUUUUAUAAAAAUAUUUGGCAUACAAAAUUUCCUUUCAUAUGCUUAGACUCCUUAACAAUAAGUUGGCUACAGAUGAUUCAUUAUCUCGUUUUGUUGUGCACGGACCUUUCAAAUGUUUUUGUUGUCACAAUGGAAUGAAUGAGGACAUCAACCACCUCUUUAGCUAUGCUCAAAUAGCGGAGAAAGUUUGGAAAUUUUUUGAACAUACUUUGGAACUGCUCUGGCCUAAUUCUGAUAGCAUUCGUACUAACCUUAUGAGAUGGUGGAGUAUAAAAUAUACCAACAAAGUGCUUAAACUGACCACUCAAUGCCUUCCUUCUGUGAUUUUCUGGGAAUUAUGGAAACAUAGAUGCACUUAUAAAUAGGAAGGCACCAAAAUCCGUGGUGGAGGUAUUCUGAGGAAUCAUACGGGUCAUAUGAUCAUGGAUUUCGCAACAUAUUUUGGUCACUCUUCUAACAACUUGAACAAGGCACGUGCUAUCAAUAUUGGAUUGAAAUGGUGUAUUGAUCACGGUUUCAAUGUUCAUACUGUGAGGGGAGGCACAAAACAACACAAGUAGGAUACAACACCUACAAGGAUCGACUUCAAGACAAUCAACCAAAUAUACUUCACCAAUUUACCAAAAGAAAUUCACCACUAUAUUAACCAAGCUCAAAUCAGCAACACAUCAAUUGAAUCACAAGCAAAUAUGAAUUAUAAAUACGCAAGUGACACACAAGAUUUAUACGUGGAAAACCCCUUCGGUAUGAAGGAUAAAAACCACGGGACUUGAAGGAGUCCACCCUUCUUCUUCUCUUAUUAUGCAAAUUGAGGGUAAAAACACCCAAAUCAGUCUACAAGGAUGUCACAGCCCACCAACAACAACAUACAUAAGAGCCAACACAAAAGAGAAGAGAAAUUGAGAAAUAUCACCAAAAAAAUGCAGGUUACGCCAGCUGCGAUAACAGACGAUCAAGAACUCCGAUUGACGAUCUUAACGGUCAAGAUGUAGUGCUAUGUGUUGUGAACCAGCUGUGAAAAUUUCAGAACGAUCCAACGGUCGGAUCUCUUGCAAUCUGAAAUUUUGUCUCGCUGUCCAGAAAAACCAGCAACCCUUUUCUCUCUCAAACCCUCUCUCUAUUUCUUUUUUUCUCUUCCAAAACAAAAAACCCAGCACCAACAUCAGCUGCCCAAGACUUCUAGAAGAAGUCAACAAAGCUCAAAAUAUAUGGGCCACCCAUCAAUGGGCUGGACCCUUAACAAUCUCCCCCUCCAGCCCAGUUCGGGGAGACCAAACAUAAAAGGUCAUCAAGAAGACACACCUGCAAGCUUGGAACAAAAUUCAAGCUUGCUUCGAGGGACCACCUUUGUCAACAUAUCAGCACCAUUCUUGUUGGUGUGAAUCUUCUUCAACUUCAUUAGUUGCUCUUCAAUGACAACACGCAACCAAUGAUAUCUCACAUCAAUAUGCUUUGUGCGAGCAUGGUACAUGCUGUUUUUGCUCAAGUCCAUAGCACUUUGACUAUCACAAAACACAACAUACUCGCUUUGCUUCAAACCUAACUCUUGAAGGAAACGCUUUAACCAAAGCAUUUCUUUGCUUGCUUCCACUGCUGCUAUAUAUUCUGCCUCGGUUGUAGACAACGCUACACACUUCUGUAGCUUGGAUUGCCAUGAAAUGGCUCCCCCUGCAAAUUUGAACAAGUAACCCGAGGUAGACUUCCGGUUAUCAAGAUCUCCAGCCAUGUCAGCAUCCGUAAAUCCCUCAAGAAUAGGCUCACCACCUCCAAAACACAAACUCAGAUUUGAUGUGCCUCGCAAAUAUCUUAAGAUCCACUUUACAGCUUCCCAAUGAACCUUGCUCGGAUUUGCCAAGUAUCUGCUAACCAAUCCAACAGCAUGUGCUAUAUCCGGUCUUGUACACACCAUGGCAUACAUCAAUGAACCAACAGCAGAGGAGUAAGGAAUAUGAGACAUACUUUCCUUUUCUUUCUCGGUUGUAAGACAACAACGCUUGCUCAACUUGAAAUGGGCUGCAAGUGGUGUAUUAACUGGCUUGGCAUUCUUCAUAUUGAACCUUUCAAGCACCCGUUCAAUAUACUUUUCUUGUGACAACCAAAGUUUACCAGCUUUUCUAUCACGAGCAAUUUCCAUACCAAGAAUUUGCUUCGCAGGACCCAAAUCUUUCAUAUCAAAGGACUUUGACAAAUCCUCUUUUAACCUGCAAAUCAUCUCAACAUCUUGUCCCACAAUCAACAUAUCAUCAACAUACAAGCAAAGGAUAAUGAAGUUACCUUCAGAGAAUUUUCUAAAAUACACACAAGGAUCUGCAGUAGUCCGCUUGUACUCAUUACUACUCAUGAAGGAAUCAAACUUGUGAUACCAUUGCCUUGGUGCUUGCUUGAGUCCAUAGAGACUCUUUUUCAACUUGCAAACAAAAUUCUCUUUUCCCUUAACUUCAAAUCCUUCCGGCUGUUCCAUGUAAAUCUCCUCAUGCAAAUCACCAUGUAAGAAAGCAGUUUUAACAUCAAGUUGUUCAAGUUCAAGGUUCAAACAGGCAGCUAGUCCCAAAAUCAUACGAAUGGAAGUCAUCUUCACCACCAGUGCAAAAAUCUCAUCGAAGUCGAUGCCCUUUUUCUGAUGGCAUCCCUUCACCACUAAUCUUGCCUUCCGCUUCACUAGCUUGUUGUCAACUUUCUUGUUCUUAAACAACCACCUGUUCUUCAAGACUUUCUUCCCUUUUGGAGGCUUCACCAAGUCAUAGGUUUCAUUCUUCUUCAAAGAAUCCAUCUCCUCUUGCAUAGCCUUGAGCCAAUGGUCUUUGUCUGAAUGUGACAAGACCUCUUGAAGGCUUUCAGGCUCCCCCUCAUCAGUGAUUAGGAUGUAUUCUGAACUUGGAUAAAGUCUUGAAGGUUGACGAACUCUGGUCGAUUUUCUAAGUGUUGGCUCUUCUACCUGUGGGCUGGAUUUCUCCCCCUGAUUGGAAGACUCUCCAUGUUGAACAUCUACAGCUUCAUCAUCAGGUUGUGGUACAACAACAUCAGGUUGUACCUCUUCAAUAUGGUCAUGUUCAUGAGCAAUUUCAUGACCAUCCUCUGGAGCAUCACCUGUUAAUUGAUCAUCUGAAGCAGAAACAUGAGGCAUGGGCAUAUCAAUAACAUCAUGAGAGAAAUUAGAAUAAUAAGUCUUAUCAGCACCCAAGAGAUGAAAACCCAUCUCGUGCUCAUAAAAGACAACAUCUCUACUUCUCACAACUUUUUGCUUUGCUGGAUCAUAAAGUCUGUAACCAAACUCUUCAUCACCAUAUCCAACAAACACACAAGGAGAAGUCUUGAAAUCAAGCUUCAAUCUAUGUUCCUUCGGCACAUGCAUAAAAGCCUUGCAUCAAAACACCCUCAAGUGAGAAUAAGAGGGGUCUUUCCCAAACCAAACUCUCUCGGGAAUAUCAAACUCCAAAGGAACUGAUGGUGCUCUAUUUAUCAAAUACACAGCAGUUCCAACUGUUUCACCCCAAAAUGACUUAGGAAGAUUGGACAUUCUAAGCAUGCAUCUCACUUUCUCAAUAAUGGUUCUGUUCAUCCUCUCGGCAACGCCAUUGUGUUGUGGGGUACUCGAUUCUGUUCUCUCAUGUCGAAUGCCAUAUCUUGAGCAAUAUGCUUUAAACUCAUUUGAAGUGUAUUCACCUCCAUUAUCAGUUCGAAGACGCUUCAGUUUGCAAUCUGUCUCCCUUUCAACCAUUGUAUGAAACUUCUUGAAGAUACCGAACACCUCACUUUUGUGCUUCAUCAUAUAAACCCAAGUUCUCCGAGUAGCAUCAUCAAUAAAAGUAACAAAGUAUUUGUUACCACCAAGUGAUUCCACCUCUAUAGGACCACACACAUCAGAGUAAACCAACUCUAACUUCACUUUCUUUCUUGUAGAUGUCCUUGGAAAAGAAACUCUGUGUUGCUUUCCUGCUAAACAAUGAUCACAAGGGUCAAGUGAAAUAGUAACAUCAGCAGGAAUAAGAGACUUACCGGCCAACAGCUUUAUACCCUUCUCACUAACAUGCCCCAAUCUUCGGUGCCAUAAGUUAGGAGAUGUUUUAUCCUCAAUAGCAUUCAACUCACCACUACACACUUUCAAAUGUGUCUUAUACAAGGUGCAACAAAGCUUGCCACGAGCAACAGUCAAGGAACCCUUAGACAAUUUCCAUUUACCCUCACCAAAAGUGUGCUUGUAACCCUCUUCAUCAAGUACGUUAGCAGACAAUAAAUUGAGGCAUAAAUCUGGAAUGUGGCGAACAUCUCUCAACGUUAAAUAGCACCCUACAUUGGUUUGGACUCGAAUAUCUCCAAUGCCAACAAUACUUGCUGAGCUCUGGUUCCCCAUCUUCACACUACCAAAAUCUCCAGCUCGGUAGUCAAUAAAGUACUCCUUAUUAGGAACACAAUGAUAGGAAGCUCCUGUAUCAAUAAGCCAUUCAGUGUCAGAACUAUCAACAUGACAACAUUCUCCAGUAGCACAUAUCAAAGAAAUACGAUCAUCAGAACUAGAAGUUGUAGCAGCUGUAUUCUUGUCAUCACCCUCUUUAUGAUGGUCAUUCUUCUUAUUUUGCUGGUCUCUUUUCAACUUGUAGCAAAACUUUUGAAUGUGGCCAGGCUUGCUACAAUAGUGGCAUAUCGUAGGUUCUCUCCCAUCCUUGGACUUUGACCUAUACUUUGACUUGCCACGCCCUUUGGGACCUCUACUCUUGCUUCUUCCUCUAUUCUCUACCACAAGUGCCUGCGAAAUAUCAACACCCAUCUCCUUUCUUCUAAGCUCUUCAUUGAACAUGCUCUCUUUGAUGACAUCCAAUGAAAGCGUACCAUCUGGAGCUGAGUUGCUGAUGGACACAACCAAAGUUUCCCAACUGUCUGGCAAAGAACUCAAGAGGAAUAAAGCCUGCAACUCAUCAUCAAGGACAAUUUUCAUAACAGUCAACUUGUUAAUAAUAUCUUGAAAGUCGCUAAGAUGCUCAGAAACAGACUUCCCUGGCUUCAACUUGAGAUUAACAAGCCUCUUAAUCAACGAGGCCUUGUUAUGAGCGGUCUUCCUCUUAUAAAGACCCUCCAAUUUUCUCCAUAGCUCAAGCGGCUCAGUCUCCUGGGAUACAUGAUUGAAUAUGCUAAUAUCAAUCCACUGUCUGAUUGUCCCCAAGGUCUUUCUCUUCAGCUUUUCCCAUUCUUUUUCUAUCAUCUUCUCUGGCUUAGUGGGCUGAUCAUCUUUCUUUGUUUUAUCCACAUCAAUUGGAUCAAACAAAUCCUUGCAAUAUAGCAAAUCUUCCAUCAUCGGACGCCAAAUGGAAUAAUUGGUUGAUGUCAGUUUAACCAUAGAGUUAUUUCCAUGCUCCAUGUCUAUGGUUUAACACUCAGCUCUGAUACCAAUUGUGAGGGGAGGCACAAAACAACACAAGUAGGAUACAACACCUACAAGGAUCGACUUCAAGACAAUCAACCAAAUAUACUUCACCAAUUUACCAAAAGAAAUUCACCAUUAUAUUAACCAAGCUCAAAUCAGCAACACAUCAAUUGAAUCACAAGAAAAUAUGAAUUAUAAAUACGUAAGUGACACACAAGAUUUAUACGUGGAAAACCCCUUCGGUAUGAAGGAUAAAAACCACGGGACUUGAAGGAGUCCACCCUUCUUCUUCUCUUAUUAUGCAAAUUGAGGGUAAAAACACCCAAAUCAGUCUACAAGGAUGUCACAGCCCACCACCAACAACAUACAUAAGAGCCAACACAAAAGAGAAGAGAAAUUGAGAAAUAUCACCAAAAAAAAUGCAGGUUACGCCAGCUGCGAUAACAGACGAUCAAGAACUCCGAUUGACGAUCUGAACGGUCAAGAUGUAGUGCUAUGUGUUGUGAACCAGCUGUGAAAAUUUCAGAACGAUCCAACGGUCGGAUCUCUUGAAAUCUGAAAUUUUGUCUCGCUGUCCAGAAAAACCAGCAACCCUUUUCUCUCUCAAACCCUCUCUCUAUUUCUUUUUUUCUCUUCCAAAACAAAAAACCCAGCACCAACAUCAGCUGCCCAAGACUUCUAGAAGAAGUCAACAAAGCCCAAAAUAUAUGGGCCACCCAUCAAUGGGCUGGACCCUUAACACAUACAAUAAUAGAAUUUGAUUCCUUGACUGUGAUUAGCAUGAUCAACGAAGCUGCAACUACAAUAUGGAGCAUUAAGGAGGAAAUGAAUGACAUCCAUAAUAUGAUUUCAAAGGGGAAGUUUCAGUUCAUUCAUAUAUUUAUGGAAAGAAAUAUCACUGCUGAUCUCUAGGCCAACUUUGCGGAGCUUGAUCAGAAAAAUGACUUCUUCACUGAAACUAUACACUUACCAAGGAAGAUUGUAGUCACUAUGAAAAAUAAUGAAGAAGCUCGUCCAAACUUUAGAAUCAGAUUUAGGAAAAACACUUUUAUCUUCGACCCUGGUUGAGCUCUUCUUGAAUGGUACUAGGUAUUCUAUCCUAGAUAUUUUUGGAAGCCUAAUUGUACUAGGAACAAUCUUCCUCUUUUGCUUUAUUUUUGGAAGCUAAAAUUGUAAGAAUGGCUUACCAUUCUAGCUACUCUUGUAUGAGGUAAGGUUGGUCCUCCUUUGUAACUUUUUGCUUUGAAAUGGAAUCUUCUUUGCUGUUUUUAAAAAAAAAACUAAAAUCAUUAUACAUUCAACUUGUAUGAAAUUAUUUAUGUGGAAGUUGUUGCUCUAUACAUUAUGUUAAGACUAUUUGAUUAAAAAAAAGUUCUAUCUAAAUGCUUUCUUCUUCCAAUUUUUGGCAUGUCAUUUGUGUCACAUUAAUGAUCGUUAUGGUAAAAUCAUGAGUAGUGUUGAAUUAAUCCCAGUGACUAAAAAGAAUUUUGAAAAAUAUGAAGCUUGUAGUAAAGUUAAAAUCACAAAAAACCCUCAUUUUCAAGUUAAAAAAAUAACUAAUUUAUUAGAAUUAAUCCAUACUGAUAUUUAUGAACUUGGUGAAAUUUAAACUCGUUUAUGUGGAUUUUGGGUCCCAAUGAAAUGUGAAAAGUUUCACACAAAAUUGUAAAGCUAUUUGAAUUAUAUUUAGCCCUGACAUGAUAAUAUUUAAAAGGGAAAAGAUUUCACUCUUCCUCUGUUUUAUUAUGAGGUUUUACAGUGGUAAAUACUGGUUUGUAAAAAUUCUUAAUAAAAAAAGAUUUUCCAAUUCCCCCUUCCAAAUGACAUAACUAACACCAUUCAAAGUAAUUAUUCUCCUCGUGUUGGCUUCCAUCGUUUUUUCCAAAAAUAUAGUUAUCACUAAUCAAAGUAAAUCUUUUCUGAUGUGAAAUUUCAGACCUGUUCAGAAAAUGCGGACAAACAGAAAAAUAUAUAUGAUAAGUAAUGGAAAUAAAACGGGAAAAUAACGACACCAAGAAUUUUACGUGGAAACCCUUCUAAAUAAGAGAAAAAUCGCGGGCCAAGAGGAUAACCGAUAUCACUAUAGUAAGGAAUUUUACAUGUUUCCACCUUACUAAAAUAUCGCUCGCACUCUCAUAAACUAUUUUUCUUGUAUAGUCUAAGAAAUACCUCACUCUCAAAAUGAUUUUUUCUCUCUAAUUUGGUAUGUUUUUUAAGUAAGUAAGAGCAAUCUACUCCUAAUGAUGCCACCACUGACAACAGAAAAAACACAAGGUUUCAACCUUUGUACCUAUGCAGAUUUCUUUAUAAGAUUUUAACUGAAAAAAGUUAAAGUUAGUACUAUUUGUUCUUUAUUGAGUUUAUAAAAUCAUCCAUAAUUCUUGAUUUAUAUGACAGUGAUGAACUCUUCUCAAAAAGAAAAAUUCACUUCAAUACAAGUUUUGUACACAAUAAUUCAACUAAUUUAGACAACACAUACUAUCUCCGUUCAUUUUUACUUAUUUACUAUACUAAAAAUAGUUAUCCAACAAUACUUGUUUAGUUUGAAAAGUUAAGAGAUAAUUUAUUCUUUUGUGUCUAUUUCACCUUUGCUGUUAACAACACCUCAGGGAAGAGACUAACACCAUGUAACCAAAAGAUAACAUCACUAAUGUUCUGCAAUGAAGAUGAACCAUAACAAAACUUACAGAAAAUCCUUCAUGUUUCAGCUUCUGGGCAACCACUAAUCUAGUGAUUUCAUAUUCUCUACAUAUUCGUUUCAGUGUUGCUAAUUUACCCGAAUUUGGAAAAAUUGAAUUGACUUGAUAAGUGAGUAUUCUGGUUUUUUUUACCUUUUCAUUCGAAAGAACAAGCAUUCUUUGAUUCAUAGUAUUCGAAUGUGUGUUAAAUCCGGGUGCAACCAUCGUCACCUUGAUCAAAUUUGUGUUGACGGCUGAACACUUGACAGAGGUUGGCCAAUUUCAAAGGAGUCAAGUUCAUCACUCGGGGUAACUUUAACAACUUCAACGAUCAUCCUCUGCCCUAGUUCAUUUCCAGAAGCAACUAUGAAACCGGGAAGUUGCUCUUUCAUUGUGUAUAAAAGCAUGUUCAAGAAAGUCUUUGUAUCUCUUAACAACCAUUUCAUUGAGUGGCAGAAAGCACUCAACUACGCAAAUAAAAUUGUUGGUGCAUUUACUUUGCAAACAAAUAGCAAAACUCUGAGUGAAUCCUAGCAUUUCGUGCACUAGGCACCAAAGGGUACUCUUUGAUGCUUAAUAGAGUAACAUCUUUGCAAAAGCAUGAACCUUGGGAUGCAAAUGCCCUCCCCACCAAUGCCUCACCGCUCGCAAUAAAACAGACCUCAGAAGCAUAUUCAAACUCAUCAUACAUUAAACUCGAAUUAUAGUUGACUUGCAGCAGCACGAUACAACACUUUCAAAGAGACAGAUGGAGAAAAAGGAAUCCAAAUUUGUGCAAAGGGAAUACAACUGUCUUUGAAGGAUCUCAUAUAACCCAUCCUCUAUAUUGUCAAUUCUAUUAAUCAUCCAACGGCUAUAAAAAUAAUAAAAUAAGCUAUGAAAUUAGUGGAACUGAUCUCUUUCUUUUUUUUUCUUUUAUUAAAAAGGUCAACAACACCAUAACUCAAAGUCCAAGAAGUAUGUUUAUUGGAUUCGGAAUGUACAACCCAACUGAUUCGAAAUUCAACCACUAUUACGGUAAAUUGAACAAGGAUUAUGGAUUUGUUCAAAGAAAAGUGAAUAACCAAUAUAGCUGAGCAUUCUAUAAAUAAAAGAAACUAGCAAAUACCUUAAUAAGAUUGGGAAGACGCAGAGAUGGUUUUGUAGAUACAAUCUCAAAUACACCAAGGCACCGCUGAUCAGGGAGUUCGAGAAGUGGAAAUGCAUAAUAAGAAUGUAAUCCCAAGCUAAUUGCAGUUUGAAGCAGUGGAAACUCUGCCUCUGGACGUCGGGGUUAUCUUCUGGCAAGUAGAGCUUCCUUGUAAUAAUCAAUGGGAAUCAAAGUAUCGAGACAGAGCCUCCUGUAUGAAGAAAGUCUCUUAUCAAUUUCCUUAUUGAAAACAAAUAGUUGAUCCGCAGUUGACAGGAAAGUUGAUCCAUUGACUUCGAUGGGUGACCAGAAUUGAACCAGAGAAAUAUAUGGAAUCAAUAUUUUAGCCAUAAGACAUUUGAUCCUCAAUUUCACCAUUGCGGACGUGGAAACAACAGAAUCAGUAGCAGCUGGCUCAAGAAGAUAAGAUUCAAAACAAAAACAAAAGAAGCAAAAAUAGUUUGAUAUUCACAACUGACUCACAGAUUGUUUGCUGGUACUGCAACUCAUCGUCGUCUUUUAUACUCCAAAUUGCCCAGCCAUUGGGCUUCAGUUAACACCAGUCCAGUUUACAAGGCAUUACGGAACAUACCGCUGAAACUUGCUGAACAAGAUGCUCCAUACAAUACAACAGAAUUCCCUUAGUCCACACUUGCUUUUGUUUACAGUUUUCCACUUUGUAGCCACUGUGGGAAUUGCUAAAGCAAAAUGUUGUGGAGUUGGCACUACUUGUUCUUUGUUGAAUUUAAAUUUUGUCAUCUCAUGACUAUAUAUUAUUCAAAUAGCAUGACAAUUUUGUCUCAAACUUUACACCUUGUUUCUAUUGGGACCCAAACACUAAUUCUAAUAAAUUAAUAUUUUCUUUUAACUCGAAAAAUGUGUGAUUUUGACUUUAGUACAAGCCUCACAUUUUUCGAUAUUCUUUUUAAUCGCAGGAAUUAUUCCUACACUAUUCAUGAUUUUACCAUAACGAUCUUUAAUGCCAAAAAAUUGGUAGAAGAAAUCAUAUAAACAAAACUUGAAACUUUAUUUAUUUGUGAAAAUGAUGAAAAUGGUCCUUCAUGUAUGGAGGUUGAAUUAUUUUGAUCCUUAAUAUACGCCACUCGAUAGAAAUAGUCCUCAAUGUAUGCAAAAUGGAUACCACUUUGAUCCCAACCCCUAAAUUUAACAUUUCUCUCUUCAGUUUACUUGGCCCGCCCCUUUUCUAAUUCUUCUUCUUCAGUGUAUGUACUUCCUCUCAUAGUCCAUCCUAUAUAUCUAUAUGAAGCUUAUUCAAACACAUUCAUAAUUUUUGCAACCAAAAAAAUCAUUUCUUCUCCUUUUGAAACAAUUUCUGCCUUGUGGGUCAAACUGAAUCACGGAUCCACUGAAAGCGCACAUACCUGUUGAUUUCAUGUUUCGUAGAAUUAAUUAACCGGCCGCAUUCAAUCCAAAAAUCAUCUGAUUCAUUAAAAGCGAUUAUAAGUAGAUUGUAGAUUAAUAGUAUUUAAAUAAUGGGUAAUUUUUUUGUGGGCGUAUUUAUCGUUAAUCUUGGAUCUACUAAUGCUCUAUUCGAUUAUCUUACUAAUUUAUUCUAUUAAUCGUCCUCAAAUGGUUAACUUUUUUUUAAAAAAAAAUUCUAUCAAAGUUUCUAAAUAUAUUGCCAUUCAUACCCUUAUCAAAAAUUGGAAUUCAUUAUCAUAAAACGAAACAAAUUGCUCAAAUAAGUACCAUUGAAUUUCUCAUCCAAGUAUUCCAAUGUGUGUUGAAUUUAAAUCUAUUUUAGGGAGGAUGCAAUUGAGAGAGAAACAGAAAGGGGCAGAACAAAGGCAGGGGUCGUUAGUUUUUAACAAAGGACAGUUAACUUUAGGGUUGAGGACCAAAACCAUGCCAAUUUUGCAUACAUUUAAGACAAUUUCUGUCAAGUGGUAUAUAUUAAGAACCGAAUAAUCCAACCCCCAUACAUGAAGGGUCAUUUAGAUCAUUUUCUAUUAUUUAUUUCAAUAUUCAGUUUCAACAUCUCAUCACAAGCAUACCUCUUUUCCACAUAAAUACCUUUCUUUACAAUUACAUAUUGAUCAGAUUCAAUAAUCUAUUUAAAGUCUGCUUUAUUAAUAAGAAAACUAGACAAUAAUUUUUUUUCAUGAAAGGAGAAUAAAAUACAUCUUUUAAAGUUAACACCCUCUCAGAGGUAAAACACAAUUCGACAUCUCCCGUUUCAAGCAUUUGAAUAGUGUGUGAAUCACCAAACAUGAUGGUAUUGGGUUCCUCAAAAUGAGUAUUUUUUAAAUUAAUCUUUGUUAUAACAAACAUGAGGGUUUAUACCAUAAUCAUCCCACCAUCCAUCAACACUCUCAACUAUUUUUAUGUUUGUAAUAACCGCCACGAAAGGUUCUUCGUUAACGUGUGCCUUAGGUGUAGGACCACAUUUACGGAAUAUACAAAAUCAAGCAAUAUGCCCAUUCUUGACAUAAACAGAACACGAUCCCUUAUCUUGAACUUGUUGAUUUUGUGCAUGGUUAUUUUACCAUUAUUUUUCUUGGGAGGUUACCAUUAUUUUUUUUUUGAAUUUUUUUUCUUAGGCUUCAAAGAAGUAUUUUUGUGAGAUUCAGGAGUAGCAUUAUCUGAAGUAAUUAAAUUUACCUUCGCUGGGAUGUUGCUUUCUUCUGAUUGCAAAAGUGCAUCUUGGCCUCUUGCCUACUUUUCCAUACGAAUUUUCAUUAUCGACAUCUCAAGAGAGGCCGCCUUUUGUUUGUGGCCCAUAAUUUUUUGAAAUUCCUUCCAAGAAGGUGGAGAUUUAUCUACAAUGCUACAAACAAUAUGGUUAUCUUCAAUUUUGACCUCUUUGAACCUGAGCUCUCCAACAAUCAUUAUGAAGUCUUGAGCUUGGUCUACCACAAAUUUGUUAUUCACUAUUUGAAAACGAAAAAAUCUAUUAGCCGCAUAUUUUUUCGCUCCAACCUCUUCGAUAUCAUACUUAUGUUGCAAAUGUUUUUCAAAUUUUCUUUGCACUAGAGUAAGUUCUAUCAUAAAAAUUAUCAAAUUGACAAUUAAUAAUAUAAUAUCGAUAUUUGUAGAAAUCACAAUCGUACUUUUUCACUUUCUCUAAAUGAGAAAUAGUUUCAUCAUCAUUCAUAGAGGUGAUGUCAACUUUAUCAAAAUUCUUCUCAGUUAACACAUAAGAAAUAUUGAGAAAACUUAAGUAGAAUAGUAUUCUACCGUUCCAUCUCUUGAAAUGAUUAAAUUUAACCAAAAUGGCUUGUUAAGGUAUUCCACCUUAACAUUCACGACUUUUUCAAUUGUAGCCAUUAUGAAAUCUCCUUAAAAUUGGAAGUGAAAAUUACAAUAUUACAAGAUUAAAAUUAAAAAAUAUAUAUCUUUAGGCUGAAGCGUGGAUAUCUUGCUCUCUUUAAAGAGAUUCAAGUCCGCUGCAACAAUUGUUUUCACCGGUCCAGCAGUCGUCCUUCUUGACUUGUCCUCUCCAGGAUACAACACCUUAAUCACAAAGUACAACUCAACAAACUAUGGACAAGAGUUGAGUACAAAACUCCACAAAAAGAACACAUUCCUUCAACUAAUAAAAUCUCUCUUUUUGACCAAGUUUAUGCACUCUAUAUUUUCUUAUGUUCGCAGAAGAGCACCACUAUUUAUAGUUAAGGAAAUCUUCCUACCAAUGAAUAGAAAGAUAAUGGAAUAGUAAAUAGUGAAGACAGAAUAAUGAUUGAAAUAAUAUGAGGGCAUCCAAUGCCACUAACGUGCAAAAUGAAGAGUUAUGAACUUUUUAAGAAUUUUCUGUAAGGCACUCAUAGUUCAUAGUUCAUACUUCAUACUAACCUUUCUUGGCCAAUGAUAAUAUUCUCGGAGAAGAGUGAAGUUUCCAAGCAUUUGAAGGGGAAGUUCGCCUUCCACGUAAUCCCAAUGAACAUAAAAUGAGCUGAUUGAGUUCAGGAGAGACCCCAGACAUGUGGAUAUGUUCACUAUUUGCCAAGCCGUGAAUGAUUCUGAAAAUCUGUACAACAGGCACGAGUAUAUUUAUCAAAAAUUCAUAAAAAGAAAAAAUUAUUGAGCACAGAUUUGCAGUACAACCAAAAUAAUUGGAUCAUCUUCUACGCCUUGAUGGACCACCAGAUUUUUCUAAAGUUCAAUGAUACGUAUCAAAACCAACAUUUGUGAAAGACUCCAUCGCUAACGGUUGGUUGUCACUUGUCAACAUCCUCAAUCUCAAAAUUCAGAUUAUGUAUGGUGGUUUAAGUGAUGACAAGAAUCCGAAAUUGUGGAGUCCGAUUGCAUCUCAUCCUACAGUAGUGAUCAUACGGCAAAUGGAAAAGACCAUACUACUAUGACUCCCUUGCAUCACUUUCCCCCAAUCUUGCAGUGCCUUCACUGAUUCAAAAAGGGUGCUGAACUGCACAUUGGUCAUGCUAACAGGACAUAGAGGCAUGGAGUAGGAAUAAUGAUGAAACAAAUAAAGCUUUGUAUUGAUCACCAAAGGAACUAAUUACAAAUUGAUUGUUCACACAAUCAAAGAGAAAAUGGAGAAUAGAUAAGGGAGAUUCCAGACUAUUAUUAUGAAAAAGCUAAUGAAAAGAAAAUAACAUAAACACCUGGUUGUUACCCAUUGUAUUGUAUUAUACUUCUAGUUUAAAUACAAUGUGUGUUUUCAUUGUUACUUAAAUAUUAUUGCAUUAUAUUGUUAGGUAACAAUAAAAAGUCUCAUUUUGUAUAAUAAUCGAUUUGAUAUAAUCACAUCAUUAUCUUAAUAUUUUCUUACUUAAUAUUUAAUAAUUAUCUUUUAUCCUUUUACCUCUGCCUUUUUAUAGUAGCUCUGCCAUAUAUCCUACUUUUCUUGUAGUUUUAUCAUUCAAAUUGUUGGCAUGAGACAUUAGGUAACAAUGAAAACGAAUACAAUCUAUCUAAAUGUUGUAUAUAUUAAAAUAAUAUAGCACGAUAUGAAAUAAUAUGUAACAAUCAUCCGAUUAGAGUGUGCAUAAGCCGUAAUGGAUUAUUUUCCUCUUCUAUAUAUAGGCAUCCUUUUAGGACUUCAAGCGUAAUUUAAAAAUCCCCCAUUCAUAACAUCAUUAAUCACCUUGGUUCAAUGUGCACAAAGACAUAUCACAACACAGCAGGGAAGAGCCAAACACCAUGCCACCAAAAGAUAAUAUUUCUGCAAUGAAUAUGAACCAUAAAAAAACUUGCAGAAAAUCCUUAAUGUGUCAGCUUCAGGGGUAACCAGUAAUUUCAUAGUAGUCCUUCCCAACAAUCUAAGUGAAUGCAUCCUAUCCUUCAAAUCUGAAUCAGUGGUUAUCAAAAUCCAAUCGCCACCUUCAUCUUCAUACUUUAUUGAAAACCUUUCAAGUGAUAUCUUAAGCCUCUUUUCCACUUCCCCCCUCCAAUUCUACCCUUGUUGAUGAAAGGGUGAGUUGAAACUUUAUGAUAUCACCUCUAUAUGUAACCUUUACCAUCAUCACACUAUCACAAGGUUUUCCUGUUGCAGGAGAUAUUUUUUAACUCAAAUAAUUUGUGCCUUUUUCUUGGGAAAGAGCAGGACAUGUUGAUCGACCACAUAUGGUUUCACACCUUGAAAAGAUACGCCUUGGCUAACAUGGACAUUAACCUUUCUAGUAUUGUAACUUGUCCAUCUAGUGAUUUCAUAUUCUUUACAUAUUCGUUUCAGUGUUGCUCGACUAACUGCAACAAAAGAAGUACAAAAAGGGAUUUAAGUGAACCUAUGCAUAAAUCAUUUCAGUUAAAGGCAUAUGAGCGUACAUAUAUAUUGUUAUUUGCAGUUUUGAUGAUUUGACAAACUUAGGGACCUUGUAAAGGUAUCAGGUUUCUUACUUGAGUGUUGAAGAUGAAACAAACUCAGGGACCUUGUAAAGGUACCAGACUCUCAAUGUGACGAGCCGGUUAACUGCCAGCUGGAGAAGGUACAGAAAAUAGGUGCACUCUUCCCAACGGCGUCAACCAAUGGCAAAGAGUUUAAGGAAAGUGACUUGUCCAUAUAAAAGUCACUUUCCUAAACAUCAUUGGUAGUUUUUGCAACUUGACAAAGAACUUUUCAAGAACUCUUGCAAAGGCUAUUACAAAACAAAACAGUAGAAUUAUUCAAACAACAGCAGAAAUCCCUGGAGCAUUCAGUGUAGUUGUUUAAGAAUAUAUUCUCUUGGUCUUACAUUGUAAUCUAUUCCUGAAACUAUAAAGGAAUCAGUGGGUAGUGUUGAAAUUCUAAGUUGUCUAAGUGGGAUAGCUUAGUAGGUAGAUUUAUUUCUACUUAGGCUUGUUAAGCAAUAGAGACUAUUGUUUGAACGUGAGAUUAAGAACUUCUUCUCACAUUUUUUGUAAUCGUGUUUUACUUUUGCUUUUGAAGAUUAGUGAAAACGAUUGAAAAUCUUGUGAGACACGUCGUGGUUUUACUCCCUUAAGCAAGAAGGUUUCCACGUAAAAUCAUUGUGCUGUUUUAAACUGCAUUUGACUUUCUGUUUAUACUUAUUAGUGUGUUAAGGGACGUCGUCCAUUGUCUGAUAAGUGAAGGCACAUAUUCUAUCAAGUGGUAUCAGAGCAGACACUCUCUAUUUGGUUAACCCCAAGGAAGUGAUAUUUGUUCUGGAAUGGCUGCUCCACUUAAUCUAGAAGAAGGUCAGUCUUCAACAAGACCUCCUCAUUUUAAUGGACAUUUCUACAGUUGGUGGAAAGUUAGAAUGCAUGAUUUCCUCAUGGCUGAAGACAGUGAGUUAUGGGAUAUUGUACUAGAUAGACCGUUUAUUCCAAUGAUAGACGAAAAGGAUGGAGAGAAAAUCAGUAUUGUUCCAAAGCCUAGACAAAAAUACGAUGAAGCUGAUAGAAAAAAGAUAGAAAAGGGCUACAAGGAAAAAACUCUUCUUGUCUGUGGGAUAGGACCUGAUGAGUUCAAUUGUGCCUCAGCUUGUGAGUCUGCUAAAGAAAUUUGGGAUUGUUUAAAAACAGCUCAUGAAGGAACUGAACAAGUCAAAGAAUCAAAGAUUGAUAUGCUUACCUCUCUGUAUGAAAACUUCAAAAUGAAGGAAGGAGAAACCAUUAUGAGAUGUUCACAAAAUUGUCCUCCAUUACCAAUGAGCUACGAAGUCUUGGGGAACCUAUCAGCAUGAGAAAACAAGUCAAAAAAGUGCUUCCAAUUCUUCUUCCAAAGUCCUGGGAAAGCAAAGUUGAUGCCAUCACUAAAGCUAAAGAUCUGAAGGUGCUCACAAUGGAUGCUCUCAUUGGAAAUCUGAAGACUCAUGAGAUGAAUCGAAAUCAUGAUUUAUCGAAGAAGGAAGUCAAAAAGAAUAAGUCAUUGAUGCUGAAGUAAAAAUCAGAUGAAGACUCCAGUGAUGAUGAUAUGACAUAUCUCAUCAACAAAUUUCAAAAAAUUGUGAGAAAGAAAAAAGGUUUUAAAAGAGGAAAAAAUGGUCCUCGAAAUGCUACUCAAAAUGAUACCUGCUUCAAGUGUGGAAAAGCUGGACACUUUAUUAGAGAGUGUCCUCUGCUCAAAAAUGAAAACAAGGAACAUCAAAAACCAAGAAGUGACAAAGAGAAGAGAAGGGACCUGGUACUCGGUAAGAAUGAUCAAAAAGUUGAUGCUGACUAUGUGGUCAAAAAGGCUCUUGCUGCAUGGGGAGACUCUUCAAGUGAUUCAGAAGAUCCUGAGGAACCAAAUGAUGUGUCUAUGGUUGCGGUUCAUGAAGAGGAAACCAUUUUCAAUGAAAUGUUUGCUUUCAUGGCUCAUACAGAAAAUGAAGAAGAGGAUGACAAGGUAACUCUUCUCGAUAUGAAAAAUGAUCUGAAUAAUUAUUCUCUUAAAAAGUUGAGAACAUUGGCAAACGUUAUGAUUGAUUUUGUAAUUGAGUUAACCUCUGAAAGAGACAUUAUGAAUGUUGAACUUGACAGUUUAACUGAAAACAAAGUUAAACUGGAGGAGAAAAUGUCAAAAAUGGUGUCUCUAGAGUCUGAUAACACUAAACUUAAAAACCAGUUGAAUCAGAUAACUGAAGAAUCUGAAAAGCUAAAUGGAAGGUCAAAUGGUUUAGAAGUUGAAACUGAAGAAAGAUUGAAAAACUUUGAGAAAAAUCUGGGAUUGUCUUUGGAGAAGAGCAACAAUUAGAAAAGGAUAUUGUCAAACUUAAGGAAGAACUUGAAAAAUCUCUUAAGUGGACAAAAUCCUCUAAGUUGAUGUCAAAUGCAACAAAUCAGAGUAAUUUCAAUAAGAAAGGUCUAGGAAGUUUGAAUAUCACUCCUCCUUUUAAUCCUCACAGCAAGUAUGUAUUUGUGUCUGACAAUCUGCUUUGUCUUCAUUGUGGUAAAAAUGGGCACUUAAAGGGAGAGUGUGCUGGCUGGAGAAAUUCCCAUUAAAGACUCUCUAAUUAUGCUGAAAGGCAAAAAUUAUCAAAAGAGAGCUGGUCCUCCAAAAUCUGUUUCAACUGAUAGAUUUUCAAAGAAAGAAUCUAUCACUGCUCCAAUGUCCUUUGUUAGAAAGUUUCAAAAACUGCCCUAUUGGACCAAAUACAAUUUGAUCACUCCUUUGUCUGCCUUCUGGGAACUCAAAUUGAAAUGGGUUCCCAAGCUAAACAAGUGAUUCUUGGUGCAGGUGAGUGAGAGGAGCAGAAGUCAAUGUUCGUAUAUGGACAGUGGAUGCUCUAAACAUAUGACUGGUGACAUCAUAAAUUUCCUCUCAUUCAAGACACUUCAGGGAGGAGGUGUCUCUUUUGGUGAUGGAAAGAAGAGGUACAUUUUGGGAGUUGGUAAAGUCGGAAAGUCUCUUGAAGAUUCAAUUGACAAUGUGUAUCAUGUUGAUGGGUUGAAGUAUAGUCUUUUGAGUGUGUCUCAAAUUUGUGACAAGGGAAAUGAAGUCAAGUUUACUUCUGAGAAGUGCACUGUGGUUAGUCUAACUACAAAGAAAGUAAUUCUCGCUGCUUUCAGAAGUAAAAACAUGUAUGUGGCCAACUUAGAAUCGUCUCAUAGAGAUGACCUGACAUUUUUUAGUGCUCAAAAUGAAAAUGCUGAUCUUUGGCAUCGUAGGCUAGGGCAUGUGAGCUUAUCUUUAUUGAUCAAACUGAUUUCUAAGGACCUGGUCCGUGGUCUGCCAAAGCUGAAGUUUGCUGAAAAUAAAAUAUGCGAAGCUUGUGUCAAAGGAAAACAAAUCAGAUCAUCCUUUAAGCCCAAAAAGCAAGUAACCUCAUCAAGAACACUGGAGUUGUUACACAUGGACUUAUGUGGACCUUUGAAGGUUCAAAGUAGAAAUGGCAAGACAUACAUUCUGGUGAUAGUUGAUGAUUACUCAAGAUAUUCAUGGACAAGAUUCCUAAAAUCAAAGGCAGAAACACCUGAAGAAUUGGUGGUGUUUUUCAAAAUGAUUCAAACUAAAUUGAAUCAAGUGAUUUGUGACAUUCGAUCUGAUCAUGGAACUGAGUUUGAGAACUCAAAACUGGAUCAAUUCUGCAUGGAGAAUGGUACGAGUCAUAACUUUUCUGCUCCAAGAACUCCUCAACAAAAUGGAGUGGUGGAAAGAAAAAACAGAACCUUGAUGAACAUUGCCAGAUUCAUGAUUAUUGAGUCAAAUCUUCCUCAAAGUUUCUGGGCUGAAGUUGUCAACACAGCUUGUCAUGUUACCAACAAGUGUCUGAUAAGAGUUGUUUUGAAUAAGACCCCCUAUGAGCUGCUCAAUAACAAAAAGCCUAUGCUGAGCUAUCUUAGGGCUUUUGGGUGUAGAUGUUUUGUGCUGAACAAUGGAAAGGAUGAUCUGGGAAAGUUUGAUCCUAGGAGUGAUGAAGGAGUGUUUGUUGGAUAUUCCUCAUCGAGUAAGGCAUACAGAAUAUUCAACAAAAAAACGCAGUGCAUUGAAGAAAAUAUUCAUGUUGUUUUUUAUGAAGAUGGAAACCUGAAGAGCAAUGGUUCAAAUGAUGAAGAUUAAGUGAUCAAGCUGUUCAGUUCAAAGAAAAUUGAAGGCAGUGAAGCUGAUGCAGAACAACGAUUGAAAAAUGACUAUGAUAAUCAUAAUCAUAGCCUACCUGAAGAGGCUGAUGAAGUGGAAAAGUGUGAUGAGGUACCUGGUACUAUUCUGAAUUCCAGGCAGAGUACAUCAAACUCUCCAGAAAAUGAUGACACCCUUGAUGAAGUAGAACAUGCGGAUCAGCUCAAUCAGUCUGCUUUAAGACCAGGAUGGAAACAUAGUUCAUCACAUCCUUUUGAUUAUCUUAUCUUCUCUUUGAACUCUGGAAUUCAUACUAGAUCAAAAAUAAGAAAUCUAGUUGCAUUUUCAGCAUUCAUAUCUAUUGAGCCCAAGAAUGUGAAAGAGGCAUUAAGUGAUGCAGAUUGGAUCAACUCAAUGCAAGAAGAACUUCAUCAGUUUGAAAGAAGCAAAGUAUAGUACCUGGUUCCUCGACCUGUAGGCAGAACAGUAAUAGGAACCAGAUGGGUUUUCAGAAACAAGCUCGAUGAAAAUGGAGUGAUCACUAGAAACAAAUCCAGGUUGGUGGUUCAAGGAUACAAUCAAGAAGAAGGAAUAGACUAUAAUGAGACUUUUUCACCUGUUGCCAGGAUGGAGGCUAUUAGAAUUCUAAUAGCUUUUGCUGCAUUCAUGGGAUUCAAGCUGUAUCAAAUGGAUGUCAAAAGUGCAUUUCUGAAUGGAGAUCUGAAAGAGGAGGUAUUUGUCAAACAACCUCCUGGUUUUGAAGAUGCUGAGCUACUAGAUCAUGUGUUCAAAUUGAAUAAGGCUCUGUAUGGUCUGAAGCAAGCUCCUAGAGCAUGGUAUGAGAGGCUGUCAAAGUUUCUGCUGAAGAAUGGUUUCAAAAGAGGAAAAAUAGACAAUACUUUGUUCUUAUUAAAAAGAGAACAAGAAUUGCUUAUUAUUCAAGUUUAUGUGGAUGAUAUAAUUUUUGGAGCUACUUCAGAAUAUUUGUGUGAUGAAUUCUCAUCAUUAAUGGGAAAGGAAUUUGAAAUGAGCAUAAUGGGCGAAUUGACAUUUUUUCUUGGUCUACAAAUCAAGCAAUCAUCAAAUGGGAUUUCAAUCUGUCAGGAGAAGUACAUUAAGGAGCUACUGAAGAAAUUCAACAUGUUUGACUCCAAACCUAUUGAUACUUCUAUGGGAACAAAUUCCAAGCUUGUAGUAGAGGAAUCUGAUCCUCUUGUGAAUCAAACCAUGUAUAGAGGAAUCAUUGGGUCCUUGUUAUAUCUGACUGCUAGCAGACCUGAUAUUGUUUAUAGUGUUGGAAUGUGUUCCAGAUUUCAAGCAUGUCCUCGUGAUUCACACUUGAAGGCUGCAAAAUGUAUUCUAAGAUACUUGAAGAAAACAGGGGACCUGGUUCUCUUCUAUCCAGCAGGUGACACUUUUGAUCUAGUUGGCUUUGCAGAUGCUGAUUUUGCUGGUUAUCAAGUUGACAGGAAGAGUACUUCUGGAAUAGCUCAUUUCCUUGGAUCCUCACUCAUUUAUUGGGGAACUAAGAAGCAGAAUUCAGUUGCACUUUCAACAACUGAAGCUGAGUAUGUAGCAGCGGCUGUAUGUUGUUCCCAAUUGUUAUGGAUCAAGCAACACUUGGAGGAUUUUGGUAUAAACAUCAAAGCUAUUCCUCUUAUGUGUAACAAUACUAGUUCUGUUAGUAUGGGAAAGAAUCCAGUUCACCAUAAGAGAACAAAGCAUAUUGAUGUUAGACAUCACUUUCUGAGAGACAAUGUUGAAAAGGGGAAAUUGUGCUUACAUAUUGUCCAACGGAGGAGCAAAUUGUAGACAUCUUCACCAAGGCUCUCAGUAAAGAUUAAUUUGAGAGAAAUCGGCUGAAGUUGGGCAUGACGAUCUCUAAGUGAUGUCCUUAGCUUCCAACAGUUGAAUUCCCUUGAUGGAUAAAAUUGUAAUGCAGGUAACCUUUGUGUGAAUAAUCAAAUAUCUGGAUUAAGAUCAUUUUUGUACCUUUUGUAGGUAUACUUUCAGGAAGGACUGGCCUAGCGAAGACAUGACUAGAACAACUGGGAAAUGAGGAUAAAACUGUGUUAUGGUACCCUGGUGCCUGUCCAGGUUAGCAUUUGUACAUUAUUUUUAAACUGAAAAAUUAUGACCGUUAAUAAUGCCAUGUGUCAUUCAUCGAUCAUUCUAACCUUUAGUCCUAUCGCUUAUUCCUCAAGCGACACGUCAAAUCAUGGACCUGGCACCGUUUCAAGUUUUUUUAAACCCACUUUACUCCUUUUUGAAAUUCUCAUCCGUCCUUUAACAUUCUUUCUGCUUAAAAAGGGAAUCAAGUAAAAGUUAAAAGACAAAAUCUUUUCCUUCUUCUUCCUUUUUCUCUACAAAAAGAUAUUUUUUGUUCUCAUUCUAGUAAAAAAUGUCUGCUCCUUCUUCUACCUCCAAACAAAUGCUCACUACUCUCAGUGAAAUAGAACCCAUUGCUUUCUACUCUCCUUCUGUUGUGGAGUCCAGAUCCAGUGCUCCUUCAAGUUCUCAGAGAGAUACACCUGACAAUCCAUUCUACUCCAUAGAUCUGAACAAAAGUAGCUUGCCUACUGGACCUGGUCUUUGCCAAGAAAUGCUGCCUGAUAAUCUUUUUAAAGGAGAUCUGCCAAGAAAUAAAUCGUCUGAGUCUAAUAUCUUGGCAGCAAGUGAAGAACUAGUUAUUGAUUAUCUGGCUAUGAUGAGGGAAGAGGCUAGGGAUGAGCAAACUAAAGCUUUGCAGAGGGAAGAGGUAAGAGACACUCAAACUAUUUUUGAUAAAACUCCUGACAUUGGAAGGUAUCCUUCUUCCACCUCUUCAGACUCUGAAAGUGAGGAGGAACCCCUUAAAUGGAAGGUUGAGAGAAGAGAGGGUGAAAUGUCUAGGAAGGAAAAAGAGAAGGUUGUGGAAGAGGCCCCUAGGAGAAGACCUACUACUAGGUCUGAUGCUCGAAAAUUGAUGGUCGAUGCCUUAAAGGGCAUUACACGUUCUACGACUGCUAUUAGAAGUGCCAGAAUCUUUAAGGUAUCAAACUUCAAAAUGCCUGAGUCUGAUGUUGUUGAGUUGUCUGCUGAGGAAGUUGAAAAGAAAAGUAAGAAGAAAAGGUCAGGAAACAAAAAGGCAAAGGAUUCAAAGAAGGUUGAAAAAAUAAAGUCCAAAAAGAAAAGUUCUGCAGGAAAAAUGAAGAGAUCACAGGGACCUGUUGCCCAAAACAGGAGUGAUGAGAGUGUCAACAUGCAGGAAGUUGUUGACAACCUGAGAAAGCAAGCCGUCUUGGCUGGGAGAGUCUUUGAUAUGGGAAUAAUCAAUCUUCCCGGCAUGGACUCUUUUCAUGAUAUGGUAGAAAUUCAAUCAUGGUUGCAUCUGUUCAACAGAAAAUCUCUUAUCCUCUAUGAAGAAGAAGUGCGUGAAUUCGAUUAUAAUAUUCAAUUCAAAGAAGAUGGGAGUAUCCUCACAAGGGUAAAUGAUAUUGUUUUACAUCUGGAUGAGUGUCUGUUGGGAAAAAUUCUCAGGGUACCUAGAGAGGGGACCGGGUCUGUGACUGGAAAAACUUUCUCUACUGAGUUUGUGUCUUUGGUUUCUAAGAUACCCACAACCAAGGUUGCUGGGAUUUUUAAGAAGUUCAUGAAGAGCAAGUACCAGUUGGUGUUCGAAUUUGUCAACAAAGUUCUCCUUUCUCGUACUGAAAAGAGGACUUCAGCAACUUCUGCUGACUUGUUUCUGAUGGAGAUGUUGUGCAGAUUCGAAGCUCUGAAUCUCCCAAGUCUUAUGCUUGAGCACAUCUACAAAACCGUCAUAGAGAGGAAAGGAAUUCAUGGAAUGGGAUACGAAUACUUUUUCACAGAAGUAUUCAAGCAUUUUAAAAUUCCUCUCAGUGUUGGCAAGGUUGGGACGGUGAAACAAAUUGUUUCAGAGACCUGGUCGAAUGUGAGUGUAUUGAAGGGAGAGGCAAUCCCAAGAGCAAGAUGGCUCAACUAAUCGAAAAUCGGGAUCAACUCAAGCAUGAGGUUGAGGAGCUCACUGUGCGUUUGAGUGGUAAAGAUGCAGAAAUUGCCAUACUCAAAGCAGAACUACUUACUGCACAGACUGAGGGACCUGGUACUUCCGUGGUACAAGCUCAAGAGAGAGAAAAUGCAGAGUUGAAGGCCAAGAUUACUGCCUUACAGGAGAAGGCAAUUAAAGAUAAUGAUGCUGCCAAUGCACGAUUCACUCUCAUUAUCCAGUCCCUAUCUCAUCAACCUCCUCCUUUCUAGCCUGUUAAAAAAAAACCUCCCCUAUGUCUUUAUUUUUGUGUCUUAUCAUUGUGUUAUUGGAUAAUCAGUUUGACUUUUAUGUACUAAAUGUUAUUGUGGAAUGCUAGCUAACUUUGACCUUAUUCAGUACUACUGUUGACAUCAUUGGUUUACUGCAUAUCUUUUUUCUGAUGCCAAAAGGAGGAAGUAAAAUUGGUAAGUAGCUAAAUGAGUAUGUGUGUGGGGGAAUACAGUGAGGGGGAACAAAGUGAGAGGGAAUAUAGUGAGGGGGAACAAAGUUGGAGUGGUGUCUGAGAAUAUUGUUUGUCAUCAUCAAAAAGGGGGAAAAUCUUAUUUGCAGUUUUGAUGAUUUGACAAACUUAGGGACCUUGUAAAGGUACCAGGUUUCUUACUUGAGUGUUAAAGAUAAAACAAACACAGGAACCUUGUAAAGGUACCAGGCUCUCAAUGUGACGAGUCGGUUAACUGCCAGCUGGAGAAGGUAUAGAAAGUAGGUGCACUCUUCCCAACGGCGUCAGAAAGUGGGACUUCUCCAACCAAUGGCAAAAAGUUUAAGUAAAGUGACUUGUCCAUAUAAAAGUCACUUUCCUAAAUAUCGUUGGUAGUUUUUGUAACUUGACAAAAAGCUUUUCAAGAACUCUUGCAAAGGCUAUUACAAAACAAAAAGGUAGAAUUAUUCAAACAACAGUAGAAAUCCCUGGAGCAUUGAGUGUAGUUGUUUAAGAAUAUAUUCUCUUGGUCUUACAUUGUAAACUAUUCCUGAAUCUAUAAAGAAAUCAGUGGGUACUGUUGAAAUUCUAAGUUGUUUAAGUGGGAUAGCUUAGUGGGUAGAUUUUUUUCUACUUAGGCUUGUUAAGCAAUAGAAACUAUUGCUUGAACGUGAAAUUAAAAACUUUUUCUCACAUUUGUUGUAAUCAUAUUUUACUUUUGUUUUUGAAGAUUAGCGAAAACGAUUAAAAAUCCUGUGAGACAGGUCAUGGUUUUACUCCCUUAAGCAAGGAGGUUUCUAUGUAAAAUCGUUCUAUUGUUUUAAACUGCAUUUGACUUUCUGUUUAUACUUAUUAGUGUGUCAAGGGACCUCGUCCGUUGUCUGAUAAGUGAAAGCACAUAUUCUAUCAUAUAUAAUAGCACAAAAAGAACUUAGAACCUCAAAUGCGCUAAAGUUAGUCAACUUACCAUGUAAUUUUUUUGCAGCAUCUUGAAGAGUCAUGCCAAAAUGUUGCUCCAGAAUCUUGCGAGUAAUCCCAUAAUCUUUUUCUAUUAUUUGUAUUGUCCUUUUCUUAUGCGAAUGGAUUUUAUUGUUGUUAGUCUUUGCAAUUGCCGUAGAAUUAAUUUCUAUAUUUGGUUGCUCAAAGUGUGAAUCAAGUUGCAUUAUUUCAGGUGUAUCCUCAAUGUGGUCAUCAUGUGCUACAUCCAGGUUAACUUUUCCAUUGUUUGUCACAGAUUCCUCUAUUGGAUGAGGAAGUAACAGAUCAACUUCCAGUGUCCUUUCACAGUUGAGUGAAUCAUGCUUGUCUGAUGAACAAGAAGGAACUAAUAGUGCAGCAGCAACAACAACAUUAUUUGACUAUUGGUUGACAGAAUAAUUUCAGUUGUUUCUCCUAUCAUGAAGAGAUUGAACACUCAACAAACAUUGGUCAAAUUUUGUUGUUCCUUCUCCAUCCUGAAGUGAUUGAACACUCUGUAGAGAUUGGCCAAUUUCAGAAAGGAGUCAAAUUCAUCACUCGGGGAAACUUUAACAACUUCAACGAGCAUCCUCUACCCUAGUUCUUUUCCAGGAGCAACUAUGACACCUGGAAGUUGUUCUUUCAUUGUGGAUAAAAUUAUAUUUAUGUUAGUCUUUGUAUCUCUAGCAUACAUUGUGUUGGGUGGUAGGAAGUACUCAACUACGUAAACACUAUUGUUGGCGCAUUUACUUUGCGAACAAAUUGCAAAACUCCGAGUGAAUCUAACUUUUCGUGCACUAGGCACCAUACGGUACUCUUUGAAUGCUUAAUAGAGUAACAACUUUGCAAAAGCAUGAACCUUGGGAUGAAAAUUCCCUCCCGGCCAAUGCCAUACCUGUCACGAUCGGAAUCUAGACCCCCAGAAGAGACCGGCGUUGUUGACCUCUCAGAGGUUGCAAACAAGCCUACUUACGUCAUUCUUACUUUACAUAGGUUAAUUUUUAGCGGAAAGUUUGAAAUUUUUUAUUCUUUAAUCAUACUUGCUAAACAUUCUUAAUAUUUCGUAAUCGUUCAUCAUCAACCAUCUAACAUUUAAGAGAUAAGCAACUGAAAGAAAUAAUUCAUUAGACUCUUCACUUGGACCAUUAGACUGAACUCUCUCUUUCCCUUGUUCUUGACUUCUCCUAAUCGGACAAUCCUUCACCAUGUGACCCGGUUUGCCACAACUAUAACAAGCAUUAGUGCCCCUCAUACAUUCUCCUCCAUGUAGUUUGCCACACUUCCUGCAAGGUGGUCUCUCCUGAGGUGUAUCUACUUCAUUGUUUCUCUCAACUCUGGACUCCGAAUUUCUAUCAUGACGACCCUUGGAUGAACUUGACUCCCCUUGGUGGGAGAGUCCCUUCUUAAACCUGGGCUUAUCCCAGAUUUCAGUACUACUCUUCCUUGAAAAAUUCUCCUCAGCAUGCCUUGACUUGUUCCCUACCCUAGUGUGUAUCCUCCUUCUGCUUUCCUCCACUUGCUGGACAUGGACCAUAAGUUUGGAAAGGUCCAUGUUGUCAUGCAGCAUAGCUGCCCUAUAUUUCUCUUCGAGAUCUUCAGCAAUUCCUGUCAAGAAUCUAAUCAUCUCGUCUCUGCUGUUAGAUACAAGAGAAGUGGCAUACCUUGAUAGUUUCAUAAAAUUUAAGGGAAUACUCACUGACCGUCAUAGAUCCUUGUUUAAGGUUGAUGAACUCCUCAACCUUGGCCUCCUUCAUCUCUCUAGGGAAAAACCUUUCCAAAAAUGUUGUCUUGAACAGCUCCCAUGUGACUGGCACUCCACCUAGGACCCGACUAUCUUGCCACAUUUUGCACCAAGUCUGUGCAACAUCCUUGAGUUAGUCAGAAGCCAGCUCAGCCUUCUCAAUAUCAGUGGCCCCCAUUGCCGCCAGGAUCUUAUGCACAUCGUCUAUAAACUCCUGAGGAUCCUCUGAAGUCUUAGCCCAUGUAAAUAUAAGAGGAUUCAUCCUCGUGAAAUCUCACAGUCUAUCAGCCAUGCUGCGAACCGGUGAGUUUUGCCUCUGAACAUUCUGCCGGUUGACUUGGGCAGUCAUAGCCUGAGCCUGCAUCGUGAUGGCCUGUGCCAUCUGAGCUAGAGAUGCCCUUACCUCAACAUCAGUCAACCUAGCUGGGUUAACUGACAUGGCCACUCCUUCAACUGGAGCCUGGGGUGGAUUUUGAUUACCCCUAGCUGCAGCUGCUCCUGUCCUCCGACCCUUAGUCCUCCAAGUGUUCAUUCUCUGAAAACAACAAGGAUUGAUGUUAGACACGUUCAUAACACCAAGAAUUCAAACGUUAGGAAAAGCACGAUAAGAUCAGAAGAAGGGAAGUUUUUCCUACGCAUCAUGCAGUCUCUAAUUCGGGAUGGUGCACUUCACUACCAUGACUUAGAAACUACUCAAUGUGGUUGAUGUGAACUCAUUAUUCAAGGAAUUUAACCUAGCGCUCUAAUACCAACUUUGUCACGACCGGAAUCUAGACCCCAGACGAGACCGAUGUCGUUGACCUCUCAGAGAUCGCAAACAAGCCUACUUACGUCAUUCUUACUUUACAUAGGUUAAUUUUUAGCGGAAAAUUUGAAAUUUUUGAUUCUUUAAUCAUACUUGCUAAACAUUCUUAAUAUUUCGUAAUCGUUCAUCAUCAACCAUCUAACAUUCUUAAUAUUUCGUAAUCGUUCAUCAUCAACCAUCUAACAUUUAAGAGAUAAGCAACUGAAAGAAAUAAUUCAUUAAGUAUUAAUUCUAUAUCGGCCAAAAUAGCACCUAUACAAAGUCUGAACCAAAACAGGAAAGAAACACUAGUGGAACAUGCUCCACUAGCUCAACUCUAAAACUACUCUAGAAUGUAAAACAGUAGCAUCCUCGAAAGCAUGAGGACCUACCAAACUCCGGAUGAAUGCUGACGUCCGUAUAGCUGCAACAACGAACCUGUAGCUCUACCGUUCACCUGUGCCUGCACCUAAAGUAGAUGUUUGUAUGGAAUUAGUACACACUUGCACUAAGUAUGGGUAUAUGCAAGCACACACCAGGGACAUGCAUGAGAAAGAAUAGUUCUUUCCUAACAACAUGAUUUUUUUGAAAGUCAAGUCAGUGGACUUUCCAAAUUGAGAUUGGAAAAAUUAUGCCAUGAUAGUGACAUGCAUCAUUAUCAUUAUCGUACUACACACAACACAUAACAUCUUCAUAUAACACAUAACAUAUAAAACAUAGUUUCUUUCAUAUUAUUCAUUCAUAUACCAUGAGACCUUGUUAUCAUAGACUUAACCUUAAGACUUUCCAAAAUGAGGGCUCAACAUAUGGUACCUCAACUAGGGAGCCUUCUUUAGCAAACACAGAGCCUGCUUCAUUCAUUCAUACGUAUUUAAUUUCAAUUCAUUCAUAGGCCAGUGCGAACACCAGCUAUACCUAGGAUAUAGUUUAAGACUUUCAUCGGGUUUGCUGUGCAAUGAUCAAGAAUAACCUAAUGUCAUUACCUGAAUCUAGCUCACCUCUUGAUUAUCCUAUCCUAACACCUUCGGUGUCAUUCAUUUCUUUAUAUGAUUCAUUUGAGGCUGGCCUCAUUCAUUCAUUGGGAACUUUAACUUUAACCGAUAUAGCUCAUGUGAGCAUCAUGAAAUCCAGUGUCUCCCCCACACCGAAAAGAGGUGGAAUCACCGGCCAAAGCGAUUCAAUAACAUGCUAGCGUAUAUGGGAAUUUAACCCCACCAGAUCCCUAUAGUGGAAAUAUAGGUUCAAAGACUAGGAGGGCAAGCCGGACAGUCUCAUCUCAUGAGAGUUACGUGAACCUCCGCCUUUCCCGAAAGAAGGCAUCACCGCUUAUAGCUAGCCUAUCGGUGCUCGGUAUAAAGUUCCAUUACAUUCAACUCAUACAUCAUGGAAGCUGGCUUCUAGUAUGAGGAUAUCAUAGCUCAAUAGAUGAUUUCUCAUCUCAUCAUUUGUAUUAAGUGUUUUAAACUCAAUAUUUUCAUUAGAGUGUUCAUAGAGACUGGUCUCUUCAUUAUCUUAUACUCUCAUUGGUGAGUACAUAUUGGUAACAUUUACUUAGGCUCAUUUGAGAUUGCUCUCAUCAUAUACAUUAGCCUCACAUCAUGAUUGUCACCACAUUCUUCAUUAUUAGCACCUUUGUUUUUCAUAGUUAUUCACCUCUUAUUACGUGAGUGUUCAUUUCUUCAUUUCAGUGUUCAUCUCAUCAUAUGCCAAUGCACUUGGCCAUUUAGCGUAUCAUACAUUCGUACUUAACCCUCAUAAGAUUCAUCAUUUCAUUACGUACAUCCUAGGUUCACUUAAUUUUUGAACGUAUGUUAGACUUAUGUGUCUAUACAUACAAGCCAUGGGGCUUUAUUCAUAGUUCGUUAAGUGAUUCUUACUUUCCUAAGAUUAUGUAUUACAAGACUUAUGUAUCUUGUAUAUAUAACAAGAUCUUGAUUUUUUAUCAAAGUAGAUGACAUUAUUCUUGAAUAUUUUACUCACGUAUGACUUAUGUAUCAAUACGAAGGAUUGGGCACGGGAACCCAACUCUUGAAUCAUUUUGAUAGCAUUUAUAUUUUUCAUUGCUUUUAUUUCUAAUAUUCGUAACAUUAGAACUCUAAAUUAAAUCUCAACAUUUUCAUAAAAUAAUUAAUUUUCUAUUUUAAUUAGAAUUCUAAAUUAAAUCUCAAUAUUUACAUGAAGGAAUUAAUUUUCUAUUUUAAUUAGAAUUCUAAAUUAAAUCUCCAUAUUUACAUGAAAGAAUUAAUUUUCUAUUUUAAUUAGAAUUCUAAAUUAAAUCUUUUUUUUUAAUUUAUUCAUUAAAUUCGCCUCAUUGGGGAGGUUGUGGGUUCGAACCCCCACAGCCCCCUUAUUUUUACUCUCUUUUUCGCUGAGGAGGAGGCUGUGAGGUGGUGGGUUCGAACCCCCGCAGCCCCUCUAUCAUUAAUUUAAUUAAAUGGGGCGAGCAACAGUGAGGUUGUGGGAUUGAAUCCCCACAGCCUCACUUCUUUUCUUAAUUAAUUUCGCCCCUCUUUCAGCCUUGAGGUCGUGGGAUCGAUUCCCACGCCUCGCGUCUCUUCUUUUUUUUUCGCAAACUGGGGGUCGUAGGUUUGAUCCCCGCCCCCAACCCUUUUUUUUAUUACUCGCAUAACAGGGCCAAGGGUUCGAUUCCCCCCAGCCCCGUUUCCUUUCUCUUUUUUUUUGAAUUUUCGCUCAUCCCUAACCCAGUUCGAAUCCCCUUUAGCGCACUUUUUUUUUAAAAAAAAAAAAACAGGCGUUGGUGAGGUCCUGGGUUCGAUCCCUGCAGACCUCACCUAUUUUAUUUUUAUUUUUUUGACACCCAAAAUUUCCAGAUUUCACCUGUAGCAAAUUUCCAGAUUCUGGAACUUUAUUACACAUUUUUGUGAAGCGAUUUACGAGACUUUUAAGCACCUCUUUAUUAGUCAUUCGUUAGGAUUCUUAAGACAAGUUAAAAGUAUGAUUUGGUCAUUUGUUUAACUAAAAUUUCUAGCAUUUCAACCAAGUGAACAUCAAGCUUUUAAGAGCCUCUAUUUGCACAUAAAACAUGAGUAAUCUCUAAUCUAUUGACAUGCUAAAAAAAGUCUUAAAGUCAUGGUCAAAAUCUUGCACAAAUACAUACGUAUAUACAUUCAUACUUUCCGAAAGACACAAAAUAUAAUCACAUCAUCAUGAACACAUACUCGAAACGAGAUCGUCACCACAAACAAGUAUCCCUAAAUUCUACCAACAAGAAUACCCAACCUAAGAUCAUAGGGAGCUAGUGACAGGGGCAUGCUACGGGGAACAACCUUAGUUUCGAGGUGAAUAGUUUGAAUCGUAAGGGGCCUCUUGGGAAAGGAGCCAAGAGAGAAGAAAACUCAUACCUUUAUUGAUGUUCAAACGAAGAAUUCGCUACCCAAAACUCUCUCCAAAAAUCAGUCCAAGUUACUUCAACGUCCACACUACUCAACGAACAACUUCUCUUCGCCUUAAUAUUUUUUUGAUUGCUUUGUUUUUCUUAAAAUUUUAUGUGAGUUCUUCAAGCAUGAAGAACUGUUGAUAUUUGGCAGAAUAAUGUGAGAAAAAUGGAAAACGUGAGAGAGAGUUAAGAAGCAUGAGAGAGAGAACUAUUAGGAUUAGGAGACUAAUUCAAGAAUUAGUCAAAUAGAAUUUAAAAUAAAUAAAUACAAAUCUGGUUUAUUUUAAUUAAUACGCGAAAGGACCAUUAUGCCCUUAAAUACCUAUUUAUUCUUAUUUACUUAAUUAAUAUAUAUAUAUAUAUAUAUAUAUAUAUAUAUAUAUAUAUAUAUAUAUAUAUAUAUAUUGGAUCGUUACAAUACCACUCUCAAUAAAACAGGCCUUAGAAACAUGUUCAAACACAUGAUACAUUGAACUCGAACGUUCAUAUAUGGAGGCAACAGCACGAUACGAGACUUUUAAGAGACAGAUAAAGAAUAAGGAACCCAAAUUUGAGCAAAGGGUAAACUGUCUCUUUCAAGGAUCUUAUAUAACCCACUCUUUAUUUCAUCAAGUCUAUCAUCAACAGGAAGCUAUAAAAAUGAUAAGCUAUGGAAUUAGUGGGACAUAUAUAGUAGAGUAAUGGAAAUCAAAACGAAAACACUCUCUAAUCCCUUUUAUUUAUUUUGUUUGGUUUCACCAAAAUAAAAAAGGCAACAUCAUACCUCUAAAAGUCCAAAAAGCAUGUCCUUCGAAUUACAAAUGCUAUACAACUGAAAUGAACAAAUUUUUGACCCCUAUGAUGAAAAAUCAAACACAGGAUUACAGACUUGUUCAAAUAGUAAAUACAGAAUAUAUAAACAAACCUGAAUAACCAAUGUGGUUGAGCAUUAGGAAAAUAAAAUCAAAGAAUUGAUGAGCAAUUACGAUAAUAAAAUGGGGUUGUGUAGAUACAAUCUCAAGUACACCACGGUACUGCUGAUCAUAGUUGUUGAACACUGGAACUGCAUAAUAAGAACGAAUUUCCAAGUGAAUUGUCGCAGUGGAGUAAGUUUAGACAUCGGGGUUAUAUUCUGGCAGGCAUCUUGUGUAAACUCGUUCAAGUGGGCCAAAUAGACUUUCAAUUGGAAUCAAAGUAUCUAGACAUAGCUUCCUCUAUGAAGAGAGUCUCUUAUCAAUUUCGUUAUAGAUUGCAAAUGUUGAUCCACAGAGGAAAGGAAAGUAGAUCCAUUGACCUUGAUAGGUGCCCAGAAUUGAACCAGAGAAAUAUUUAAAGUCGAAAUUUUCUCCAUAACAGAUUAGAUCCUCCAUUUCACAGUUGUAAAUAUGGAAACAACAGAAGCAACAGCUGUAUGAAGAAGAUAAAAGUUACUAGUGCUAAGGAAAAAUUGGAAAAUAAGCUUGAUAUUCACAAGAGACUCACACGUGAUAGGGUAAAUAGUUCGCUGAUAACCCAAUUAAUCUUUGUAUUUUCUGCUCGAAAAUGCCCAAGCAUUGGAUUCCAUUUGACACCAGUCCAAUUGACAAGGCAUUUGGGAACAUACAUCUGAAGGAGAGUACUCUAUUUCCAUAUAAUAGAAUGGAAUUGCCUUUUGCCCCUCUGCUUUGUUGUUUAUAUAGAACGCGACUUGCUUUAGUUUUUUAAAAACAAACUUUAAACUUCAUAUAAGGAAAAUUGUGCCAAUUUAAUUUGGGGGUCAAAAAGCUCAACAGGCUCAAUUUUAAGAGAGAUGCUAAACAUCCAAAAAAAAAUUGGCUAGAAUUUUGAAAAGACACUUAUAACUUUUUUCUUUCAAAACAAAAUUAAGGCUAACUCUUGUCUAGUAAAUUACAUAAAGCAUUUAUUAUUUUGAUAAGAUUAAUUAUUUGAAACUCACCUAAUAAAAUAGAAAAAUAAAAUAUUUAAUAGUUUUGUUUCUUCUUCAAAUUCUUUUUUCUUCUCGUUUUUCGUCAUUUUACUUUUUUACGUUACUUUUUUAAAAAAAUUCUCCUAGCUCUUUUUCUAAAAAUAUUUAAAAUGUGGAGUAAACUGAAAAAAAAACUAACAGUUUAAAUAUCUACUUUAUGUCUCCAAUAAAGUAAUUCUAUAAGAUAACAGAAAAAACCAAUUCACAUUUUUUUUUAUAUAAAUAGUUAAGGGAAAAUGAUCAAAAAUGACCUUCAACUUUAUUUUAUUGGUUGAUUAUGCCCUUACCGUUAAAAUGGAGUUAUUUUUACCUCUACCAUUACUAUUUUCACCAUUUUUACCCCUCAAUUAGAUGGAAAACCCAAAUCGACUAAAAUUACCCAAUUUUAAUUGAAUCACCCGAUUUUCUCUUUUAAUCCGGACCCGACCCAUUAUAUCAAAUUAAAAUCCUAAAUACAUUUUUCUAAUUUUUCCAUCUCAUUUCUGUUGAAACACAUGCUACUAAAAUAUGUGAUCUGAUUUGCUACCAAUCCCUACAUUCCAACUUUAGUUUUUGGAUCUCAUUUCUGUUAAUUUGUGGCUGUUGUUUUCCAGCCUUGAUGCUCGCUUGAUUAUGUUGUUGGUUUGAUUUGUUAACAUUGCUUCAAUUGUUUUCCUGUGGGGUUUUGUUGGUUGGUUGUUUGGAGGUUGGAGAACUGCUGGUCUGGUGGUAAUUUGCUAGUUGUUUUAGCUUGGGUGAUAGAGGUCUGGGUUCUGGUGGACUGAAAUGUCGUUUUACCACCGGAUUUCGGGAUGGCGAGGGUGGUGUUUGAGAGUUGUUUCAGAACGGUUCUGCAGUUGUUUGAAUGAUUCCGGUGGUGGGUGGUUUGUUAAAUAUUGUUCCAGCUUGGAGCUGGCCGAAAAUGGAGAAGAAAGGUCUUAUUAUGGUCACCGGAAAGUAGAGAAAAAUUGGAAUUGUUGUUAAUGUUUUCUGCUUGGUGUUGUUUCUGGGUUUUGGGGCUUUUGAGUGGUGGUUUCAACUGGUUGAUUUGGAAGUUGUUUCUCUGGUGUUUCGCCGGAAAAGGGAGAAAAUGAAUGGGGGGUUUGGGUUGUUGGAGCUUGAUUUGGGUUUUUAAUUUAGUAAAUGGGUCGGGUUCGAAUUAAAAUGAGAAAAUCAGGUCAUUCAAUUGAAAUUGGGUAAUUUUGGUUGAUUUGGGUUUUCCAUCCAAUUGAGGGAUAAAAUGGUGAGAAUAGUAACGGUAGAGGUAAAAAUAACUCCACUUUAACGGUAAGGGCAUAAUCAACCAAUCAAACAAAGUUAAGGAGUAUUUUUGACCUUUUCCCUAAUAAUUAAUAUAUUUAAAAAAUUUAUAUUAUAAUUCAAUUUUAAAUACACUAUUCAUAUUUUUGAAUAAAACACUUACCCUUCAUACACUGUGAAAAUUUUAAACUUACACCUUAAAUGAAAUUAUCUAUAACUAAAUAUGUUAAAGUAAAUUAUUAAAAGAUAAACUGAAAUUAUAAAAAAAAAGUUUUUGUGAAGGUAUUCUCACAAAAUUUUAAAUUGAAAAGAAAAUUUUUAUUCAUGCAUUUGAUUUAAAAGAAAAUUAAUAUAUUUUUAAAAAAUGUUAAGUGAUACAAAUUAGUUAAUAAGAUAUAUAACGGUUAGUAAUAACUUAUUAAUAUAAAUACGUACAUUAUUUAUAAUUUUAUUUAAAUGUAAUAUUUAUUACGUGCAAUUUCUUUUUAUUUAUUUUCUUGCUUUAGAAUUAUGUAUAUAUAAUUAGUUAGAUAGAAUUUCAUUUAUUUAGAACAUUCAUACUAUACAAUGUUUAUAUAUAAUUUUAGGAAAUUAGAAAUAACAUUAUUGGUGGAUAACACUUGUAUGAUUUUUAUAAUAUAGAAGACGUGAAUGUUUGAUUUCAAAAUACAGAGGGUCUAUAUUGAACAUAUAUAGUAUACAAAUGUUUAGUGUAAUUAAUCAGGAUUGAUACUUAUAAGUUAUAUGAAUUUUAUGGGUUUUAUAAUAUAUUAAAAGCAUUUUGAGUUUUGACUGUUUUUAUUGUAAUAUUUUCAUAUUAUAUUAAAAAUAAUAAUAUAUAAUUUAAUAUUAUAUUAAAAAUAAUAAUAUAUAAUUUAAAUUUAUUUAAACACAAUAAUUCAUCUGAUUAUUUUAUUAGAGCUUAUUUAAGUAUCAGUAACGUCAGUAUCAUCGGAGAACUAUGAAUUCUUUCAAUUAUUUUUCUAAAAGAUUAUUUUUAAAUCAUAAAUAUCUUUCUAUAUCCGUUCGAUGUUAUUAUAAUUUUUCGAUAAAGCUCCAUCAACAUUUUUAUUCAAA